rnacentral:lncRNA from 1 species
ACCCAGGGUGCAACUGAAGAGCUUCAAUCACUUCGUCUUGGUUGCCUGUUUGAGCCUUAGAAUUGAAGUCAAGGUGCAAGUCCGAAAUAUGUUUCUUUUCACUCAACUCUGCUAUCCGGGCCUCGUCAGCAUUUGUCACGUAACCCAAUCCUUCGAUUUUAAGACAUCCACAAUGUUGAAGGCAAUUGCCAGAAUGGGUUAUGGGAUAAGUUGAGGAACUUCAAGCUAAUCAACUUCCCAACUUCUUUUGGAAGUUCACCCAACCUGUUACGACUUAAAUCUAACACCUUGAGACAUGCCGAGCGAUUGCAUAAAUCUGGCUCAAUCUUGUCCAAUUCACUGAUAAUUGGAGGCGUAUCAAAGAAAGAUUGAACCCAAAACGAGUGUAGUUUUCCCGCAUUAGCAAUGGAUGUAGGAAAACGGACGCCUUUUGCACGUACCAGGGUCAAAUGACGAGUCGUUUUAUAAGACGAUCCCAAAUUUACUGCUAGCUCCCCAUCAACCUCCACCACAGAACAUUCUCUCUUGGUAAGAUACUGCGCAAAAUCAUGAACCAUGUCGUGCAUCUUAAAUCUUAAAAUCCUUUUACCGUCCUUGUCCUUUUCUAUCUCUUGGAAGAAAGACCUCAUAGCCAAAUUUUGCAAGUAUUCCUCACCUAAUACUUCCAUUUCUACAUUUUUCUCAGGGCAGAGAUAGCCUUGCGCCAUCCAGAGUUUGAUCAAAUUGCUUGCGUUGAUGACGUGAUGUUUUGGAAAGAAAGCACAAAACGAAAAGCACCUUUUCAUUGUCGAGGGCAAAUCGAAGUAGCUCAACAUCAAAGGAGGAAAGAGACCUUUUUCUGCUCCUUCAAAUUCCCAGAAUUCACUAUUCAGAACAUUCUGCCAAUCUUGUAAAGAAUUCUUGAACCGCAUAAGACUGCCAAUAGUCUUUACAGUAAGAGGUAUGCCCCGGCACUUGUCAGCUAUUUUCCUUCCAAUUCCUUCCAAUUCUUCACAAUCCUCUAUACUUCUUUCAAAAAACGCUAUUUGACUGAAUAGCGACCAACUGUCCUCGUCUGCCAACUGCCCCAAAUGAAGCUCAUAGCUACUUCUCAACAUUUUUGCGGUUCUCUCGUUUCUCGUCGUCACUAGAAUUUUACUUCCAGAUGCACCAAUUUUGAGAGAGUUGAACAAUUGUUCCCAUUUCCUGUAGUCAUCUGUCCACACAUCAUCUAGCACAAGCAGGAACUUCUUUCCUGAAAUAGCGUUCCUAAGACGGCGCAAUACAGUUUCAAGUUCAUAUAAAAACGGAGCAUUACCUUCAAGGUCUUCAACAAUCGCUUUUGCAACUCGAACUUCAUCAAAAGGCUCAGAAACACAUACCCACAUUUUUCUCUCAAAAUCUUGCUCUACAGAAUCACAAUUGUAAACCAUUUGUGCUAGAGUUGUUUUACCAAUUCCCCCCAUGCCGACUACAGAAACAACAUGGAAUCCAUCACUUUGGCUACUCUCAGACAACAACUUGCUUACAAGAGUAUUCUUAUCCACAUCUCGACCUCGUACUUCAGAUACAUCAAUAUAAGAGUUAGUUUUUAAUCUCUCAGGAUCACCACUCUCCGUUAACGUAUUAAAAUUGUACCUAUUCUUCUCGGUGGCAAUAACGUCGAGUCUUUCCUUAAUGCCCUUAAUCUUGAGAGCUAUGUCACGACGUAGGGCAAAUCGCCUAAAUCGAAGGCUAGGUAAAGAGAUAAAAGACCAUACCUUUUUCUUGGAAAGGGAUGAAUCUUCAACACCUUCAGUUUUCGCCUUUCGGAUUGCAGUUAACCAUUCAGACAACACAUCGUCCAUGUCAUAGGCUAAGUCUUUGAGCUUUUCUAACCACAAUUUGACUGAUUCAUCCUUCACUUGUCUCUUUUCAGCAUCAACAAGCACAGAUCGGAUGGAUUCCAAUCCGCUGGUGAGUUUUUCGAUAUCUUUUUUGACCCCCACAACUAAUCUCACCUGCUUUCGGAUCUGUUCUUCCGUGAUUUCAGCCAAUUGUGUUAACAUUACAGUUAUCAUUGCUUCAGCCAUGGUUGAAGAUGACAACAGAUUGAACAAAAAGCAAGUGAAAUUGGCUCAAGAGAUUAGACAAACAGGGAUGGAUUUUUCUUUUUCUUUUUCUUUUUGUCACUUAAAUGAAAAGUGAAACGAGAGAGAGAGAGAGUGAAAUUGGCUCAAGAGAUUAGACAAACAGGGAUGGAUUUUGAUUUUGAUUUUUCUUUUUCUUUUUGUCACUUAAAUGAAAAGUGAAACGAGAGAGAGAGAGAGUUAUUUUUUAGUGCUAAAAAAUUCAACCAUUGAUUUUCCUGGUAAGUGAUUGGAAAUUUCCAUGUGGGUGCCCAAAGGAAGAGAGAGAGAGAGAGUUAUUUUUUAGUGCUAAAAAAUUCAACCAUUGAUUUUCCUGGUAAGAGAUUGGAAAUUUCCAUGUGGGUGCCCAAAGGAAGACUUUGAAGGAGGAAGACUUCAAUUAUUGCGUUUUGAUAGGAAGCUUCAUAUGUAGUAAUAAGGAAUCUUAGAAAUUUUCAAGUGAUGAUUGCAAUAUUGUCUAGCACUAUAAUAUUGUCCAGUGCUAUCUAAUUGUCACGUCCAAACAUGUUAAUGCAAGACCAACAUAAUUUACAAUCAUAAAUAGAUAGAGAUAAAAUUGGUGACAAAUAUAAUGACAUAAUAGGUGUUUAACAACUAUUUGAUUUCCUAAUUUGAAAAUGAUUCUUUGAGAACAAUGCCUCGAGAUCCUAGACUGAACGGUUUAUAUUUAUUUUCUGAAAGCAUUUCUUUUGUAUUUCCCUGUGCUUCUAAAUUUCAGCAUGGAAUUUCUUGUAUGCUGGAAUCAACUUGUCAACCAUGGACGCACGAAGUUUAUUCAGGAGCUCUGAAUCAUGUACUAUCCAGUUCGUCUGAAGUGUCUGAAUCUCUUCAAACACAGAAUUAAUGGACUUCAAUCCUUUUCUCAAUGCAGGUUUUGACACACGAGUAGAAAAACACCAAGUAACAUAAAGUCCCUCUUCUUGACAACAAGACAAGAACUUGUCACAAGUUGAAACUUGAUAGCUAGUCAUUGCUUGCUUGACAUUCCUAUACAGUUUCUCCAUAUAAUCAUCACCAAUAAUCUGUCGUAGCUCCUUGGAUUCUUCGAUCUUUUCUACAAUGUAAUGAACAUUGUUCAUCAUGAACAAAUGCCUUAAAGAGACAUGAUUGAGCUGCUCUGAUUUUCCCUUCAAAUUCAGUUGUAAGACCACAAUGAUCAAAAUAAAAUGAAGAGCCAAAUGACUUUUGCCUUUAAGAUCCAGUUGAUCCCCAAAUUUCAAUGGUGGCAUUGAUAUGAUCAAGUCUGUGAGGAGCUCCUUAUUGCAUACAAUGAGAGAGAUAUAAUUCAUCACGCGUUUUGUCAAUGAAUGAGUGGCACCCCUUUUAUCUUGUAUAGGCGAAAGCUCACCAAAAACAGCUUUCUCAAAAUCUAAUAACAUCCUUCUUAUAUUAUUCUCAACUUAAGACAAUGUCACCUUCAUGCCUUGUCGAAUAGCCUCUGCUGCGUGGAAGUCGAACAUGAUAUCUAUGUAUUAUAAAAGAAUCAACAGUGUAUCAUAUAGGCCUAAAAUUGUUUCCGUCCUCUUUGAGGACUGAUUACUGGAACUCAGUGUUUCUACAAAAACAAGUAAAUUAUUUGUAGAAUCUCCCACUAUUUCCCAAAAACAUUCUUCACUAGCCCCAUUUCCAAAACCAGAGAAUAAUUUCUCACUAAUUUGUUUCUCCCAGUCAAAGAAGUAACAAAAACACAACCUAGCCACUUGAAUCCACCGUUCAAUUUUCACCUUCAACUCUUCCCAUAAAAACCUCUUUUUCUUGAAGGUACUUAGAAACCUCUUUUCAUUCCCACCUCUAUACAAUCCUUCCAAGUGAAGCUGUUUUAUCAAUGUGUGGAAAAAGGAUUUCCUCACACUUUUGUGAACUUUGAUGCAAUCUCCAAGGUGUCUGUUGGAAUUUAAUCUUUUUGCGACAUGCCUGAGAUAAAAAAUCACCUCAUCACUUGGUGAAUUGUAUGCUAAUAAAUAAUCCUCGUAUGCAGUACUGGCCAAUGAACUCCAAUCAGAGGUAAUUGAAUCAACAGUGCCAAACGGUUCAGAUUGUCUUAUGAGCAUUGUCAGAAACUCGUGCUUGAGCCGAGCCAUGGCUAUGGAGUUCAGGUCACCAGAUUUUGUUACGUUUGCGGGGAACUGCUGGAUUUUGUCGACAGCUUCUAGGUAUCGAGUUAUUUGACAUUCACUAAGGUUGAAAAUUAGUUGUUCAACUAGUCUAUGAUGCCAAUGAUAGAUUGUAUCAACAGCUGAUUGGUGUGAUAUUGUUAAAGUCACUAUGCCAAUAGACCUUCGAUCGAACUGUUACAAAUGGUAGAAAAAUUUCUAGUUCAAAAUUCCAACUUGUAAAUUUGUGUGGUAAUGAAAAUGGUUGUAUCUUGUGUUCUUGAGAAAGUACUGGUGGCAAAAUAUCUAGAUGGUCCCUAAAUCUAAAUAAAAGAUGGAAGACUUGAAUUGCCGCGUUUGAGAGGAACUUCAUAUGUAAUUGUUGGAAAAUAUCGAGUCAAUAAAAAAUAAAAUUAGAGAAACUCCAAGAUACAUUUCCUUUUUCCCCACAAAUGUGUUCCCAUUGCACAAUGGCAGUUCUGACUAUAGACGGAGUAGACGAUUGUCUAAGGCCUCACUUUGGCGAAAGCCCCAAAUUAUGUAAGAUUAAUUGGUUGAUUGAAGAAAAAUAAAAAAUCUAUGUAUGAAAUUCUUUAAAAUAAAACAAUCAUAUGAAAAAACAAGAAAUUAAUAAAAAUUGAAAAUACAAAAAUUUUUAAAAAUGUAUAAAUGACAUAGAACUUAUCACUUACAUUUAUUUAUCACAUAAAUAUAUUACAAACAUUACUUUCUCUUUCUAUAACUAUUUGACUAUUUAUUGUCCAAACAUUCACUUUCUUUCUUAACAAAACAAAAUGUUUCAUUGUCUCUUCAAAUUUUACAUCAAACAGUAAACCACCAUAAUUUUUUCAACCUACCAAGAAAUAAAUUAUCUCCAUUUGAACUAAAAUUUUGAAGAUUCAAUUUACUAGAUUGAUUUGGUCUUACUGCCAUUGUUACAGCCUUAUAGGUUUCUUUCUUUCUCCCCUUAUCUUCAAAACAUAUACUGCACAGUACAAGGUUGUUGUUAUUAUUAUUAUUUUGGUUUAAUCUCAUGAUAAUAGCCUUUUUAGAUGUUUCAUUUUGAAUUUAAUAAUUCUUUGUUUGUGUUCAUACUUCUUAUUUGUAAGUCAAUUUUUUAUGAAUUAAUAUAAAAUUAAAAGCUCAUUUGUAUUUUAUCGUCAUUUUCAUUAUUUUGUUACACUAUCUCUUGCGGUCAACACUCUCUUAUUUUGUACAUUAAUCACUCAAAUUCAUAUUCAAUUUUGUUUAAACAGUUGCAGUGAGAAAAUGAUCAAAGAAAUGAAUAGACCACUUUAUCAUUGCAUUAUAUUUCCAUUUGCCAAACUUUGCUUAUAGUUUGUAUUGCAUGUUGAAAUUUGAUAUUUUAUUAUUUUCCUCAUCAAAUUUUCAAACUUAGUUGUUCGUAUUAAAUUCUGUAUAAUUAUAUUAAAUUUUUCUGUAAGAAUAAAUUGGCAUAAAGCCCCCGAAUUAUCAAGUCCGGCCCUGUCAUUGCAAGAAUAUUACCCAUAAAUUUGGAUAAACAAGGUAAUUAGCCAAGUUGACGAGCCAACGUUUAGUGAGGACGUUCGUGACUUCAUAGGUGAGAUGAAAAUGGGAGACAAAAUAGACCAUCACAUUGUUCAAACAGAUUAAGCUCUAAUGUCUUGCAUCAAGUUGCUAUUUCUAUCCAUUUUUUCAUGAACUAGUUGAUAAGUUUGAAAAUGUGAUGUGACUUCAUUAGCUUGCAAGGCUAGCAAAUUUGAUUAUGUGACUUCAAAUUUCAUUAUAUGAAAACAAAUGCUUUGAGAUCAAAGCCUCAAGAUCCUCAACUGAAUGCUUUACAUUUAUUUUUUGAAAGCAUUUCGUUUGUGUUUCACUUUUCUGCUCAAUCUCAAUAUAUGUCCUGAACUAGUGUAGGAAUUCCUUAUAUGCUAGAAUCAGCUUGUCAACCAUGGACACACGAAGCUUGUCUCGGAGCUCCAAAUUGUGUACUAUCGAGUUUGAGUGAAAUUUCUGGAUCCUUCAUACAGGAAAUCAAAGGCCUUAAAUCUUUUCCUUAUUGCACCUUUCGACACUUGAGAAUAAAAGCACCAACUAACAUAAAGUAAGUCCUAUUGAAAACAAGACAAUAACUUGUUACAAGUCGAGACUUGAUAGCUAGUCAUGACUUGCUCAACAUUUCAGUUCAGUUUCGCCAUAUAUUCAUUGCCAAUCAUCUCGCGCAACUCAUGAGAUCCUUGGAUCUUUUGUACGAUGUAAAAAAUACUGUUCAUCAUGAGCAAAUGCCUCUAAGGAAUUGAUUAGUGUCUAAAACUGCUUUAAAGAUAUAUCAUUUAUAAGGCAUUUUAUAUUCACUUUGUUUAAAAACACUAAUGUUAGUCUCUAAUUUCAAUUCUAUUGCUGUAAAUUCAGUUUCAAUAAAUACAUGGCAAAAAGUACAAUUAAUUGAAAUACGUAUUUAAAUACAUGUUGGCAUGAGUAUUAUACUUUUGAAAGAGUAUUUAUUUGAUGUAUUUCACAUGUAUUUCCAAGGUAGAACAAGUGGAGCAAGUGGAGAAAAGAUGUUGAAAAGUAAAAAAUGAUUAGCUGUCUUGAGCAAGAUACAACCAUCUCGAUAAAAUGGCAAUAACUCGAGCUAUAGCUAUCAAAACAAGGUGAUUCAAGUUGUAUUGGAAAGAUAAGAUAUGUAUCUACAAUUUUCAUGUUUACCAAGAAGUCAAAUUCGCAUCAUAAAGUGGCCAAAAUUACCACGCAGAGUCCAACUUGUUACCUGCCGGAUACAGCUUUUCUACCUAUGAAGCAUCACUCAUUGUUUUGGCCAUAUCUGAGUUAUUGAGAUCCAAUGGACUUGAUUUUUGCACCAAUGGAAAGCUAACUCAAGUGGUAACAAUUUAUCUUUGAUCAUAAGUUCAAAUUUUCUGCACAAAGUAUCUGAAAAUUUGCAUCAAGUCGCAUGUUCUAGCUGUUUUGAAACUGGAUAGAAAUAAGUUACAUUGUCCACUUGCAUUUUGGAUGUUCCUUUGCCUAUGAAAGGGAAACUUGGCCAAGAUUUUGAGAGCAUCAAUUCCUCUUCAUCAUAUUCUAGUUUCCUUCAUUAUGUAUUUUUAAACCAUUAGCUAGAGUUAAGGGUGAAAUUUUGGUGAAUGUGUAGUAUUGUCUUUGAUCUUUCACUUUGUUCUUCAAUGUUCCUCUUCUUACAUGGUUGAAGUACAUGUUCUACAAAUAGUUUUGGUUUGUUAAAGACUUUGAUUUAUUUUUGACAAUUUUGGCACAAUAAAUGCUUAGAUAAUCUCUAUAUAUCAACAACUUAUUUUGACAUAUUAUUUCAAACAAUUAUCAAGAACUAUCUUUUAGUAUAUUUGCGAUCAAUGUUUUAUCUUCCAUAUUUCAUAUGAGUUAAAUAAAAGAUCAAGAGUAAUUUCUACUCAUUUAUCCGAAGUGAAUCCCCAAUGCUCUAGUGUUCUUCUCCAUCGUAUUUCCACCAAUCUUCACUACUCAUAAACUAGUUUAUUUCCUUCCAAUUCCCUGUGGUUCGACCUCGGACUUCCGAAUUUACUACUUGAGACAACUUGCACUUGGGUUUUCCACCUUAAAUCUGUAGCAAGUUUUUGGUGCCAUUGCCGGGGAUUUGCAUCAAGGAUUAUUUUCUACUACUUUUUGUGAGGUUUUCUUCUCUUUCAUAAUCUUCAUAAAUUAGAUACACUCGUUCCUUUUUCGAUCUUACUACAUUAGUUAUUUUACUUUAAAAGAAGGCCAAGCCUCCUUCAUUUUUUUUAUUUUCUGUUUAUUUUCUUUCUUUAAAGGGAAGGCCGAGCCUCUCGAACUGCCUUUUCUUUAUUAUAUGGUUGGCCGUGCCAUCUAAUUUUCGUUCUUUACAUCUAGUUUAUGUUAUUUUGUCAUAUUGGUAUCGCAUAUUUAAUUUUGAUCGUUUAGUUAAAGAUAAUUGUGAAACUUUCUUUUGUUAAUUUGUUUGACUUACCUCAACACUCACUCACAUCUUCCACCAUGGCUGAUAAUGAAAGCGUACAUGAUGAAAAUGAAAACCAAAAAGCACGAACUAUGCGUGAUUACUUGCAACCUGAAUACACCCAAAGAAUAACACGAUAGUUGUAGCACAGCUUUGGGGUGUCGAUUCCACAGGGAGAUGGACGAAUUGUUUAAAUAAUUUAUUGAACUAGGAUUUCAUGAAUUAUGUGAAAAUAAUUUGUCAAUUAGAAUGAUAUUUAAUUAUCCAUAUGCGAAGCAUCUGAAUUCCUUUAAUUGGAUUGGAUCAUUAACAUCAAUAAUUCAUGGGGUUUUGCUCAAUUAGAGGUUUUCAUCCCAACUCUCUAAUCGGAAGAUUUAACAAUGAAGUUCAAUCAAAUUUCAAUUGUAAUAUUAGGAUUUAGACUUUUUUAAACCAUUCCCACACAUAUUUAUUGGACUAAGAUUAAGAAUCGACUAUAUACACAAUGCAUAAAGCAGUAAAUAAUCCACUAAUAAAGUUGAUUGAAAUUGAAAUUCAACAAUUAGUUCAAUUCCACAAUAGACAAAACAUGAUUGAAUCUAUGAAGAAUGUAGUAAAAGUUAAAUCAAUUUCAAAGUAAAUUCAUAAAAGAUAGUCUAGAUCUAGAAGUGUUUGACAAUAAAAAUAUCAAUUUGCAUGAAUAAAUUAUGUGAAGUCGCCAAAUCCAAUGAGUUCUUUUGUAGCUUCACCUAGGAAUUUAGUUCUCCAUCAAAUUCUUUAGCCCAAGAUGAGAGAAAAUUGUUAUGGAGGUGAAGAUAGACGUUCUCUAUCUAGUCUAGGGCUUAAAAUAGUAUGCCAAGUUGUUUCCAAAAGAGGUUGAACCGAAAAAGGAAACUAAAUUUUCGGUUAGAAUAUUCUGUACGACUAUUUUCAGUAUUUUGACAAUAACUUUAUUUUCGAUGUCCAAUUAAGGAAAUUAAAAGUGAAUUGGAAAUCUAACACAAAGGGAUAUAAUUUUUCUAUAAGUAGCUCUUUCCAAAUUUGGACAUUUACUGGGUUAAAAGUUGAUCUCAAUCUCUAGCUGAAAAUCUAAAUUUUUUUUUUUGUGGUUGUAAUUUGAUUUGUGAAAAUAUUAUGGUCACAUUUAACUUCUUUUGACUUCUAAUUGCACCCAAUGGACUCCUAGCUUUCUCAAAUCAUUAUUUCAUCCCCCGUCUCAUCUUUAUAUUAUUUGCAACUCGGUCCCUAAACUAUCAGUUUCUUCUAUUUUGGUCAUUUUUCGCUCUUUUCUUCUAAAUUUCAGCUUUUCUACCAAAAUACAACAUGAAUCAAAGCAUAAGUAUAAUGAGUGCAUUUUGGUAUCAAAUAAUCACACGAGUGCAAUAAUUAAGAUGGGAAAGUAUUAUAUUUUGCACUCUUAUCAUACCCCAACUUGCUUAUUGCUAGUCCCUAGCAUUUUAAUGCAGAAUAAGUAAAUGAAUGAUUAGAUUGUGAUACAAGUAUAAUUAUUAAGUAUCAAUUUAACAACAUACCAUGUCCCUUUCAAACUCAACACCACAAGAACUUAACAAUGCCAUGAUCUUCAAGAUAUCGAAAACACUUAUCAAAUGUGUAAGUGUGUGUCAAGCUAUAACCAUCUUGCCUCCAACCCUAACACAUGCAACAAUAAGUAUAUCUCAAGUUGAAGGUUCAGCCCCAUAACUCACGGGAGUCAAAGUGUUUAGUACGGUUUUCUCUUAUGGAACUAAGAAAGAUAUACUCUCAGAACAUGGAGGCUUAAAAUUUAUGAAUAAGCAACAAACAAACAUUGAUCUUGUCAUAGGCAUACUUCCAAAUGAGAAUUCGUCCAAUUCUUACUACAACCAUACUUGGGAUCAAAUCAGUCAAUGUAAAGGGUUGUAAUGCAGUUUGAAUUAAGCUAUAUGAAAGGAGGGAUAUAAUGAUUCAAAAACUUCCAAGUACAUAGCCAAGUGUAGCAUCAAGCUUCUCAAUGGAUCACAUCAACACAUUCUUUAUUACUUUCAACCCCCAAAAUCAAUUAAAAAAUUUUCUUUUUUUGAAUAACAUUCCCUUCUUCUUCUUUUAACUUUUAUGACUUCACUUGAGCACUUAUCAACUUUUGUCAUCUCUUUGCUUCUUUUCUUCACAAUUAAACCUCCAACACCUACUAUACACUUAGAAGUGAAAAGGUGGGCAAACACAUAUAUAGGUCUCACUCCAAUGUAGAGGGAAAGGGAUAGCACGGGUGCAUGAAGAAAAAUAUUAGACAUGUAUGUGUAUUGGCUCAAAGUGGCUACUAGGGGUUAUAAUCAUGAAAGAAAAUUGGCUUGAAAGGUUAAAAUUUAAUCCUAAAUUGAUUGUCAUCAUUUCUUAAGUAAUCAACCACCAUACCUCAAACAAUGUAACGUUAUUCUCAAAAGAGUUCCCAAUUCACAAAACCAAUGAAUGCUUAUUACCAUUUUUAGUUAUAUGGAUCUCAAUCCUCACCAAUUCUCCCAUAAGAAAACUUCAGCAAGAGACUCAUCUAGCUACAUGUGUUAAACCACUAUCUUACCACAAGACUUGUGUGUACAAAAUGAUUCAACAAGUGUCUUAGCAUCUAGACUCACAUGAACAAUAUCAACUCUUAGUGACAUAUUUUGUCAUUCAAGAACAUGAACAUGUAGCAAAUGGAGACUUAAGGAAAAAUCAAGACCAAAAUUCCAUGUAAAUCAUGCAAUUCACAAAAAAAUUUAAGAUAAACUCUCUCCCAACUAAACAUUGCGUUGUCCUAAAUGCAAAAACAUGUAUGCUAAAUAAAGGUAAGGAAAGAUGUCACCUGAGUGUCGAAGUGAAUCACAUGAGUUGAAGUAUAAGAAACUUGAAAGUCUUCAAUGGAAAAGGUAAUGCAGAAAAUGAAAAUAAACUAGAAUGCAGUGAAUAAUGCAUGUGAUGCAAAUAAACCUAACAAAUGCAGAAAUAAGAUAAAAGAAGAAAAGAGAAUUCCCAUUGGGUUGCCUCGCAAGCAGUGCCUUUGUUUAUUGUCGUUGGCUCGACCCAAUGUUUGUUUCUUUAACCCGCAUCCAAUCAGGGCGUUGUCAACACUCUUUGCAUUGCACCAAGCUCAGUAGAAAUAAUUGCCGAUGAUGUUACACAAUCUUGCAAAUCAUCAAAGGCAGCACAAAUAUUAGCAUAUUCCCCAUCAUCAUAUUAGCAUUCUAGAAUUUCAGAAUUUAAAAGAAAAGAGUUUAAAGGGUUGGGGUUAAUAAUUGCAGGUGCUUCCUCCUAAAUGAGUGCAUCAAUCAUGAAUGUUUGAUGACACUUGUCAUCCUCCUUAGGUUGCUUCAUGAUGUGAAAGUUAUUGACGUCUAGGGUCAUGUUCCCAAAUGAUAGUUUCAUUGGACCAUCCUUGCAAUUGAUAAGAGCAUUAGUCGUGACAAGAAAAGUUCUACCAAGAAUUAUGGAAAUUUUGAAGUUAGCAUUUACAUCAACUUUUAGGUCCAAAAUCAAGAAUUCAAUAGGAUAGUAAAAUUUAUCAACUUGUGCCAACACAUCAUCAACUACUCCCCUAGGCCUAAUAAUGAAUUGAUCAGCCAAUUGUAAACUUACUGAUAUGGGUUUCAUCUCUCCUAGCCCUAAUGACAAGUAAAUAUCAUAUGGCAUGACAUGGACACUAGCCCCUAGAUUAAGAAGGGCUUGUGAAAUCUCAUGGUUCCCGAUGAUGUAAGAGACAGUAGGACAACUAGGGUCUUUAUACUUUGGCGAGAUCUUUUGCUCAAUCACAUCACUCACAUUUUCAGUCAAGAAAGCAGUUUUCUUGACAUGGUGUUUCCUCUUCACAGUGCACAAGGCUUUUAGGAUUUUAGCAUAUGUGGGAACUUGAAAGAUCAAAUGUAGAAGAGGUAGAUUGAUUUUUACUUGUUUUAAAUGCUCUAGGAUCUCACUAUGUUGGCCAACAGAUUUUGAGGUAGACUUGAGAGCUUGAGGGAAAUGUACUCUAGAUUGAUUUUUUACCACCUCCUUACUAGGGGGUGCUCUAUACUGCAUUGUUGGAGACCUUUUCAUUUUCUUUAGGUUUGAGAAUCAGUUCUAUGACCUUACCAGAUCGAGUGGUUAUGGCAUUUACUUCUCUAAGAUUGCUUUCUCCAGACCUUGAAGUUUGUGCCAUAUGUUGCCCCCUAGGGUUCAGUUGAGCUUGCGCUGGGAAUUUUUCCCACCCUCCAAUAGCUAAGGCAUUAGUUAGUUUGGACAUAUGAGAUUUUAUUUCCUUGUUUUCUUCAAAAAUUAGGGUGAUCAUGGUCUCAAACUUUUGGUUAGUCUUACUUUGUGCCUCUAUAAAUGCAUGUAGAGUGUCUUCUAAAGAGUUCCUAGAGGACGUGAGCUGAUAUGGAGGUGUAGUGUGAGCUUUAUUUGGCUGGCCUUCAGAUUUCCAGCAGAGAUUGGGGUGAUUUCACCAUCCCGAAUUGUAUGUUUCAGAAAAGGGAGAAUAAGACUUUUGGUAUGUGCCUAAGGCAUUGCAGUGUUCCUCUUAAACUUCCCUCAUCUCAGCAUAGGUUGCGUACCCUUGAGCUGGAUGAUUAGUUCCACCACAAACAAAACAUGGUCCUAAAGAUUCAACAUGGGAUGCAUUCUAUGUAGGCUUUGAGUCCCUAGCAUGUAAGAUUUUGAGUUCUUUAGUGAGGGCAUCUACCUUGGCUCUAAGGUCAUCCUCCUCCCUAAGAUGAUAAAUGGCUGUGCUAGUGGUGUUCGGGUAGGUCGAGACCUAUUAGUACUCUCAGUGGCACUAGGUCCACCAAGUAUGGGCUUUCUCGGCUAAGUUAUCUAAAUACUCUAUAGCCUCAUCUGGAUCUUUUUGUAGGAAUUCACCAUUACACAUCAUUUUCACAAACUGACGCUCCUUAGGUAAUAAUCCCUCAUAAAAGUAACUCACAACACGCCAACUUUCAUAACCGUGGUGGGGCAAAGGGCUUGCAAUUCUUUGUAUCUUUCCCAUGCUUGAUAUAAAGUUUCAUUAUCCUUUUGGGACAAAAGAAGGAUUUUUUUAAAGUAGUUGUUUUAUGAUGGGAAAAGUAUUUGCCAAAAAAUGCUUAGGUCAUUUUAGCCCAAGUCCCAAUCGAACGAGAUCGCAAUGAAUACACCCAGCUUUUUGCUCAUUCCUUGUGUGAAACUGAAAUUUUUUUUAGCCUGACUACAUCCAAUGUACCAUGUUGACUGUCGAAGGUUGCCACCACCUCCUCAAACUCCCUAAUAUGCAAGUAUGGAUUUUUGCUUUCAAGACUGUGAAAAUUGGGAAGAAGUUGAAUCAUUCCCGAUUUUAGGUCAAUACGUGGCAUGUUAGGUGGAAACAUGAUGCAUGACGAUGUAGAUGUGUGUGUGGGAUGAAGGUAAUCAUGCAAGGACCUAUAGGGUGCAUUACCAUGCUCACUAUCAGACAUUGUGUUAUAUGAUGUGGCGUUCGUGGCAAUAGAUUCAGUAUCUAAGAGAGGGUUAGAAGAGAUUCAAACAGUGGUUGAGGCUUUGCUAUAAAUAGCCCUCACUCGUCACGAAGCCUGUUCAUAAAACACAAAAAAAUGAAACUAAAUGAGAAAUAACAAAAUAAUUAAAAAAAUAAACUAAACUAACUAAAAGAAUGUAAAAAGGGACGAAGUCACCAUUUUGCUCGAGAAUCCUUCAAGUAUUAAUACCGUCUCCUCAACAACGGCGCCAAAAUUUGAUUACGCUCAAAGAAUAACGUGGUAGUUAUAGCACAGCUUUGGGGUGUCGAUUCCACAGGGAGAUGGACGAAUUGUUUAAAGGAUUUAUCGAACUAGGAUUUCAUGAAGUAUGUGAAAAUAAUUUGUCAAUUGGAAUGAGAUUUAAUUAUCAAUAUGCGAAGCAUCCUAAUUCCUUCAAUUGGAUUGGAUCAUCAACAUUAAUAAUUCAUGGGGUUUUGCUCAAAUCCCAACUCUCUAAUCGGAAGAUUUAAUAAUGAAGAUCAAUCAAAUUUCAAUUGUAAUCCUAGGAUUUAGACUUUUGUAAACCAUUCCCACACAUAUUUAUUGGACUAAGAUUAAGAAUCAACCAUAUACAAAAUGCAUAAGACAGUAAAUAAUCCACUAAUAAAGUUGAUUGAAAUUGAAAUUCAACAAUUAGUUCAAUUCCACAAUAGAAAAAGCAUGAUUGAGUCUAUGAAAAAUCUAGUAAAAGUUAAAUCAAUUUCAAAGUAAAUUCAUAAAAGAAAGUCUAGAUCUAGAAGUGUUUGACAAUAAAAAUAUCAAUUUGCAUGAAUAAAUGAUGUGAAGUCCCCAAAUUCAAUGAGUUAUUUCGUAGCUUCACCUAGGAAUUUAGUUCUCCAUCGAAUUCUUUAGCCCUAGAUGAGAGAAAAUUGUUAUGGAGGUGAAGAGAGGCGUUCUCUAUCCAGUCUAGGGCUUAAAACUAUGUGUCAAGUUGUUUCCAAAAGAGUUGAACUGAAUAAGGAAACUAAAUUUUCGACUAGAAUAUUCUAUGGGACUAGUUUCAGUAUUUUGACCAUAACUUUCUCUCCCGAUGUCCAAUUAAGAAAAUUCGAAGUGCGUUGAAAAGAUAACACAAAGGCUAUAAUUUUGCUAAUAUCUCUUUCCAAAUUUGGACAUUUACUAGGUCAAAAGUUGAUCUCAAUCUCUGGCCGAAAAUCUGGAAAAUCCUUAUGUGGUUUUGAUUUGAUUUGUGAAAAUAUUAUGGUCAUAUUUAACUUCUUUUGACUUCUAAUUGCACCAAAUGGACUCCUAGCUUUCUCAAAUCAUUAUUCCAUCGCCCAUCUCAUCUUUAGAUUAUUUGCAGCUUGGUCACUAAACUUUCACUUUCUUCCAUUUUUGGUCAUUUUUCACUCUUUUCUUCUAAAUUUCAAAUUUUCUACCAAAAUGCAACAUGAAUCACAGCAUAAGCAUAAUGAGGGCAUUUUGGUAUCAAAUAAUCAAACGAGUGCAAUAAUUAAGAUGGCAAAAUAUUAUAUUUUAUACUCUUAUCUCAACCUCCUCGAAACUCUACUCCUCAUUUUCCCUCUUAAUGCUAAUAAUUUUCGAUUCAAUCCAGGUAUGAUUCUAUUACUUCUUAAUUUUCAUGGCUUAGAAUCCAAAAGUUCAUAUUUGCAUCUUAAAGAAUUUAAGGAAGUAUGUGCCACAUUUAACAAUUAAACUUGUCCCAAUGAAAUUGUUUCCUUUUUCUCUAAAAGAUAAAGCAAAAACUUGACUUAACUCUUUAAAACCUAGGUCGAUUGGCACAUGGCAAGAAAUGCAAAGUGAGUUUUUUAAGAAAUUCUUUCCAGCACAUAAAACUAAUGCUUUGAAAAGACAAAUCCAAAAUUUUUCUCAAAAAAACAACGAAGCGUACUUCCAAUGUUUAGAAAGAUUUGUUAAAUACUUGCCCACAUCAUGGUUUUAAAAAAUGGCAUACUAUAAGUUUCUUUUAUGAGGCUUAACUCCUGAAACAAAAUAAUUUGUAGAAACGAUGUGCAAUGGUGAAUCUUCAGAUAAAGAUCUGGAUGAAUCUUUAGAAUUUCUAGAUCAUCUAGCUGAAAAUUCUCAAUCUUGGCAAACAGUAAAACCAAUCGUAAACUCAAUUAGAUCUAGUCUUGCUAGUUCUAGUGGAGGAAAAUAUCAAUUGAGUCAAGAUGAUGAUCUAAAUGCUAGGAUUGCUAGUUUGUAUAGAAAGGUUGAAGCUAUAGAAUUAAGGAAAGUAAAGGAAGUUAAACCAUUACAAAAUGAUGAAAUUUGUAGCAUUUGUGAAACUUUUGGGCAUCCAAAGCAUGAUUGUCCUAACAUCCCAGUUUUGAAAGAAGUUUUACAUGAUCAAGCCAAUGCUAUGGACACUUUUAAAAAGCCUUUUGCUUCUCCAUUCUCAAAAAUAUAUAAUCAACAAUGGAGAAAUUAUCCCAACUUUAGUUGGAGAGCCUUUUCCUUCUCCAUUCUCAUAAACAUAUAAUCGUGUUCAUAUAUCACAACCUCAAGGGCUUUCAAAAUUCCCUUCUUUUCCACAACCACAAUAACAAACUCUUGAGGAAACAUUGCAGCCAUUCAUGCAUGGACAAGCAAACAUUAAUAAUCAAACUUCACAAGCCGUCAAUGAAAUCAAGAACUCACUUUCUUCAUUGACCUCUUCUUUGCGUUCUCAAGAGAAAGGUAAAUUUUCUGCUCAACCUCAACUAAAUCCUUCUGGGCAAUUUAAUGUAAAUGCUUCUAAUUCCUCUGAAACUCAACAAGAAAUUGGCAACUCCAUCACAACUCUUCGUAGUGGAAAAAUUAUUGACAAAACCAUUCCUUCAAAAGAACUAAAAUUGGGUGGAACUUCAAAGUAAGAAAAUGAUGUUUCCAAAACUGAGGAAAAAAUCAUUUCUGAACCUAGUGUUGAAAAAUGCCUCAUUCCAGCUCCAUUUCCUCAAUGAUUGCAACCAAUUUCAAAACUCAACCAUAAUUCUGAAAUUUUUGAACAUUUCAAACAAGUUAAAAUUACCAUACCAUUAUUGCAUGCAAUCAAACAAGUUCCUUCAUAUACAAAAUUUUUAAAAGACACACUGUCAAGAGAAAACUAAGCAUUUUUGACAGAGAACGUGAGCUCAAUUAUUCAACAAAACACUCCACCUAAAUUCAAAGAUCCUGGUUGUCCAACAAUUUCUUGUGUGAUUGGGAAUAAUAGGAUAGAGUGUGCCUUGCUUGAUCUUGGUGCUAGUGUUAAUCUAUUACCUUUUUCUGUGUCUUGGUUUGGGAGAACUUAAGCCAACAGCAACAAUACUUCAACUUGCUGAUCAUUCAGUAAAAGUUCCAAGAGGGGUUGAAGAGGAUGUUCUAGUUCAAAUUGAUAAAUUCUAUUAUCCUAUUGAAUUUAUUGUUUUGGACACACAUCCCAUUUUAAAUUCAAAUGCACAAAUAGUCAUUUUAGGACGUCCCUUUCUUGCUACUUCAAAUGCGUUGAUAAAUUGUAGAAAUGGUAUCUUGAAACUCUCUUUUGGAAAUAUGACAAUGGAAAUGAAUAUUUUUAACAUUUGCAAGCAACAUGGAGAUAAAGAUAAUUUGGAUGAAGUAGAUUUUAUUGAACAACUUGUUGAUGAUUAGUUUAUCACUACAUCUUCAUCUGAUGUGCUAGAAUUUGAAUUCAUCGAUAAUUCUAAAAAUCCGCAUAUAAUUUCUUUGUUGAAUUCUUUUCAGGAGAAAAAGAUAAGUGAUUGGAAAUCAAAGUUUGAGAAAUUAUCACAACAGUCCAAUAUGUUCAUGAUUUCUCACAACAAUCCAAUAUGUUCAUGAUUUCAAGUGUUCAAAUGCCAAAGAUCGACUUGAAACCAUUACCAUCUAAUCUGAAAUAUUCAUUUUUGGGUUAAGAUGAAAUUUUUUCGGUAAUAAUUUCUUCCAAACUUGAUGCGCACCAAGAAGGUAAGUUAUUACAAAAUUGAAAAAUGCAUAAAAAUGUUUUAGGAUGGACCAUGGCUGAUAUAAAGGGGACUAGUCCUUUGAUUUGCACACAUAAGAUUUAUUCGGAAGAAUAUGCUAAACCCACAAGAGAAAUGCAAUGAAGGCUUAAUCUUAUUUUAAAAGAGGUGGUAGGAAAUGAAGUCAUUAAACUCUUAGAUAAUGAAAUCAUUUAUCCUAUUUUUGAUGGUAGAUGGGUAAGUCCAACCCAAGUUGUACUAAAAAAAUCCGGUGUUACUGUAGUAAAAAACGAAGAAAAUGAGUUAGUUCCAACUAGAACUGUUACUGGUUAGCACAUGUGUAUCGACUAUAGGAAUCUCAACUUAAUGACUAGGAAAGAUCAUUUUCCUUUACCUUUUAUGGAUCAAGGAAAGAGUGGCAGGACAUGAAUUUUAUUGUUUUCUAGAUGGAUAUUCUGGGUAUAACCAAAUUGAAAUUGCACCUGAGGACCAAGUAAAGACCACUUUCAAAUGUCCCUUUGGUACUUUUGCUUAUCGUAGAAUGCCUUUUGGAUUAUGCAAUGCACCAGCUACAUUUCAAAGAUGCAUGCUUAGUAUUUUUAGCGACAUAAUUGAAAGAUCUUUGGAAGUUUUCAUGGAUGAUUUUUCUGUUUUUGGAGAUUCAUUUGAUUAUUGUUUAACUAACUUACAAAAAGUUUUAGUUAGGUGUGAAGAAAAGAAUCUUGUGCUCAACGGGGAAAAAUGUCAUUUUAUGGUCACUAAUGGCAUCGUACUUGGUCAUAUUGUAUCAUCUAACGGAAUUGAGGUAGACAAAUCUAAAACUGAAUUAAUUUCUAAUUUGCCUACUCCAAAUAGUGUUAAAGAGGUAAGAUCUUCUUUAGGACAUUCUGGUUUUUAUAGAAGGUUUAUCAAAGACUUUAGUGCCAUAUCUAAAUCAUUGUGUAAUCUCUUAUCUAAAGACAUGCCUUUUGAAUGGACUAAGUCUUGUCAAGAAGCUUUUGUUAAACUUAAGAAUAUGCUUACUUGUGCUCCUAUCAUGACACCUUUGGAUUGGAAUUUAUCUUUUGAAAUCAUGUGUGAUGCUAGCGAUUAUGCCGUUGGAGCUGUCUUAGGCCAAAGAAGAGAUAAAAAGCCUCAUGUCAUUUACUAGGCAAGUAAAACUCUAAAUAGUGUUCAAAUGAAUUAUUCAUGGCUCACCAAUUGUUAUUUUUAGUGAUCAUGUAGCUUUAAAAUAACCUCUCUCUAAGAAAGAUGCUAAACCUAGGAUGAUUAGGUGGAUUCUUUUACUCCAAGAAUUUGACAUCACCAUUCGAGAAAAGAAAGGAGUAGAGAAUGUUGUAGUUGAUCACUUGACUAGGCUUACUUGUGAUGAAUCGUUUGAAACAAAAUCAAUGAAGGAUACUCUCCCUGAUGAACAGCUUCUUAGUGUUUCUGACUUGCCUUGGUUUGUUGAUAUUGCUAAUUUUCUUGUAACAGGUUAAAUACCAUCUCAUUGGAAUGUGCAAGACAAAAAGAAAUUCUUCAAAGAGGUAAGAAAUUUCUUUUUUGAUGAUCCCCACCUAUUCAAAUAUUAUCCGGACCAAAUAAUAAGAAGAUGUGUGCCAAAUAAUGAAAUCCAAAAGAUAAUUGCCUUUUGCUAUUCUGAAGCAUCUCUUUUCUUCAAAGAAAACUGCUGCAAAAAUCUUGCAGUCUGGAUUUUAUUGCCUAACUCUUUUCAAAGACACAUGAAUUUUGUAAAGCUUGUGAAUGUUGUCAAAAAAUAGGCGAGAUAACUCAUAGAAAUAUGAUGCCAUUGACACCCAUACUAGUUAUUGAAAUAUUUGAUUGUUGGGGUAUUGAUUUCAUGGGUCCAUUCUCAUUUGGUUAUUUAUACAUCUUGGUAGGAGUUGAUUAUUUUUCUAAAUGGGUAGAGGCAAUUCCUUGAAAACACGAUGAUCACAAAAUUGUUAUGAAAUUUUUGAAAGAAAAUAUUUUUUCAAGAUUUGGAAUACCUCGAGCCAUUAUAAGCGACGGCGGUUUACCGAUUGGUGUCUAAAAGUGCUUCAAAAAUAUACCAUUUACAAGGCAUUGUACAUUCACUUUGUUUAAAACCACUAAUGUUAGUCUCUAAUUUCAAUUCUCUUGCCAUAAAUUCAAUUUUCAUAAAUAUAUGGUUAAAAGAUCAAUUAAUCGAAAUGCGUAUUUAAAUACAUGUCGGCAUGAGUAUUAUACUUUUAAAGAGUAUUUAUUUGAUGUAUUUCACAUGUAUUUCCAAGGUAGAACAAGUGGAGAAAAAAAUGUUGAAAAGUAAAAAAUAUCAGCUGUCUCGAGUAAAGAUACAGCUGUCUCGGUGAAAUUGCCAUAACUCGAGUUGUAGAUAUCGAAACAAGGUGAUUCAAGUCGGGUUGGAAAGAUAAGAUAUGCAUCUACAACUUUUUUGUUUACCAAGAAGUCAAAUUCACAUCAUAAGGUAGCCAAAAUUACUGUGCAAAAUCUAACUUGUUACCUGCCGGAUACAGCUUUUUCUACUUGUGAACAACACUCAUUGUUUUGGCCAUAUCUGGAGUUGUAGAGAUCCAAUGGAUCUGACAUUGUCUCAACUGGCAACAAUUUAUCGGUGGAUCAUAAGUCCAAAUUCAUGGCAUAAAGUAUCUGAAAAUUGACAUCAAGUUGCAUAUUCUAGCUGUCUUGAAGUUGGACAGAAACAAGUUGCAUUGUCUACUUCCAUUUUGGAUGUUUCUUUGCCUAUAAAAGGGAACCUUGGCCAAGAUUUUGAGGGCAUAAAUUCCUCUUCAUCAUAUUCUAGUUUUCUUCAUUUUCUUUGUAAGAUUUGAUUAUAUAUUUCUAAACCAUUAGCUAGAACUAGGGGUGAAACUUUGGUGAAUGUGUAGUAUUGUCUUUGAUCUUUCACUUUGUUCUUCAAUGUUCAUCUUCUUAUUUGGUUGAAAUAUAUGUUCUACAAAUGGUUUUGGUUUAUUAAAGAUUUUGAUUUAUUGUUGACAAAUUUUGGCACAAUAAAUGCUUAGAUAAUUUCUACAUUCCAACAACUUAUUUUGACAUAUUCUCUCAAACAAUUAUCAAGAUCUAUCUUUUAGUAUAUUUGCAAUCAAUGUUUUAUCUUCCAUAUUUCAUAUGAGUUAAAUAAAAGAUCAAGAGUAAUUUCUACUUAUUUUUCCGAAGUGAAUCCCUAAAGCUCUAGUGUUCUUCUUCAUCAUAUUUCCACCAACAGUUUACUACUCAUAGACUAGUUUAUUUCCUUCCAAUUCCUUGUGGUUCGAUCUCGGAUUUUCGAGUUUACUACUUAAGACAACCUGCACUUAGGUUUGCAACCUUAAAGUUGUAGAGUUUACACUUCUGUAAUAAACUUUUUAAGGCCCUAAUGAAAAAAUAUGGAAUUACUCAUAAACUAUCUACUCCUUAUCACCCAAACACUAGUGGUUAAGUUGAACUCGCAAAUAGAGAGAUUAAAUGCAUUUUGGAAAAAAACAAUGAAUCCAAAUAGAAAAGAUUUGUCUUUACGAUUAACCGAUACACUUUGGGCUUAUCGUACAGCUUUCAAAACACCCCUUGGUAUGUCACCUUAUCAACUUGUUUUUGGAAAGCCUUGUCAUUUACCUGUUGAAUUGGAACACAAAGCAUUUUGAGCUAUUAAAAUAUUUAAUUUCAGUUUAGAUGAAGGUUUACUAAGGAAACUUCAAUUGAAUGAGUUGGAAGAAAUUAGGAAUGAAGCUUGUGAAAACUCUCGAAUUUACAAGGAGAGAAUGAAGGUAUUCCAUGAUAAAAAUAUUGUUAGAAAAACUUUUGAGUCUUCCCAAAAAUUUCUUUUGUACAACUCAAGAUUACAUUUAUUUCCUGAAAAAUUAUGCUCCAAAUGGAUUGGUCCUCUCAUUGUCAAAAUUGCUUACCCACAUGGAGCUGUAGAAAUUAAAAAUCCAAGUAAUGAAAAUAUUUUUAAAGUUAAUGGACAUCGUUUGAAACCAUUUUUUAAGAAUUUCUCUAGAUUAAAAGGGUCCAUUGAUCCUAAAGAUUGAUAUCAUUUUCUCAUUAGUUUAUUUUGUAUGUUUCUUUUCAAUUUUAUAAUGUUGUGCGUUUGUUUUAGGUGUGUUUCUUUUAUUGUCAUUUUUCUUUUUCUCUCCUUUUUUUUUUUUGGCUAAUGAAAUUGAAGGUUCAUUUAGGCCAAGUUUAUGCAGACUCUCCAGGUAAAUCUCAAAACCCGUUCCUUUGUUCAAAAUUUUGCUCCUUACUGUCCUUCAUAUACUUUGCAUGUUUAAUCUUCACAUUGAGGACAAUGUUUCAUUUAGGUUGGGGAGAAAGGAAUAAAAAAAAAAAAAAGACUUGCCGAGCAAUGAUGAUAUUAUUUGAAAUUGUUUUUAUAUUAUUGUGACUAGGGAAUGCUGUUUUGAUUUAGUUGAAACUUGUUCAUGUUAGAAUGAUUUACAUUGAGCACAAUAAUCAUGAAAAUCACAUAUUAUUUAGAUUGGAUCAAUGGAUAGAAUAUGUCGAAUUAACCAUGACAAAAAAAAUAAAAAAUAAAAAAUUCUACUAAACCAAUUCUAGUAUAGUUUGGGGUAGUUGAGCUGUUGUAGGGAGAAAUUAAGAUAGAUGUGGAUUCCAUGCGUGUUAAAUUUUGUGUGGAUUGCUUAAGACCAAUGAGAUGAUAAUUACGUAAAAAUUUUAAGUUAAAGAUCAAUUUUUGAGAAUAAGUAUUUAAUGAGGGGCAUUGCACUAAUCAUUGCAUAGAAGGGAAAAAAGCUGUCAUGUUGUGAAGCUAUCCUAAAAGAGCCGAAUGAGGACAAUUAUAUAUAUAAAAAGAGAUCAGGCUAGUGCACGAAACAGAAUACGCACGACAAACUUGAAAAAAGCAGGUGCAUGAAACAGAAGACGCACUACAUGCUUGAUUGAGUCCCAAACACUUAUUUUAGAGAAUUAGACAUUUGAUAAGGGAUUAGUAGUUUAGUUGAUUCUUGGAGGUUGAAUCGGUCAAAAUUAAGGAGAAUUCUCAUUUAUUAAUGUGUUGAACUAUAAUUAGUAAAAUCUAACCAAACUAGAGAGGGUGAGUAAUAGUAUAUAAAUUUAACCAUAAAUCACACCUUGAGAAAAUAGUUACAAAAUCAAGUUUGAGGAUGUGCAUCCCACGAGAGAAGAGAGAAAUAAUUGACCAUUCAGGGUUAGGAUGAGUCCAAUUUGAAAAAGUAUGUGAUUGAAUUAAUUAUGCACAUACAUACGUUGGUCGAGUAUUGGACAAGUUAGACUAUGUUUUGGUAGCAAACCUUAAAAACAUUUUGUUAAGUAGUUUCAAAUCUUGAGACAAGUGCGACAAGCUAUUUUAUUUGAACUAUUUUGAAUUUUAUUGCUAGAGACUAGUAAUAUCUUGGUUGGAAGUGUGAUUAGUGUCUAAAAAUGCUUCACAGAUAUAUCAUUUACAAGGCAUUUUAUAUUUACUUUGUUUAAAAACACUAAUGUUAGUCUCUAAUUUCAAUCCUCUUGCCGUAAAUUCAGUUUCAAUAAAUACAUGGUGAAAAGUGCAAUUAAUCGAAAUACGUAUUUAAAUACACGUCAACAUGAGUAUUAUACUUUUGAAAGAGUAUUUAUUUGAUGUAUAUCACAUGUAUUUCCAAGGUAGAACAAGUGGAACAAGUGGAGAAAAGAUGUUGAAAAGUAAAAAAUGAUUAGUUGUCUUGAGCAAGAUACUACUGUCUCGAUAAAAGGGACAUAACUCGAGCUGUAGUUAUCGAAACAAGGUGAUUCAAGUUGGGCUGGAAAGAUAAAAUACGUAUAUAAAAUUUUCAUGUUUACCAAGAGUCAAAUUCACAUCAUAAGGUAGCCAAAAUUACCAUGCAAAGUUCAACUUGUUACCUAUCGGAUACAACUUUUCUACCUGUGAAGCAGUACUUAUUGUUUUGGCCAUAUCUGGAGUUAUAGAGACCCAAUGGACCAGAUAUUUGUACCAAUGGAAAGCUAACUCAAGUGUAACAAUUUAUUUAUUGAUCAUAAGUUCAAAUUUGCUAAACAAAGUAUUUGAAAAUUGGUAUCAAAUUGCAUGUUCCAACUGUCUUGAAGCUCGACAGAAAUAAGUUGCAUUGUCCGCUUGCAUUUUGGAUGUUCCUUUGCCUAUAACCUUGGCCAAGAUUUUGAGAGCAUCAAUGACUUUAUUAUAUUCUAGUUUCUUUCAUUUUCUUUGUAACAUUUGACUAUAUAUUUCUAAACUAUUAGCUAGAGCUAUGGGUGAAACUUUGGUGAAUGUGUAGUAUUGUCUUUGAUCUUUCACUUUGUUUUUCAAUGUUCAUCUUCUUACUUAGUUGAAGUAUAUAUUCUACAAAUAGUUUUGGUUUGUUAAAGACUUUGAUUUAUUGUUGACAAUUUAGGCACAAUAAAUGCUUAGAUAAUCUCUACAUACCAACGACUUAUUUUGACAUAUUCUUUCAAACAAUUUUUAAGAUAUAUCUUUUAGUAUAAUUGUGAUCAAUGUUUUAUCUUCCAUAUUUCAUAUGAUUUAAAUAAAAGAUCAAGAGUAAUUUUUACUUAUUUAUCCGAAGUGAAUUCCCAACGCUCUAGUGUUCUUCUCCAUCGUAUUUCUACCAACUGUUCACUACUCAUAGAUUAGUUUAUUUUCUUCUAAUUCCCUGUGGUUCAACCUCGGUCUUCCGAGUUGACUACUUGGGACAACCUGUGCUUAGGUUUGCAACCUUAAAGUUGUAGCAGAAACAUGCUCGUAUUGCUUCGAUUUGCCCUUCAAAUUUAGUUGUAAAACCAUAAUGAUUAAAAUCAAAUGAAGUUCAAAAUGAUUUCUUCCAUUAAGAUCCCCCAACUCCUCUUUUGGAAUCAUUUGAUCCCCAAAUUUCAAUGGUGGCAUUGAAUUGAUCAAGUUUGUGUGGAGCCUUUUGUGGCUUAAGGUGAGAUUGAUAUAAUCAAACACCUUUUCUAUCAAUGGAUGAAUGGCUCCUCUGUCCUCAGUAUCGAAGAAAGCUUAUGAAAAACAGUGAAAGGUCGAUAAAUACCCAAAUAUUAACUAGGAUUCAAAAAACCAAUUAACAAAGUAGUAAGUAAAGUGCAAAAAAUAGAAAAAUCAACACAAGGAUUUUUUCGGCCGAAGACCCAGAAGUUCGACGAACACAUCUAACGCCUAAUCUCCUAUUGAGCAUCCAUUAUAAAUGGAUUUAGCUCGUUUGCACUAUAAAGCCAAAAUCCCGCAACAAGAAUAUAUAAUAUGUUCCAAAAAUUACAAAGAUCAAGCUACUAAGACUUAUCUUUAAGAAGAUUGAAGAAUCAAAUCACACUCUUUCAGAAACUUGAAGAAGAUCACUCAGAUUUUCUCAAAAACCCUACUGCUUGCACGAAUCACUUAGAUUCUGGGACAUUUAACUCAUAAUACAGUGCAGUAGCAUGUAGAUCUAGAGUAUUACAGAUGUUUCACUAAGAUUUAAUCAUUGAAACACUCAAGAACUCAAACCUUAAUCACGAAGAAUGAGCAAUUCUCACGAAUAGGAAAGGAGAUGAAGAGAUGAAACUCCACCCUAGAAAUUCUCUCAAAGUGUGCAAGUCAAAGAGUCACGAUCAGAAUAUAAAGCAAGAAGCAUCUAGAACUUAAUCAAACAGUCAUCACUGUACCACACGUCACAAUUUGAUUGAAGACCUCCAAUAACAAAGGUGUAAAAUCAGAAACACGCUUUCUUCACAUUUUGGAAGCACACUUUUAUAAGUAAUGAGGUCAAUGGUUCGAAACUCAACAAUCUCCACAUUGCUUCCAAAAUUCUUGGCAAUAGUGCAGCCAGGAGCUUCACCAACUAUUUAUAAUUUCAUUUGCUCUGGUACCUGUAUAGUUAAUGACAAGAAUCAACAAAUAAAUCCUUUAAACAAUUUUUGAAACUUGUUUAAAGGUAUCACUUUUGUUCCCAUAUAAGACGAAUUACACUAAGUAGGAAUUUUAUAAAUUUUCUGCAACCAUUUUAAGAUAAUAUCUGUAAUAAAACGGUAUUUGACAUCAAUGUGUUUAGUUCUUUCAUGGAACAUGGGAUUGUUACUCAAAUGGAUUACACUCUAAUUGUUAGAAUAUAGGAUUGGAUUAGUGUCUGCAAAACCAAGUUCAUUUAACAGUCCAACAGACAUCUACAUUCUUUGAUGGCAUCAGUGGCUGUAACGUAUUUAGCCUUUGUGGAAGAUAGAACAACAAUUUUCUUUAACUGAGAUUUCUUGCUUAUUAUAAUGCCACACAAAGUGUAAAAAUAUGAUGAGAUUGAUCUCAUAUUGUCUCUAUCCUCAGUAAAAUCAGAAUUUGUAUAUCCCUUUAGAAUUACACCCUCUUUAUUCAUUCUAAACAUGAACCAUAAGUUAGAUGAACCCUUUAGAUAUUUCAUUAACUAUUUCAAAGCUUUCCAGUGACUUUCAUCAGUAUUUUCCAUAAAUUUACUCAAAACACUAAUACUAUAUGCCAAGUCAGGUCUAGUGCAAAUCAUCAAGUACAUAACUGAUCCAACAACAUUAGCAUAGGGUAUUUUUGAUAUUCUUCUAAGUUCAUCUUCAGUUUUAGGGCAAUAAUCUGAUGUUAAUAUAAAAUGAUUAGUAAGGGGUAAAGACACAGGUUUACAAUCAAACACGUUAAACCUUUUUAGGUUCUUAUUCACAUAAUCUUGUUGACUUAAGAACAAGCAAUCAGAUUCUUUAUUUCUCAUGAUUUGCAUACCAAGAAUUUUCUUGGUAGGGCCAAGAUUCUUUAUAUCGAAUUUUGAUUUUAAUUUGUAUUUGAUAUCAUCAAUUUCAGAUUUAUUAGCACUGCAAGAAGUAUAUCAUCAACAUAAAGCACAAGAUAAAGAGGGUCUGUAACACCAUUUCCUUUACAAUAAAGACAUGUAUCAUAGUUGCUUCUAUUAAAACCAAGCUUUAAGACAAAUGAAUCAAAUCUUUUGUACUAUUGUAUUGGAGCUUGUUUUAAGCCAUACAAUUUUUUUUUUCAACAAACACACAGUUUUAUUAGGAUUUCCUUUAAUAAAUCCUAUGGUUGUUUCAUGUAAAUCACUUCAUCCAAUUCACCAUAAAAAAUGCAGUUUUAACAUCCAGUUGAUCAAAUUUCCACUUAAAUUGCACGACCAAAGCAAGAAUGCAUCUUAUUGUAGUACAUUUAACUAUGGGGGAAAAAUCUCAUCAUAGUUCACACCCUCUUUUUGUGUGAAACCCUUGGUAACAAGUCUAGCUUUGUAUCUAACCUUAUUAGUAUCCUCUUCCUCUUCCCCUUCUUUUAUUUUAUAAAUUCAUUUACAAUCAACUAGUUUCUGAUCCUUUGGUUUAUCAAUUGAUUCCCUUGUCUUAUUUUUGUACAAAGAAGCCAUUUCUUCUUCCAUAGCAGCCAACCACCUUUUAGAGUCUUCAGAUUUUAAGGCUUCAUUAUAUGAACUAGUUCAUAUCCUUUUUCUUCCUGGUAAGUGAAUAAAGACACAAAGUCAUCACUAUUAAACCUUGUAGAUGAUCUAAUUUGUCUCCUAUCCUUAUCUCUUGUGAGCUGGUAUUUAUCCAGUGUUACAUAUGUGUUAUCAUAUUGCUUAGGUUUUGCCAAAUCAAGCUCAUUUUCAUUCAGGUCGGCCUUAAUAGUUUCAGUUUCUAAGGGGACAAACUAUUAUUAUUAAUUUUAACAGGCUCCACCUCAAUUUGGACAUAAUUUUUCGUUAAAUUCCCUUUCUUUCCUUCCAAACAUGGCAUACGUGACUCAUUAAAGGCCACAUCCCUUCAAAUGAUAACCCUAUAACCUUUUCCCCAUAAACCCACAGCCUAUACCUUUUAAUAUUUUCAGCAUAGCCCAAAAAUACACACGUCAGUGAUCUAGAUUCAAGUUUCCCUAUGUUUUGAUUUGCAUAUGCAGCACAACCAAAAGUUUUCAAAUAAGAGUAUACAAUAGGCUUUUAUGUCCACAUAGAUUCAGGCAUAUCAAAAUUUAAAGCGCUUGUAGGACUUCUACUAAUCAAAUAUGUAGCAGUUUUAACAGUCUCACCCCAAAAUAAUUUGGGUACGCUUGUACUUAAAAGCAUGCAUCUAACCUUAUUCAAUAAAGUCCUAUUCAUUCUUUCUGCAAUUCAAUUUUGCUGGGGUGUAUGUGUUAAGAGUUCUAUGUCUUCAAAUGCCAUGCAAUUUGCAAAAAAUCAAUAAACUCAUAAUUGCAAAAUUCUAGGCCAUUGUUUGUUCUUAAAGUCUUAAUUUUCAAAUCAGUUUGAUUUUCAAUUUGGAUUUUUCAAUCUUUAAAUGUAGUAAAUGUUUCACCUUUAGUUUUCAGCAACAAAAUCCAAAUUUUCCUUAAAAAUCAUCAACAAUCAACAAGUAAUACUUGUAACCAGACAAUAUAGGUGUGGAUGAAGGGCCCCACAAAGCAAAAUGUAUAAACUCUAGAAUUUGCUUUGAUUUUUGAGUUCUAGUGGGAAAGGGAAACUUAACUUGUUUUCCAAUCAAACAUCGUUCACAAGUAAGUAAUUCACCAAUAUUUGAUUUUCCAAAUGCACCUUUAUUUUGAAGAGCCUUUAGACCUUUCAUCCCAAUGUGACCAAGUCUACAAUGCCAUAAUUUUGCCAGGUUAAAUUCAUUAUCUAAAGCUGCUAUAGAUAGACCCAUUAAAGAUUUUGCGUUUAGAAAAUAUAAACCAUGUCUCUUUGGGAUAGAAAUGAUCAAGUCACUAUAAAGAUUUAAUAUGUCCUUGACCCAAUUUAAUGUCAAACUCCAUACCAUCAAGCAUCCCUAGAGACACAAAGUUCUUUUCUAAUUCAGAAACAAAUCUAGCAUUCUUUAACAGUAAAACUUUGCCAUUUUCUAAAAGCAUUUUUAUUGUUCCAAUCCCUUUUACUUUACAAGUCAUGAUGUUUUCCAUGAUAACUUGACCUCCUUUAAUUUAUUCAAAAUUCAAAAAAUAGUUUUUGUUUGGACACAUGUGGAAAGAGCAGCCUCAGUCAAGAAUCUAUUUUUGAUUCAUGUUUCUUUCAACAUUUACAAGAACUAGGCCAUUGUUCAUUUGUUGCUUAUCAUAGGACAUAACAGCAUUAUCGUCACUUGACUCCUUUUCUUUUAAAUCAUUUUGCUUUUUAUAUUAGUCUUUAGAAAAGUGACCCAACCUACUACAAUAAUAGCACUUCUUUCCCUUGGCCUUAUUUUUAUAUUUCAUUUUAUCAUUGUUCUUUCUUCUAGGGUCAAUGGGAAAUUUUGAAUGAAAAUUAGAUUUACCAACAUUUUUGCCUUUUAUAAAAGGAUUUUCUCCAUUUUGAUUGUUAAUAGAAUCUAAUUUGAGUUCAAGAACCUUAUUUCUUAAGGCAUUUAUAAUGAUAUUAGUUGUAAGCUUAUUUCUACCAUAUUCAAGGGCAUUCUUGAGGUCUCUAUGUCUAUCAAUAAUGGAGUUUAACAAGAUCACAACCAAUUGAUCAUUUGAUGAUUUUCAUCACAGUUGGCAAGGUCCUGGGUCAAUUUUGUAAAUCUGUCUAGGUUUUCAUCCAAUUCAACAGAAGAGUCCAUUUUAAAAGAAAAGAACUGUUUAGGUAAAAAAAUUUAUUUAGGACAGUCUUUGGCUCAUAUUGAGCCUUUAAUUUGGUUCACAAUUUUUCAGCAGUUUUAGUUUUUCCUAUACACCUGAUCACAUCGUUUGAAAAGUACGAGAAAAUAGUACUCCAAGCUAUUUAUUCUAACUUAAUUCUUUUAGACACAGACAUUUCUACAGGCCAAGAAUUGUCUAAGGCUCUAGCACAUUUUAACUGCAUUAAGAUAGCUUUCAUCUUUUGGCUCCACAUAUUAAAGUCCCUCCCUUCCACCAUACAUAUUCACUUCAAACUUAGCAGUGGCCAUUACAAGAUACCCCAAGAUAAUACACAGAGAGAUACACAAUAAGUGGACAACAUGCAGAUAGGGGAUUGGGGCCAACAGUGAUGCACUUAUACUAAUUUUUUCAAAUAGUGAACACACAACACCAAUUAUAAGGGCAGGAUCACAUAACAGAGAUAGCAAUUCCUAUGUCUCAACUGACUUCUCCGGCAAGACCUUCCAUUUGCACUCCUCACUGUGUUGUUUUCUCAGAUUCCCAAGACUUUUUAGAGUCUUUGGACAAAGACCAAUCACAGGAGGGGUUAAGUGCAAGGUAAAUCAAGGGAAAACUUCAGGAGACUCUACAGCAAAGAGAUUACAAGUAGCAGUAUACACGAAAGAUCUCACCAAAGAGUUCAACAGAACUCAAAAUUUCUACAGCCAAUGUUCACUCGAUUUGAAGGUAGGUUUCAAAUCCAAUUUUUCACAAAGAUCAAUUUUCCUUCAGCAGACCAGCCUUUGAUACCAUCGGAAGGUCGAGAAAUACCCAAAUAUUAACCAAGAUUAAAAAAACAAUUAAGUAAAGUGCAGAAAAUAGAAAAAUCAACAUAAGGAUUCUUUCGACCGAAGCCCCAAAGGUUCGGGCGACCACAUCUAACGUCUAAUCCCAUGUUGAGCAUCCAUUAUAAAUGAAUUUAGCUCGGUUGCACUAUAAAGCCAAAAACCGGCAACAAGAAUAUACAAUAUGUUCCAAAAAUUACAAAGAUCGAGCCACUAAGACUUAUCUUAGAAAGAAUGAAGAAUUAGAUCACACUCCUUCAGAAACUCAAAGAAGAUCACUCAAAUCUUUUCAGAAACCCUACUGCUUGCACGAAUCACUUAGAUUCUGGUACAUUAAACUAUAACACAGUACAGUAGCAUAUAGAUCUAGAGUAUUACAAACGUCUCACUAAGAUUUAAUCACUGAAACACUCAAGAACUCAAAACCCUAAUCACGAAGAAUGAGGGAUUCUCACGAAGAGGGAAGGAGAUGAAGAGAUGAAAGCCACCCUAGAAAUUCUCUCAAAGUGUGCAAGUCAAAGAGUCACCGUUAGAAUAUAAAGCAAGAUGCAUCUAGAACUUAAUCAAGCAGUCAUUACUGCGCCACGCAUCACAAUCCGGUUAAAGACCUCCCCUAACAAAGGUGUAAAAUCAGAAACACGCUUUCUUCACAUUUUGAAAGCACGCUUUUAUAAUUAAUGAGAUCAAUGGUUCGAAACUCAACAAACGGAUUUCUCAAAAUCUGAUAACAUCCAUCUCACAUCGUCCCCGAGUUGAAAAACUAUUCCCUUUAUUCCAGUUCGAAUAGCAUAUGCUGAUUUGGAGUCGAAAAGGGCAUCAAUUUUUGGUAAAAGAGACGCCAAAGUAUCAUAUAGGCNUAAUUGAAUAAAUUGAUGAGCAUGAACGUGUUAGAGAAAAAUAAACUUUAUACUAUAUAUUACUAACAAAAUAAACUAUAUAUACUUUAUUCUGGUUUAGUUCGAUUUUAAAUCGUGAUUUUCUUCAUAUAUGAUUUAUUCUGGUUCAGUUAAAUAUUACUAACAAAAUAAACUAUAUACUAACUAUAAUCGCAAUAACUAGAAGAGUUUGCUGAGCUUUUGGGUUUACACAUUGGGACGUGAAGAAGUUUUUGUGUCUGAAAUAUGUAGUACAAACUAUGAAUAAUUAUGGAUUGUGUGCUUUAUCACAUUACAGUAUUUAGUGAGUUAUAGUUCAUCAAACUGCCUAACUUAAAUUAAAAUAGUUAUAAUAUAUUUUGUAGGUGAAUAUUUUAUCGAUUUGAUGAUUCUGAUCCGUGUUCAAUUUGGAUUAUUUUUAGAAUCCUAAUUUUUUUUAUUUGUACUUCUAUUUUUUUAUUAUUAUUAUUUUUAAAUUAUAAGCGGUCUAAUUCAAUUUCAAAUGUGAAAGCUUUAAUUGGUUUAAACAGUACUUGCAAGUUAUCACAUGUUACAUGUGAAUAUGUUCAUAAAACUUAUUUUAGGGAACAAGAAUGAAUCAUUGAAUUGAAAUGGACACGAAUUUUGGGUUAGGUGUCACUAAUUGAUGUUGGCAAUGGGUGAUAUAGCAUAUACUCUUACAAUCAAUCAAGCCAAAGUAAAAUGCUCUUCAUUUUUUUAUUUUAUUAUUAUUAUUUUUUUUUGGGUUCACACCACAUAUUUUGAUAAAUACACUACUUUUAAAUCACAUUAAAAGGUAUUAAGUUCUAUUCAUUAUUACAAUUAUAUUCUUAAAUUUUUUCAUCACAUUCUUAUUUUUAGCACUUUGUUAAUAAAUUUUUUUUGUCCUUAUUCAUGAAUUUUAAGUUCUAUUCAUUAUUACAAGUAUAUUCUUAAAUUUUUUCAUCACAUUCUUAUUUUUAACACUUCGUUGAUAAAAUUUUUUUGUCCUUAAUCAUGAAUUUUUUUGAAAAUAUUAUUAACGUGCUUUAAGAUAAUUAUAAAAUAUUAUUUAGUUUGCAUAUUCAAAAAUACAAUUGAAAAAUGAGACAUUUGACUCUAUCUUAAAAAAAAAAAUUGGAGAGAAACUAUAAUCAGAAACAAAUUAUGUUAAUUUGAGAAUAAGAAUGCGAUGAAAAAAAAUUGAGACAUAAACGUAAUAAUAUGUAAAGGUUAUGAACCUUUUAUGUAAUUAAAAUGUAGGUGAGAAUAUAUUUAGCCUUUUUUAUGUCUCUAUGUUAUAACCAUUAUAGAAAGCUUUUUGUUCUAAUAAAUAUUAACACUUUGUCAACAUUCCGCCUUUCUUUUCCAAAAUUUACUCUAUAAUGGAAUCAAGAGAUAACAAACAAAUGAGGUUAAAAUAAUCGUUUUAUUAAUCACAUUUAUUAUUUUUAUUGCACCUUUAUUACUGUUAUAGCUCGGGAAUUUUUGACAUCUAAUUAUUAGGGUUUGGUAUCUAAAGAAGAGUACCACUUUUGUUGAUAUUGGUUGUUUUCAAUUAUUUAAUAAUAUUUUGUAGAGUUUCUCCAAAUCGUUUAAUCCAAUUUGAUGUUCCAUGUGAAUCAACGAAAUUGAAUCCCUGCUCUCUAAGUUGGAUCACUUUAUCAUUUCUCUCCAAAGAUAAAUGCUAAAAGUACAAUUUUUUUUUUUAACAAAUUUUAUAUAGGAAAUACAGCUGUCUCACAAGAAAAUCAGCUAUCUUCCUAUAUAAAAUCCGGUAAAAAAAUCUGUACUCGUAGAAUAAUUCCUCUCCAACUGCACAUAAAAAAAUAAAAAAAUAAAAACGGAAGGAAAGGAAUAAUAAUUUAAGAAAGAAGUUAAUAUGGGAACAAAUAAGUUUUGACGUUAAGCUCUAACUUAUAAAUAUUGUAGUAAGUACAUCUCCAAGAACUUUAUUCCUUUUAUUAUUAUUAUUUUUUUUUUAAACAAAUAUUCCUCCAAGCUUUAUUAUUUUUUUUUCUGCAAACAUGUCUACAACCUUUCGAUUUUGUAACAAACUUGCACCAUAAUGAAUUGUUUUUUCUCAUCAUUAUUGCCCUUGAAGUUAAACAGACAUUUAACUCUCACACGACUUGCUAUUCGAUGUUAAAAUAUAUAAUAUUGUUAAAUUUAAAGAACAACCAAGUAAUAAUAAAAAAAAAAAAAGGAAAGAAAAAAAAUUCUAUUUGCCGACUCAAUAUAAAAAUUUACAUGCAUAUUAAAUAAGAUUAACAAACUAUACCUUCUAUAUCACAUUGUGUAACAUUUUACGUACUUUAAAGUAUUAUAAAUUUUUUUUUAUUUUUUUCAAUGACGGGGGAACCUGCAGCCGCUACCUUUCACGUGUGCACUGGGUAAACCCUCGAGUUGACGCAAUAGCUUGCAAACCACACCAGUCAGGUAAAUCGUACUAGCCAAGCCCUGUGCGACAGGUUCAAACGAGAAAGUGUUGGUAUUAUAAAUUGUUAGAAGCUAUUAUGUUCCAUAAAGCGCUCUUUAUGAUAUGGUAAUCUAUUAUGAGAUUUGUAUAAUUUUACUAUCUUCAACUCUUUGAACUCCAAAAAUAAUAAAUAAACUUUUAUGAACUAAUAAGGUAUUAAAAAUAUGGACAACAUUUCACUUGAUGUGUUUGCCAACAUCGCAAACAGACAAACGAGAAUUCUUAGUUGUCGAUUUUCUAAGUGAAUUUUUUUCAAAGAAAAAUAAAUUUAAAAAAUAUAAUAAUUUUUACAUAAGUUAUUAUUGUUCAACUUAAAGUUAAUAUAUAAUUACCUAUAAUAGGGAUUUAUUAGCAUUAUAUUAUUUUUAGCAGAUUACAAAAAGCUCCCUGAGGUUUAUGAAAAUUAGAGAGACACUUCCUCCAUUUUAAAAAUUUACACAAACCUUCCUUAUUUUAUGUUUUAAAUAAUGCAUACAUCCCAUUUAAGUUUGUGACAAUUUUAGAGACAUCUCUAAAAAAAUUGCACUAAUAUCUCUUAUUUCAAAUUUUAAAUAACACAUAACUCCACGGGGCAAUCUCUCUAGUUCCGAAAUUACACAAGCCUCCUUUAUUUUAAGAUUUGAAUAACACAUACCUCAUCUAAUCACUUUUCUUUUACAUAUUAGUAUAUAUCAUAGUUGUAAUGCUUAAAAUAUCCUAAUGAAUUUCUUCCAUCUUGUGGCCCAUUUAACAAUAAUUUAACAUUCAAAAUACAAUUUUAACUCUUCUAAUUAUAUCAUCAACAGGUAUUAUCUAGACUAUCAAUUCUUAAAAAAUAGAUCAAUAGAUACUUUAAUUUAAGAUAAUCAAAUAUAUUUACACAUGACGAAGUGAUGAGCACAAUCAAGAUAGUAUCCAAAUAAAAAUAGUAAUAGAUAUUUCAUUUUGCCUAUAAAUCAUCCUCUAUUUACAAAAUAUAACAAAAUACUUCAGAAAUAAGUUAUAUGUAGCAUUUAUUUAAACUCCACUUGAUUGAUCAUUAAAAAACUUCAUUUUUUUACUCUCUAUUAAAGUAAAAGUAUUUAAAAAAGUGAUAUAUGUACAAAGUUAUAAAUAUUUGAAAAAUGUAAUCAUGUUAUUAACUUUUGUUAGAUUUUGAGUUGGCAAUUUUGUGAAUAAAAGGGCCAAUCUGUCAAUGUUCAAAAGUUUGGGCUCAAUUUGUCAGUGUUUAAAAGUUAGGGGUUAAUUUGUACAUAUGUAAAAGAUGAGGGACUUAGUUUCAAUUUUGUCAAAUUAUGUUAGGGCUUGAGUUGUGAAGUAGGUUAAGAAGUGUCGUUGAAGUUUCGCUAGCUGCUCGCUAGGUGGUCCCUCGAGCGUUAAAAGCAGAGUCUCUCGCUCGCUUUUCUCCCCGGUCUCACUCGAGCGAAAUAGGGUCGCUAGCUUUUCGCUCGAGCUACAGUGUUACCUGGAGAACUCUAUUUCUUUUUUCGAGAUUUUGACCCGACCCAUAUGACCCAAAACAUCUCAUAUAAAUUUGAUUGCGCCGUUUUUCAGUUGUUUUUCUUGGGGAUUGAACUAGGAGAAAACACUCCACACCUUGAUUCUGUCAUUCGAUCCCAUAUUCUCUUAGUGCAAUCACACAAAAAACAUCAAAUCCACCUUCAUCAAAUGCUACAAUAAAUUCUUCCAGAGCAUCUGUUAAGACUUGAAGAUCAGGGAAAGAGAUCGGGAUUCUGAUCAUUGGGGAAUGAGGAGUUCUUUGAAAUUCAUAGGAGAUAGAUGAAAUCAAGAGCUGAGAAUUGGUGUAAAGCAUGCAAUCUAGGAGGGCUAGGAGCCAGGAGUUGGUGCAGGAUCAUGCAUUCCAGGAGGGCUUUUGAAAACUAUAAUCAGGAGGUCAGAAAAACUAGUGUGGGUUGAGUCUGACGGAUUAUAAGAGAUAUUUUUGUUUGUAGUGGAUUCAUACUAGCUUGGGCCCUGAGUUUUACCCACAUUGGGGUUUCUUCGUCAUCAAACAACCGUAUUCUUUACAUUUAUGCAAUUUACUUGUUUCCGAUAAUUUAAUGUGGGAUAGUAAAGCAUGUGAAUUGAUCUAAACAUAUUAAUACUUGUGACUUGUUGUAUUUAUUAAUUAAUUAAUUAAUAAAUUUCUGCAUAAACACCUAUUCAUCCCCUCUCUAGGUGUUAUUUGGAUCAAACUACAUUAUUUCAAGUGGUUUCAGAGCCAAACCUCGAGUCCUGACCCAUUGUUGUCUAGAUGAGACAAUCAUUGUCCAUGCCUCCGUAUUUUGACGGAAGCAACUAUGCCUACUGGAAGGUUAUGAUGCAUGUUUUUCUUAAGUCCCUAGAUGAACAUGUUUGGGUGAGUGUGCAAAAUGGUUGGAAGCCGCCUUCUACAACUGUGUCUGGUAUUUUUACUCUAAUUGAUAUUUCACUUUGGACUAGGGAAGAAUUAGUUGAUUACAAUUGGAAUAGAAAAGGACUCCAUGCCUUGUUUAUGGCUGUGUCUCUCGAAGAGUUUAGGAGAGUGUCAAUGUGCGAAACUGCUAAGGAGGAGUGGGACAUUCUAGAAACUACUCAUGAGGGAAUAAAACCAUAAAAAAUUCAAAACUACAUUUGCUAGCCUCUAGGUUUGAAGAAAUUAGGAUAAAGGAUGAUGAAUCGUUUAAUAAGUUUUACGCAAAAUUGAAUGGCAUUGUAAACUCUAGCUUCUAGGAGAGAAGAUUCCCAAAUCCAAAAUUGUGAGAAAGGUUCUUAGGUCUUUGCCCGAGAGGUUUACACUUAAAGUUACAGCUAUCGAAAAGAGCAAGGACCUGGACACGAUUAAGAUAGAAGAACUCAUAGGAUCCCUUCAAACCUAUGAACUCACCAUUUCACAACUUAAGAAAAACAAGUCCAUAGUGUUGAACACAGUUAAAGAAGAAGAGUAUGAGUUAUUUGCCUUAGAAACCCUUAGAAUAAAGAGAUAGCCUACUUUAUGAAGAAAUUCCAGAAAGCUUUAAAGGGCAAAAGAUAGCCCCAAGAGAAAAAAGAGGAGCCCCUAGUAAAUUCUAGAAAGAUAAGGAUGAUAAACCGACUGCUGGGAACUUUAGUAAAAAACCUCAGGCUGUUAAAUGCCAUAAAUGUCAAGGGUUUGGUCACUAUAGAAAUGAAUGUCCUAGUUUGAAGAAAAAUUUGAAAAAGGGAAAGAGUAAGGUAGCUGUGUCAUUGACUGAUGAUGAAAUAAACUCGAGUGAUCAAAGUGAUUCCUCUAGAAGUGAAGACGAAAAGUGAUGGCUUUUGUAUCCACCGUUAAGAACAAGUCAGAUAAGGAGAAUGAUAAGGUUGAGAAAGAGGUACACAGUGAGAACACUAGUGACGACACUAAGGAUGAGACCGAUAUUCAAGAGGCUUAUCAACUUCUGUUUAAGGAGAGUCCUAAAAUCAAGAAGGUAAAUAAAGUCUUAUUCAAGAAAGUAGACGAACAUGAAAGAGAAAAAGAGAGGCUCACAAGUGAUCUCUAGAAUUCAUCCAAAAAACCUUUGUGAGUUUAAAUGUGUCAAUGAGAAGCUAGAAGACAAGAUUAAGACAUUGACUAAUGAAUUAGAAAAAUCUAAUACUCACCUUCAGUCAUUCAUGAGUGGGACUAAGAAAUUGGAUAACCUGUUAGGAAUGAACAAGCCAACUAGGAAUAGGCAAGGUCUAGGAUUUGUUUAGAGUGAUAAAAACAUGGUUAGUUCAACCAAGACCACAUUCGUGAUCUUGAACUCAAAAGCAAGAGUGUCACAGAACUAAGAGCCACUAGAGCUCGUAAGAUCCUCGCACCUAAAAUUCAGCAUCAAUAGUCACGAUAUCCCUAGUCAGGUUAGCUUUCUUUCAAAUCAGAUUAGUCACUUAACUGAGAUGGUGAAAAAAUUGACUACGAUCACCUCGACCUCUAGAAAAUUUUGGGUCAAGAAAUCUGAUGUAGCUAGGUGUGAUGAGAAUCUAAAUUAUUUUGUAGCUCAUGUUGCAUAUAAGGCUCAAAAUACAUGUAUGUGGUAUCUUGAUAGUGCUUGUUUUGGACACAUGUGUGGAAAUAAGGCCUUGUUCUCUACCUUUAAUGAAUGUAACGGUGGUGUAGUUACCUUUGGGGACGGCGCUUCGACACUUAUCCGUGGUAAAGGUACCAUCAAUAUAUCUGGACUUCCUAUAAUAUCAAAUGUGCUUUAUAUAGAGGGUCUAAAGUCCAAUCUUUUGAGCAUUAGUUAAAUUUGUGAUGCUGAUUACGAAGUGAGUUUUAUCUAAAAGAGAUGUACUGUUUAUAACUCUUCGAGUGGUGUUGUCCUCGAAGGUGUUAGAACUUCUGAUAACUGUUAUGGAGUUCUCCCCAACUCAAAUUAUGUGUGUAGCAGUGCUAAAAUUAAUGUGACCGAACUUUGGCAUCAAAGACUCGGUCAUGUUAACUAUAAAAGUUUGUCAAAACUGGUCAAAAAGAAAACUGUUGAUGGUUUGCCUAAAAUUGAACAAAAUGAGAGUGCUGUGUGUAAACCCCUGUCAACAAGGGAAAUAACUUAGGAUAAAACACAAACAAACCUCUAAAAUCUUGACAAACAGAUACUUAGAACUUCUCCAUAUGGAUUUAAUGGGACCAUCUAGGAUUGAAAGCCUAGGAGGUAAACUUUAUAUUUUUUUUUUGUGGUAGAUGACUUCUCUAGAUACACCUGGAUUGAACUAUUAAGAGAAAAAUCUGAGACAUGUGAUCUGGUUAAAUCCCUAUGUAAAAGACUUAGAAUGGAACAAAAUCUUUCCAUUUCUAGGGUUCUAAUUGAUCAUGAAAAAGAGUAUGAAAACUUUGAUCUUGAAAUCUUCUGUCUGGAGGAUGGGAUUUAGCAUGAGUUCUUCUCACCAAUCACUCCACAGUAAAAUGGGGUUGUUGAGAGGAAAAAUAGAGUGCUCCAGGAAAUGGCUAGGGUCAUCCAUCAUGACAAGGAUCUAGCAAUGUAUUUCUAGAGUGAAGCCAUUAACACUGCUUGCCACAUAAUGAACAGAGUAUACUUGAGAUCGAAAACCGAUAAGACUCCUUAUGAGAUCUAAAAGGGCAAGAAGCCUACAGUCAAAUACUUUCGUGUGUUUGGCAGUAAGUGCUACAUUCUGCGUGAUAGAUAAAACUUAGGCAAAUUUGAUUCCAAGAGUGAUGAAGGGGUUUUUCUAGGAUAUUCUAAGAACGAGUAUACAACUUGCGUACUUAGAUUGUCACGGAGUCCAUAAAUGUUGCUGUUGAUGAUGCCUUCAUUGAGGGGGAGAAGGUGAAAAAUGGGGUAGAUUUAGAUGAUCUAAGUGAUGGUCAAGGAUCUACAAUUGAAGUUAAAGAACAAUCAAUCUCAAAAUCUUCGCGAUCUCGUAAAGGCAUAGACACCUCCGAUAAAGAUCUACCAACUAGUGACCUAUCUAAGAUUUCUAGAGAACCAUCAUCCAGGGUUAAAUCCAAUCAUCCAAAGGUCAACAUCUUUUGGGAUCUAGAUCAGGGUAUGAGGUUACGAAAGAGAGUUUUGAAUAAUCUAACCUAUACAAGCUAUGUAUCCCAGAUUGAACCUAAGAAAGUGGAGGAAGCACUUAGAGAUGAAUGUUGGGUGAAUACAAUGCAUGAAGAACUUAAUCAAUUUGUUUAAAACAAUGUUUGGUAUCUAGUUCCUAGGCCUGAUGAUUGCAAUGUCAUAGGUACUAAGUGGAUUUUCAAGGACAAGACCGAUGACCAGGGUACUAUAAUGAAAAAUAAGGUUAGGCUAGUUGCCCAAGGGUACACUCAGAUUGAAGGGGUAGAUUUUGAUGAGACAUUUGCCUCUGUUGCACGCCUUGAGUCCAUUCGUAUCCUUUUUGCGGUUGCUUAUACUUUAGGGUUCAAGCUAUAUCAAAUAGAUGUCAAGAAUGUCUUCUUAAAUGGAAUACUUCAAGAAGACACAUAUAUUGAAUAGCCUAAAGGAUUCAUCAAUCCUAAGUUUCCUCAUUAUGUCUACAAAUUGAAUAAAGCUUUACAUGGUCUAAAACAAGCUCCUAGAGCUUGGUAUAACAUACUGUAUAUCUCGUUGACCAUACACGAGGUGGUACUGAUAGAACGCUAUUCAUUAUGCAUAUUGAAGAAACCAAAACUAUAGCAUAGAUCUACAUCGAUGACAUUGUGUUUGGCUCUCCCAUUGACUCUCUUGCUCAUGAAUUUGCCAAAUGUAUGAAGCGAGAAUUUGAGAUUAACAUGGUUGAAGAGGUAAGUUACUUCCUUGGUCUUCAAGUGAAACAAAUUAACUAUGGAUUGUUUAUUUCUCAAUCAAAGUAUGCUAAAGAUCUAGUAAAGCGAUUUAGGCUGGAUAGUGAAAAACACACAAGGACACCCAUGAGCACGAGUGUUAAGUUAGGUCAUGAUUUUACAGGUAAGAGUGUUGAUUAGACAUUGUACAGGAGUAUGAUAGGUAGCUUACUCUAUCUUACAGCUAGUAGACCCGACAUAGGAUUCAGUGUUGGUGUGUGUGUGAGAUUUCAGGCAAAUCCUAAGGCAUCCCAUCUGAAUGCAGUGAGGCGUAUCAUUAGGUAUGUGAAUGGGAUUGUAGAUCAUGGGAUCUUGUAUUCCAAAGAGUCUAAUCUUGAUCUAGUCGGCUAUUCUGAUGUCGACUGGGCUAGAAAUACCGAUGACAGAAAGAGUAUCUCGAGUGGAUGUUUCUAUGUUGGUUCUAAUCUUGUGUCAUGGAUGAGUAAGAAACAAAACUCAGUCUCUAUGUCUACAACCUAGAUAUAAUACAUUGCAGUAGGUAGUUGUUGCACUCAAUUGCUUUGGAUGAAGCAAAGUCUGAGUGAUUAUGGGAUAAAAUAGGGUACCAUGACUGUGCUUAGUGAUAACAACAGUACUAUCAACAUCUCUAAAAAUUCUGUUCAGUAUUCUAGGACCAAACAUAUUGACAUUCGACAUCACUUUAUUUGAGAGCUAGUUGAGUCCAAUGUGGUAUCCCUAGAACAUGUCUCUGCUGAAAAUCAACUUGCCGAUCUGUUCACUAAACCUCUAGAUGGUCUGAGGUUCGAGUCACUUAGAAAGGCUGUCGGCAUUUGUGUCCCUCAUUGAUCACCUUCAUAGGUGCAUCAAUGUCUAGUUCAUAUCAAUUAUUCAUUUCUACAUUCAUUGUAUUGCAUGGUAUCAUUUUGCAUCUGUCUCUCAUUUUGCAUGCUUUAUUUCUUCAUAUAAAAAAAAAAAAAAUUGGGGGUGGUAUUUCCUUGUCACUAUAGCAUUGUAUUUCCUUGUCACUAUAGCAUUGUAGUUGUUGACUUGAAUUUACAGCUUGUAAUCAAAUAUGCAUUCCACAUAUGGUUAGCUCUAAUUCCCAUCACUUAAAUUGAGUUUGUAUGGAGUACUUGGUAUAUGUUCCUUUGCACAGCACACGCUUGGACCCUGUGAAUGAGUCUUGAUCGCAUGUGUGAGAUUUGGGAUGACUCUCAUUUGUUGGUGAGUUGGCCUUGAGAUUGAGUUGACCUUGAGAUUGGAUUGAUCUUGGACAAGAUGACCUAUAUUCUGGUGUUUUCCAAGUCAUACCAGAAAAAUAUUAUUUAUUGAAUUACAUCUUACGCCCGUCUUCAUAGCCGGGUUGACUCGAGCAAUUAUGUCUGAGAGAUUUUCAUAACCUAGUGCCCUAAAGCCAACUGCUUUGGGAGUCACUGGCCUAAAGCUCAUUACGGGGUCUUCCUAAUAGUUUAAUGGAGAUGGACUUGCACAUAAGAUUAAAAAAUAAAAAUUGGGUGCUUGGUCACAAGGGGAGAAUUAAAACUAUACACCAUGUUUCAGUGAAUUAUAGGUCCUAGUGGCAUUGGAUUUGAUUUUCAUACAUCUGGGAAUAGACUCAUUCUGUAGUGAUUUAGCUAUCCCUUCUCACAAACUUAAGGUUUUGAGUCUUGCUUGCAUGGAAUUAGUGGCACUUUUCACAUGUGGAUCAUGUAUACAAUUUACUCCAUCCGAGCUUGAUCCCUGUGUGUGGGGAAGCAUUUCUAAUCAUUGUGCAUGCCAUAUUUGUGAUCAAUUGCACUUUUGGGUGCAAAUAAAUGCUGUAGUGCGUGCCUUAGUAGUCAUUUUUUUUAAAAGGGUGCGAAAAUUCAAAGUUUUUAAAAUGGUGCUAAAUUUCAGAAUUCUCAAAAUAAUGCUUCUUUUCUGACACUUCAUGCAUUGGUGCUAUUUUUGUCAUUUUCAUGUCGCUCAAAUCUCGCAGGAUCCUCGCUUGAGCGAUAAUAACAGAUUCACUCUCGUUUGCUUCUCGCUUGAGUGUCGCUCGAGCGACAAUAGGGCUUUUUGUUUUCUUGCGUACGCCUUAAACUUCAUUUUUUUUAUUCUUCGUCCAUUUCUUCUCUCAUUUUCCCCUCACCCACUCUCUAAGACGUAUAUCCAGUGCAUUUUUGGUUGUUUUGAGGAUCAAUUCUUCAAGUUUUGUCGACUUUCACACUUGGAUUUUCAUCAUUUCACGGUAAAUGGCUCGAGAACCCUCAUGUACAAUGUGUUCUCAUUUCUUUUGGAUUUCUUCAUUUUUUUUUGUUUUUCUUGCUCCUUUGUCUUGUGUUUGAUUAGCAUUUUGUUAUGGAUUAAUUUGGGAUCAAUUUUGAUUAAUUCUUUUGGGGAUAUUUUGUUCAUUUUCGUACAGUCUUUGUGUCAUUACUUUUAGUUUUGUGGUUACAUUAGGGUACAUUCAUUUUCAUAGUUUGUUCUGGAGAUGUUGGAGUAUCGCUUGGUGCUUGGUGGGGACUAGGGACUUAGGUUACCGUGGAGAUUUUUCACCUUUUCGUCACGCAUACCACAUGUUCGAUUAAAGUUUUCUUCACUAGUUUGGUCAUUACUUCAACACCUUUCGCACACCACUAUUAUUGUCUCGAUUGCUUAUAGAUCUUCCUGGGUCUUGAUUGCCAUAUCUUCCUUGUCAUGGUGUGUUCAUUUCAUGUAGGCCAUGUCGUGACAUCUUCCCGCCUGCGCCUUGAUGUAUGUCACUUGUGUCGUAUAUCGUGGCAUUUAGUUUUUGUCAUCGCACUUCGUUGCAUAGUUUUAUGCACGUUCCUCUAUUUUGCAUUGUUUUGCAUGAAUAUUGCAUUUUUUGCUUCGUUUUGCGUGCAUUACACUGAGCUGCAUCAUUUUGCACGUCCUUGCAUAUAUUACACUAUUUUGCAUCAUUUUACGUGCCCAACUAGACUUUGGUUUGCUUUGUGUCCCAUUUGUUCAUGCAUGGCCUAUGUCCCUGAUCAGUUGCCACUGUUAUUUCUAUCAUAUGCCAUAUAAGCAUGCAAGGACUGCUGCUCAGCCUACUAGUGGGUCGACAUCCUAUAGCCGCUCUAGGUUUAUAUCCUCCAUAGCUCAGGAAGUGUUCGGGAGUUAGUUUUCCUUGCGCUCAGUCCUAGUCAAGCGUGAGGUCACCCUCUCUAACCUACUGCCCAACCUUACAGCCAUAUUCACCUCCCAGGGUUGGGUGCCCUUGUUGAUAGGUUUGAACUUACCUCCUAGUCUCCUAGUUCGAGAACUUUAUGUGAACAUUCAGCAUGUCAGCAGGUCGUCUUUUAGGGUGUUUCUUAGGGGUCAGGCGAUUAUGAUCACACCUGAUAUUAUCUCUAGCACCAUCCAUGUUCCCUGUGUCAUUCACCCCAUUUUCCCAUAUCUGUCGGCCGACACUCUCCCAACCAACGCUCUUGUCAGGUCCACCUUAUUUAACAGUCAUUUGGAUGGUGGACCGUAGGCGAUCUGCACUGGAUCCCUACUAACCGACCGUCAGAUUCCAUCGUGCAUUGUGUAUAUAAAUCUGUGGCCGAUUUCACACACUUUUUCAUUGCCUAUGGACAAGGCCGGAUUUUUAUAUGCCCAACUGCAUGGUGAUUCCAUUGACCUACCCACCUUCAUCUGUCAGUACAUUUUACGUAACUUCAGGGUACUGGGUUAUAAUAUUGGCUUUCCCUACGCUUGCUUAAUCUACUAUUUGGUGACAUCCCUCGAGGCUUCAUUUCCUUAUGGGGUUUCUCGAUGGGGUCUUUGUCCCAUCGGCCAUACUACAUUCUCCUAGAGUCGAUCACAUGGUGCUUUUUCUUCUCCUGCUCCUGUUGAGCCAGCCACGCCUGUUGACCCGACAGUGCCUGCUGAUCCUAUAGGUGACCUUGUCGCUGAUUUCUCAGCCAUUCCUCCAUCUAAGCCUGAUAUUCCUAUGUCAGCCAAUGAUAUAUAGUCUUCUUCUACUUCUGUUCUACCGCCCACUUCGCCUGCUCUGGCUAUAGCCCCUGUUGACCCCUUCGUGGCUCUCAUGGGUUAGAUGUCUAUUUUAGUUAAGCAGCAGGCUCACAUGAUAGUAGAGCUUACUUAGCUGAGGGCUACAUCCGAGCGCCAUAUUACGUAGUUUGCUACACUACAGGGAGCUAUUGCAUAUGUCCAACGUGGCAUUAGGUGGAUGCUUGAGCAUUGGGACUAUAAGACUGAUGUUGAUGAUUCUGAUGACGUGAACGAUGGAGAUGGUGGUGUUGUUAGAUGCAUUACUUUUGAUAGAUUAAGUUUUUGAUGUUUUCGCAAUAUUGAUGUAUGUUUUUGGUGUUUUGACUUACAUUGAUAUUAUAUUUUAGUCUAGCUUAUUGGUAUGAUAUUGUGAUUGUUAAUGACUGCUUGUCCUUAUUGCUUUAAUUUAUAUUAAUGUUUCUCGUGCUUUUACACUUGGUAUGUGAGUUAUGAUUUUAGGAAACAGGUUGAAAGAGGACAAGACAACAGUUAGUUGAGUCAGUUGUUUUGGGUUAUCAUUGUAGUUCAUGUUGAUACAAUGUUGUUUUGUCACAGAAUGCCAAAGGAAGAGUUUGUAAGAUUUUGAGUUGGCAAUUCUGUAAACAAAAUGGUCAAUCUAUCAAUGUUCAAAAGUUUGGGGUCAAUUAGUUAAUGUUUAAAAGUUUGUGGUUAAUUUAUACAUUUGAAAAAGAUGGGGGACUAAGUUGCAAUUUUGUCAAAAUAUGUUAGGGCUUGAGUUGUGAAUUAGGGUAAGAAGUGUCAUCGAAGUUUCACUAGCUGCUCGCCAAGUGGUUGCUCGAGUGUCAAAAGCAGAGAGUCCAUCGCUUGCUUUUCACUUCUGCCUUGCUUGAGCUAAACAAUGUCGCUCGCUUUUCGCUCGAGCGACAGUGUUACCUGAAGAACCCUAUUUUUCUUUUUUUUUUUCGAGGUUUUGACCCGACUUAUAUGACCCCAAAUAUCUCAUAUAAAUUUGAUUGCGUCGUUUUUCUUGGGGAUUGAACUCGGAGAAAAUAUUCCACACCUUGAUUCUUUCAUUCGAUCCCAGAUUCUGUUAGUGUAAUCACACAAAAAACAUCAAACCCACCUUCAUCAAAUACUACAAUAAAUCCUUCCAGAGCAUUUGGUGAGACUUGAAGAUCAAGGAAGGAGAUCGGGGUUUCGAUAAUUGGAGAACGAGGAGUUCUCUGAAAUUCACAAGAGACAAACGAAAUCAAGAGCCAAGAAUUGGCGUAAAGCACGCAAUCCAGAAAGGCUAGGAGCCAGGAGUUGGUGCAGGAUCACGCAUUCUAGGAAGGCUUUUGGGAAGCUACAAUCAGGAGGUCAGAAAAACUAGUAUGGGUUGAGUCUGACGGAUUGUAAGAGGUAUUUUCGUUUGUAGUAGAUUCGUACUGGUUUGGACCUGAAGUUUUACCCACAUUGGGAUUUCUCCAUCAUCAAACAAUUGUGUUCUUUACAUUUCUGCUAUUUACUUGUUUCCCGUAAUCCAACGUAGGAUAGUAAAGCAUGUGAAUUAAUCUGGACAUAUUAAUCCUUGUGAUUUGUUGGAUUUAUUUAUUAGUUAGUAAAAAUUCUACAAAAACACAUAUUCACCCCCCUCUAGGUGUUAUUUGGAUCUAAUUACAUUAUUCCAACUUUCAAAGAAGAAAGCAUUUCACUCAAAACUAUAAAAUUUCUAAGCACACAUUUAAGAUGAAAUCACAACAAGAAUCUAUCUAUCUUGUGUUCUUGAAUAUAAUUAUUCAAAAUUAAUUAAAUGUUUAAAGUGUUUUUGAAGAAUUUACCGUCUAAACAAUAGUUUUUUGUUGAUAUAGUAGGAAGUGUUUACAUCGUAUUUGAGGUAUUACAUGAUUAUUGUUAUAAGAACAACAAGAUGGAAGAAAGUUGAAAAUGUAUUUCAAGCAUUACCACUAUUAUUCACCCUAAAAUAAUUUUUUUUUUUUAUCUCCAUUAGAAGAGAUCAUCGAUUUAUGUAACAGAUGAUGCGCUAUAAAAUGAUAAGUUCCAUUAAAUGUAAAAAUAUGAAACUCACUUUAUUGGUCUUAUCAUUUAAUGUUACAUUAUAUAGCGAUCAUAUCUAAUAGAGAUAAAUAUCAUUACUCUUUGAGCUAACAUGUAAAAGAAAAGUGGUCAAGAGAGGUUUGCAUUAUUUAAAACUUGAAAUAAAAGACGUAUCUAUAAUUUUCUAAAUUAGAGAGCGUGUCUUUGAAAUUGCUAUAAAAAUUCAAGGAUUUAUACAUUAUUGAAAACUUGAGAUAAAGAAGGUUCAUGAAAAGGAAGUAGGUAUCUAUGAAAUUCUUAUCUGUAAAAAUCUCAUCUUUUCUUUGUGACGUAAUUCUAGAGAUAAUAUUAUGUCUCCCUCUCUCUUGCGAGUAUUGUCUUUGUUUUGAUCUAGUAUGCUCAAACCUCUCUUCUAAGAACAUGUGGAUUUAUAUAUAUAUAUAUAUAAAAGUGAAGUAGAAAUUGAGCAAAUAAGAGGAGGGUUAGAAAGAGAUGGAAACAAAUGGAUUGCAGGUGGUUCCAUUGAUAAUGACUGAUAAGUGCAUUUUUAUGCACUUAUUUAAUUCACAAACAUGACUAAAUUACGAGCAAAGUGUUUGAAUUGUGGCUUAAUUUCGUUUGAUUUGUGCAUCGUAGGCUAUAUUGAUGGACAGGCUGGAAUCCACGAGAAAAGAUUCGAAAAAGGGCCAAAAUGAAGCAAAGUGAAAGUUAAAGGACCAAAGCAUAAAUAUCCAAAAGUUGAACUAAAACACGAAUCGAGAAUGCAUACGAGCUAAUUAUUAACUUAGGGAUAAUGCGGGGUGAUCAGAAGAAGAAAAACAAGAAAAGGAUGAGAACGAAGAAAACGAAAGGCUAGGGACUAAAAUGCAUUGAGUCGAGGGAGUAAUCGAGAAUUUGAUCGAGCCAAGUACCAAUUCGAGGUUAAUAUUGGUCGAUGGAAUGAGAAGAAUGAAGAAGUGAGGUCAAAAUGGAAGAAAAGAAAGUUUAAGGACAAAAAUGAACAUAUUUGAAAAAAAUACUAUGCGACCGCCUGUAAUACUUCUAUUUAGUCGCAUGCAUGGUGAUCGAAAGUUGUUGGGCCAAAAAUUUUACUUCUAUGCGGUCACAUAGUGUUAAAUUGGGGGUCGAAUCUACAGUUCCCUGUUUUUGUUAAAACUCUUUUGGAAUUCGAUUUGGACGCAAUAUAAAGACCUAGACUUAUCAUAUUUUAGGGGAGAACGCAUUAGGAGGCAACAAAACACAUCUUGGAGAAGAUUUAGAGCUAAAGUAAUGAAGGAUUUCUCAAAGAUCAUGAGAUUUCAUGCGAAUUCAUAACCUGGUGUUUUUUAUCUUCAAGAAAUCAUGUGUUCUGUUAUUUUCUCCAUGUUAGGAUAAAUAUUUUUGUACCAGAAGAUCGAUGAACUAUGUGAUGUGAUAUUUGGAUUCUUAGUUUUGCAAUUCGACAUUCAAACACGUGUUUGAUUAUUUGAAUGAUUUAUAUACAUCAAUUUCUUCUAUAAUUAAGUGCACAUAAUUAUGUGAUCUGUGGUGAUUUAUUUCUUACACUCGAGGGAAGGAAAAUAAAUUUGACAAGGUAUAAAUCAUCGUAGGAUCUGACAGGGGAUAGAGAUAUAUCCCUAUGCCUUGCGUGAAUCUUUAAGUGCUCAUAAAAUCACAUGCAUUCUUGUAUAUAUGCAUCUGUUAUAGAGAAUAGGUUCAAUACUGCUUGAGAGAGAGUGUUUGAUAGAUUUAAGAGCAUUGAUUUUUCUAUAAUUUAAUCAUGUUGUCAUAUUGUGAGACUAGGGUUUAAGGUGAUCAUUGCCUGGGAAUUUGUGAUCCUAGUGCAUUUAAUUUUCAUUGAAUAAAAUCAACUUGCGUUCAAAUCAACAUAUUGCAUUACAAUUCCUUGGCGGUCUUUUAAAUUGAACCACUUUAUUACUUGUUAACGAGACGUACACUUGCGGUUUUUAAAUCGAAAGAAUAAUUUUGUGAACAAGUUUUUUGCGCUAUUGUCGGGGAUUGGGUAUUCGUUUAAUUUUAUUUACAUUGGCACUAAUUCAAACAUUAAUAGUUGUAGUUUUAUUUAUUUAUUUAUAUUAUUUCCUUUUAUCUUAUUUUUGUUUUGCUUUGUUUUUUUUGUUAUUUGCUUCCUAAGCACUCUUAUUGAUUUUUCUCGCUGAUUUGCAUGUUAAGGUCUACUGAAGGAGACCUGAUCCUAGCCGAUCUAGAAAUGGAAUGAACUUUACGCCGAAUGUAGCCAGAAAAUAGAGAAGCACAGCAAUAAAUGACUAAUGUACAGAACAAUCUCAUUUUUCAAGUCAAUGAAGGAGGGGCAGCGGAUGAAGGCAAUAUGCUUGUAAGAGAUUUCAUGACCCCUCAGAUAAUUCAGAGCCAGUCGAACAUUGUGUAUCCAUCGUUUGGGUAGCCUAACUUCCAAUUGAAGACCAACGUGAUACAACUGUUUCAAAACGGAUAUCAAUUUUACGAAAGAACUAAAGAGAAUCCACAUAUGCACAUCACUCGCUUUUUGGAGAUGUGCCAACACUUCAGAUAUCAAGGAAUCUUAGACGAUGCAAUCAGAUUAAGGUUGUUCCCACAAGGCAAUCGAAUAGCUAGAUUCGCAAUCAAUCGCCAGCAUCACUACAUGGAAUGAUCUAGCUCAGAAAUUCUACACCAAGUUCUUCCUGCCUGCCAAGAUUGCAAAGCUCAAGCACGACAUAUCUGUUUUCCGACAAGGCGACUAAGAGAACUUUGAUGAAGCUUGGAAUAGAUUCAAAAAUAUGUUGCGAAAGUAUCCACAUCAUGGGAUUAGUAAAGGACUCCAGGUCCAAUACUUUUAUACAGGAUUACUUCCAGCCUUCAAGAGCAUGGUCGGCUCAUCAUCAAACGGAUCACUGCCAUAAAGACAACUGAUGAAGCACUGAAACUAUUCGAGACUAUGGCCACUACAUCAGCUAUGUGACAUCGAAAUGAGCAGUUCUAAGAUGACAUCGAAAGUUUAUGAAGUGGACGUUUAUUUUGCCUUAUCUGCCAAAAUUGACUUAUUAUUUCACAAGGCGAAAAACAUGUCACAAUCAGCUAACGCAACAUAGUCGAAGAAGACCAAUGGUGAGGAAUGUGGAGCUAAGCACAAAAAAUAGAGUACCCAAUCUUAAUGCAAUAAAUUGAGCAGGCAAACUUUGUACAAUGGGGACAACACUAACAAAACAAUUUGUAUGGGAAAACAUACAAUCCCAGUUGGAAGAAGCAUCCCAACUUCUCUUGGAGCAAUUUAAAUUAGAAUAGGCCACAAGGAUAGUUUCAACUGCAAGAGAAGAGGCCUCAAUUGGAAUAGAUGUUAGGGAAAUUCAUGGAGAAAGCCGAAGCCACUCUUCAAAACCAAAAUGCUGCUAUCAAAAAUUAGAAAACUCAGAUGGGACAGAUAGCCAUUGUGUUGACUGACAAAGCACCAGGUAAUUUGCCAAGUAACACAGAAAUCGACCCAGGGACGAUGCUAAGGGCACUACAACUCAAAGUGGGGUGUAGCUACCUGAAAUACAUGUCAAGAGGCCGAGUGUGAAUGGAGAGACAACAUCUUCUCAGAGGAACGGGAUGAACAACCAAAGGAAUCAACCCUAAAGAAAAGUUCAGAGAAAUCACGGGAUAAGACCACAGCUACAGUCAACCCCUACGAACCUCCAAUUCCAUUUUUCCUACAGUUGAAAAAGCAUAAAAUUGAGCAGCAAUAUAAGAAAUUUCUAGAAGUCUUCAAGAAGCUCCACAUCAAUAUCCCUCUCCACAAUGCACUAUUCUAGAUGCCUAGCUAUGCAAAGUUUCUGAAGGACAUACUAUCAAAUAAACGCAAGCUAGAGGACCACGAGACAGUAAUGCUAACAGAGAAGCACAGCGCUAGAAUUCAAAAAAAGCUUCCACCGAAUUGAAAGAUCCAGGGAGUUUUACUGUUCCUUGCACUAUUGGUGAAGUUUACUUUGAUAAAGCCUUAUGUGAUCUUGGUGUAAGUAUUAAUCUAACGCCUCUGUCCAUUUUUAGGAAACUUGGCUUGGGAGAGGCUAAGGUGACUACUGUGACACUACAGCUGGCUAACAAGUCAUUGACACGCCCCAGGUGAAUAAUAGAUGACGUGCUUAUCAAGGUUUAAAAAUUCAUAUUCCCUACAGAUUUCCUUAUCUUGGACAUGGAAGAAGACAAGGACAUUCCUUUGAUACUUGACAGAUCGUUCUUGGCAACCAGGAGAGCUUUAAUUGAUGUUCAGAUAGGGCUAUUGAUUUUAAGAUUGGGGAGGAACGGAAAUCAUUCAAUGUCUUUAAGGCUAUAAAACUUCCUGCAGAAUCAGAUAGCUGUUUCCAAAUUGAUGUCAUUGACAAGGUGGUCAAGGAUACAUUCUUACUUCAUAGCCCAUCUGAUGCUUAUGAGGCAUGUAUUGAACAUUCCCAAUCAACUAAGUUAGAUCCUCUUGAGAUUGAGACAUUUACAAGGUUUUUGGAGACCAACCCACCAUACAUACGAAAAAAGUACUUCGAGGAACUUGAAACAUGAACCACAAAGCCACCACAUUUCAUUCAGCAAUCGCCCGUAUUGGAACUCAAGCAACUGCUGCCACAUAUCAUAUAUGCCUAUUUGGGAUAGUCAUGUACACCCUCGGUGAUUAUUUCAAACACAGUGAGUGAGGUGGAGGAAGAAAAACUACUUAGGGUACUCAAAGAAAAUAAGACGAUGAUUGGGUGCACGAUAGCAGACACUAAAGGGAUCAGCCCUUCACUGUGUAUGCAUAAGAUUCUCAUGGAGGAGAAUUGUAAGCCCAGUGUAGAGGGUCAGAGAAGGCUAAAUCCAAAUAUGAAAGAAGUGGUCAGGGUAGAGGUACUGAAAUUAUUGGAUGUAGGCAUUAUCUACGCAAUUUCAGACAGCGCAUAGAUCAGCCUAGUUCAAGUUGUGCCAAAGAAAUGAGGAAUCACCAUGGUACUAAAUGAGAAGAAUGAGCUAAUUCCCACUAGAACAGUGACGGGAUGGAGUGUUUGCAUAGAUUAUCGUAAACUCAAUACAACUACAAGAAAAGAUCACUUCUCACUCCCAUUUAUUGAUCAGAUGCUGGAGAGAUUAGCAGGACAUUCACACUACUGCUUUCUUGAUGGAUAUUCGGGCUAUAAUCAAAUACCAGUUAUGCCAAAUGAUCAGGAGAAAACUACCUUUACUUGUCCGUAUGACACUUUUGCCUACCGUAGGAUGCCCUUUGAUCUUUACAACGCUCCGGUCACAUCUCAGAUAUGCAUGAUGGCAAUAUUCUCCAAUAUGAUUGAAAUAUUCAUAGAGGUGUUCAUGGACGAUUUCUCAAUUUUUGGGUCUUCAUUUGAUGAAUGAUUAGAGCACCUAAAUUUAGUCUUACAGAGAUGCAAAGAGACUAAUCUGAUUUUGAACUGGGAAAAAUGCCAUUUUAUGGUGCAGGAAGGGAUUGUACUUGGGCAUCGAGUCUCAACUAAAGGAAUUGAGGUGGACAAAGCAAAAAUUCAUGUCAUUGAGAAGCUACUGCUGCCUACAUCAGUUAAAGGGGUUCGUAGUUUCUUGGGACAUGCCGAGUUUUACAUGAGAUUUAUCAAGGAUUUUUCAAAAAUCACUAAGCCACCAUGCAACAUGUUGAUGAAAGAUGUGCCAUUUGAGUUUAAUGAGGAAUGUUCGAUAGCUUUCAACACUUUGAAGGAGAAACUCACGUCAGCACCGAUAAUUGUAGCACCAGAUUGGGAACUGGCUUUUGAACUAAUGUAUGACACCAAUGAUCAUGCCAUGGAUGCAGUAUUGGGAUACCGAAGAAACAAGAUUUUUCAUGUGAUCUACUAUGCAAGCUGAACCCUAAAUAAUGCACAGAUCAACUAUGUUACCACUGAAAAGGAGCUCUUAGCCAUGGUAUAUACAUUCGGCAAAUUUAGGUCAUAUCUUGUGGGGUCUAAGAUCAUCAUCUACACAGAUCACGCUGAACUGAAAUAUCUGAUGACAAAGAAGGAUGCUAAGCCGAGAUUGAUACAUUGGGUACUACCGCUACAAGAAUUUGAUAUUGAAAUUGGGACAAAAAGGACAGUGAAAAUGUGGUAGCUGAUCACUUAUCGUGAUCGGAACUUGAAGAACCAGAAGAGUCAAUGGAUAAUAACGAGAUUUUCCAGAUGAGCAGAUAUUCAGUAUGGAAGAAGCACUGUGGUAUGGAGAUAUUGUUAUAUAUCUGGCUAAGUCCAUCCUACCGCCAGAUUACUCAAGUCACCAGAGGAAAAAUUCUUUGCCGAACUAAAGUACAAUUUUUGGGAAGAUCUUGUUCUCUAUAGGCGAGGGGCUGAUCAUAUUGUGAGAUGUAUACCUGAAGAUGAAGUACCCAAAAUUCUUGAGCAUUGCCAUUCAUUUGCCUAUUCGGGAUACUCUGGAGCUUCAAAGACUGCUACAAAGAUUUUAUAGUCAGGGUUUUAUUAGCCUACAUUGUUCAAAGACGCCUUUAAGUUUGUCAACAGAUGUGAUAGAUGGCAACUCACUAAAAAUAUCUCAAGGAGAAAUGAAAUGCCGCUUAACAAUAUAUUUGAAGUUGAGAUAUUUGACGUCUAGAUAAUCGACUUUAUGGGACCUUUUCCCCCGUCGUUUUCAAAUCAGUAUAUUUUGGUGGCCGUUGACUAUGUAUCUAAAUGGGUAGAAGCAGUUGCAUUGCCAACCAAUGAUGGGAAUGUGGUAAUUGGGUUCUAGAAAAAAUACAUCUUCACUAGAUAUAGCACACCGCGGGUGAUAAUCAGUGAUGGGACAAACACUUCUGCAAUUGCCAAUUUGAACAGUUGUUGAGUAAAUAUGGCGUUAAACACCGUGUAGCUACCUCAUAUCAUCCCCAAACUAGGGGGCAAGUUGAAAUUUCGAAUCGGCAGUUGAAGAGAAUAUUUGAAGUUACAGUCAAUUCAUCCUAAAAGGACCGGUCUAAAAAGCUAGACGAUGCAUUGUGUACAUAUUGAACAACAUUUAAGAUAUCGAUAGGCAUGUCUCCAUACUGCCUAAUUUUUGGGAAAGCGUGCCACCUCCCACUAGAAAUAGAACACUGUGCAUAUUGGGCUAUGAAACAGUUAAAUAUAGAUUUGAAGGUCGUCGGCGAAAAGCCUUUACUGUAGCUUAAUGAGUUCGAUGAAUUCAAGAUAGAAGCAUAUGAAAACUCAAAGCUCUACAAAGAGCGCACCAAAAAGUGGCAUGACUUACACAUUCAGAGGCGAGAGUUUGAAGUGGGCAGGAAGUUCUAUUAUAUAACUCGAGACUCAAGCUCUUCCUUAUAAAAUUAAGGUCAAGAUGGUCAGGUCCUUACAUUGUCAUAAAGGUUUUGCCAUAUGGAGCCAUAGAAAUUAGCCAUGAAACAAAGGGUACCUUCACAAUUAAUGGGCAAAGGUUGAAACACUAUUGAGGCGGUGACUUCUCGAAGAAAAAGUCUACUGUUCAACUCGGAACACCAAAUUGAAGCAGAAGUACGCACUGUAUCAUUUUUAAUUUAUUUUGCUUUUUGCAUUAGCUUAUGACUUUUUCAAUUUCACGUUCACAUUGACGAUGGUUAGGUCAUCGAUCAUCCAUGCAUGUCAAAAUAGUCUAAGCGCUACCCUCACGAAGCCCUAUGCAUCGAGCACGAGUUGGGAUUGAUUUGAGUUGUCUUGGGUGAUUGGGUGUGACAUUCAUGCAUUUCGAGGCACAUAGUCGUUUUUCAAAUUUUUUUUUUUGAGGUAUGGUGUGAAUUCAAUUCAAAAAUUGGUUUUGGCACUAAGUCCAUGGCCGACACAUAUCCCAUGUUGCUUAAAAUAUUUUCAAAAUUUUGUGAGUAUGUGAGAAGUUGGGUUAAUUCAACGAUCGAAAACCACGUUCUGGGAUAUAUUUGAUAAAAGUCAUGUUUGUAGAGUCAAAUGUAUUUUCAAAAAAUUUUUUAGGUGCAUAUUCAUUAUAAAAAAAAAUAAAAAUUAACUUGUCUAUUGCAAGUCUAUGCAACCGCAUAGACUAACAAUAGAUGUGGUCGCAUAGCAAGGCUUAGGUCCUAAAAUGGCAUCAAAGUACUCUAUGUAUAAAAAAAAAUUCUCGCGUUUAAAAAAAAAAAAAAAGACAAACCACACACACACCCAAAACAUGAAAAAUCUCCCUUAUCCAACCCUCACACUCACGACACACACACCCAACACACGCAACUCUACACACACUUAGCAAAAUCUAUUGCACAAAUCACACCAUUAUCUCGCAUUUAAGUUGGUAAGGGUGCCUAAUUCUUCCACAUUCAUACCAAAUCUCAAGGUAAAUCUUCCAAAUCCUAAUCUAUCAAAUUCAUUUUGAAGUUAUUAGGUUUUAAUGUUUUUGGACGUUGAUUGAUUAUGAGGGUACAUGAUUGUGAAUGUGAUUUGAGUAUAUUGUGAUUGAGGGGAUUGAAGCUAUACAUAUGCAUUGUCAAAAUAGAAAGAAAACACCAUUCACGCAACGAGCUCAAUGAAAUGCCUAAGUGAUGAAUUUUAUGCAAUUUUGUAAACUUUGCUUUUGUGGUGCACGACAAUUGAGUUGAGUUGCAUUUGGUGACAAGAUAUCACAGCAAAGGCAUUAGAAAACACAAAACCCCGAAUCGCACACACGUAGGCAUGUCAUGGCUAGGUUACGGCACCCUACGUUACCCACUUGGCCCCUUCAUUUACCUAAACAAAUGACCUCCUAUCAACUUGAAAUUUGAAUAUGUGUUAGAGUACAUUGAAUACUUCCAUACAUCUGGAGAUCUCCUAAGAAAAUUUCGAUAUUUCUCGAUGAUUCCAAGGGUUAAAGUCCUCAUUUGGUCAUGGGUCAAAAUUUUAUAAAGUGCAUGUUCGGGCCUAAUUUUGUUGAUUUUUCUUAUUUUUGCAAUAUUGAUACUAUCUUGAACUUAAUUUCUUGAAUAUUGCACACCAACAUGUUAUACAUGCGUCUUGAAGCAAAGUUUGGGAGGGGGGUUUGCGCUUCGUGUUUGAUAUUCCAUGCUUUCUUGCUACCCUAUUAUACUUGAUGGUCUAAAUUGAAAUGGGUAUGUGUUGCAAGAUGCCGCCAAAAGGAACUUCGAAAGAGAAGGAAAAUGUUGGAUCAUCAUCUGGGACAGCAUGUACUAGAGAGCUUGAUGGGGGCAUAUGGAGAUUCCUAGAUCCUGAGGCUGCAGCUGGCUAUGCAAACAUCGUAAGUCGGUGGGCAAUGAUUCCAGAGCAGCAAGUGAAGUUAGAUGACUUUCCCGAUUUUGAACUGGUUACCUUGGUCGAAAAUUAUAGAUGAGAGAAAAUAGUGGAGCGAUCGUACCCCGUAUAUGAAAGUUUGGUUGGAGAGUUUUAUACAAAUCUCAAUGCAGAGAUUGACACACCAGGCUCUGACCAUCUGUAUUAGAUGUGGGUUAGGGGAUAGUGGAUCAUGUUUUCACUAUAAGUUAUCCAUGACUUUUAUCAGCUCACUUGGAACAACAUUACCCCCAUCCUAGGCGAGUUCAAUUGGAAUGAAGUGGCAGAGAUCUUAUUGGGGCGAGAGAAUGCUUGGCCACUCCCAACCACUGAAUGGCACCAAAUUGAACUGACACCACCUAUAGCCAUCUUGUGGCUGUUUAUGUGCCAUAAUGUUGAGCCGACCUCGCAUGGAACAACAUUUACAGAUCCCAGGACUAGUUUCAUAUAUCGUUUGGUUCGGGAAAACAAGAUCGAUCUUGCCACACUUUGCUAUGACCAGGUACAUAAUGUGGGUACUUAGGGAGACAGGCACAGUUCUCUAAUUUUCCCUAGCCUCAUCAGCGAAAUUUGUAGGGCCGCAAGUAUUACCAUCCUAUCAGGGAAAGUACCUAAGAAGCUUAGCCCUUUCAUCAAGCGUACUACACUAGAAGCUUAGGACAGAGUCAGGAUAAAGCACUGGGAGAAAGAUAGAAAAUGAGAACCGUAGGCAGCAAUAGGCCACGGCAGGACAAGUAGCUGAAGAUAUAGAGAUGCCACAAGCUCCUCCACCACUUGUUGAUGUGGACACACAGUUGUUGAGACAGAUCUUCAUCACCAUGACAUAUUCCAGUAGAGAUAUACAGAGCCUUCAGCAGGCAUUUGGAGCCAUGACCACCGAUGUAUAUAAGAUACAAAAUGAUAUCUUCACCUCCAGAAAUUUCACAAUAGACGCCAGGAACGAAGCCCAAGCAGCGAAAAGAGAGGUUGACGCCAUAAAUAGUCGGUUGAAUAUGUAUGUGGGCCAGGUGGAUGGUAUACAGCUGAGGUUUAAUGAGACAUGGGAUCGAGUACGUAGUAUAGAGGCAAAGGCUAGGGAACAGAGUAAUAUGAUGAGAGAUAUGCAGACCUAGCGGUCAGAACUAUUAAUGUAGAUCUUGUUCCAUCUCUCUUCACCACCAGGAGAUGACACUGCAAGACCCAGUUUUCAGUCACCACCACCACAGUGAUCUAAGGAGUCCUGUUUAACCCAUUUUGUUACUUCAAUUUGUACUUGUCCUUUAAAUUCUAGCAUUUAAACUUCCACUUUUCACAUUGAGGACAAUAUAAUGUAUAAAUUUGGGAUAGUGGCAUAUUUUGAACUAAACAAUCGGCAUGGAAUCUAUUUUGAAUUUCUAUCAAUCCAUCAAUACCUUUGUUUAAUGGUUGCAUAUUGUGUGCUUGAAGAGUGAUUAUUAGAUUCUAUUCAAUAUGCUGUACUACAUUCCUUACAUGAUUGUGUGGGCUUGAUAGCCUUACCGGCUAUGAUAUGACCAUUGGACUAGUAUAAUUUAGAAAUUAUAGAUAUGGUGCUGAAUAUAUUAACUGACUUGCUGGUGUAGUACAUGACACUCUUUAUGCACGCCACUCAUGAUCUACAUGCUGAGUUAGUGAUUGGUCUUUUUUUUUUUACACUAGCUAGGAGAAGAGUGAUAACCCUCUACAGAAUGAAAUAGUAAACCAUUUUAAGACAGUUUGGGGAUGAUUGAGCAAUUAUAGGGGAACAUUGAGAUAAGUAGGGGCUCCAUGUAUAAAUCUUGUUGUGUCGAUUGCCUAGACAUGUGAGAUGAAGACUAAAUGAAAGUCCCAAAUUCGGGGUUGAUUUUAGAAACCAAAUGUCUAGAAAAAUAAUAAAGUGCAUAAAUCUAAGUUAUGAAAACAUGAUAGCUUUUUCCAUGUCUUUAUGACUCGAGCAAGUAAGCCUGUAAGAAUACUUCGAAUUUGGUGCCCUAAAGCCAACUGGUCUAGAAGUCACCGAUCAAAAGUUCGUUACACGGGUUAUAUAGAAAACAAAUGAGAAGGUGGUACAACAACAAAAAAAUAAAAAUAAAAAUAAAAAUUUUGUAUUAAAAUGAAUAACUAAAGACAGGAUAGAUUGGAUAAAGCCCUUGGACAUUUGAUUGAUAAAAUUACACCGUUGAGGCGAGACAAGUAACCUAGUUUAAUCUUAAGUGUUAAAGCAAACAAGUCUAGGAGAGCCUUAAUUUUUUGACAUGUGAAUUUGUGAUAGCAAGAUCUAUCCAAACAAAGAGAGGGUAAGGAAUACAGUUACGAGAACCUUAACUUUAAAACACAACCCCUGGAUAAUUAGGUGAAAAGAAUAAGCUUGAGAGGUUGUGUAUCUCUGGAGCGAAGUGAGGACAUAAUUGACUACUCUGGGUUGGGACUAACUCCAUCAUGAACUUGAUAUGUUGGCAUGACUUCACACACACACGUCAAGUAUGCACUUAACAGGUAAAUGUUGAUUUCAUUCAUGCACUAUUGAAACUUUUUCUAAUGAUAAAUACUUAGUUCCGAUCCCGAGACAUGGCAGGUUAUUAAGCCAUGUUUGUUUAGAAUUAAGUCACUAUUUUGUUUGAGAACAAACAAUAGUUUAAGUUUGGAGGGGUUUGAUAAGUACGUUUUUAUGUACUUAUUUAAUUCACAAACAUGACUCAAUUACGAGCAAAGUAUUUGAAUUGUGGUUUCAUUUCAUUUUGAUUUGUGUAACGUAGGCUAUAUUGAUAGACAUGCUGGAAUCGACGAGAAAAGAUUCGAAAAAGGGCAAAAAAAAAAAAAAAGCAAAGUGAAAGUACCAAAGCGCACAUACCCAAAAGUUGAAUUAAAAGGCGAAUCGAGAAUGCAAACAAGCUACCAACUCGAGGAUAAUGUGGGAUGAUAAGAAGAAUAAAGACAAGAAAAAUGACAAGAACAAAUAAAAACGAAAGUCUAGGGAUGUAAUUAUCCAAAAGAUGAACCGAGGGAGUAAUUGAGGAUUCGAUCGAGCCAAGUACCAAUUGAAAGUUAAUAUUGGUCGAUGGAAUGAGAAGAAUGAAGAAACGAGGUCAAAAGGGAAGAAAAGAAAGUUUAAGGACCAAAAUGAACAACUUUGGAAAAAGUACUACUAUGCGACUACAAGUAAUAGUUCCAUGCACUCGCAUGCAUGGUGACCAAAGCUUAUUGGGCCAAAAAAUUUACUUCUAUGCGGUCGCAUAGUGUUAAAUCUGGGGCCAAAUCUGUAGUUUCCUGUUUUCGUUAAAACUCUUUUAGAAUUCGAUUUGAAAGCGAUAUAAAGACCUCGACUCGUCAUAUUUCAGGGGAGAACACAUUAGGAGGUAACAAGACACAUCUUGGAGAAGAUUUUGAGCAAAAGUAAUGAAGGUUUUCACAAAGAUCAUCGAGAUUUCACGCGAAUUCAUAACCGGGUGAUGUUUUAUCUUCAAGAAAUCACGUAUUCUGUUAUUUUCUUCAUGGCUAAAUAUUUUUGUACUAGGAGAUUGAUAAACUAUGUGAUGUGAUCUUUGAAUUCUUAGUUUUACAAUUCGACAUUAAAACAUGCAUUUGAUUAUUUGAAUGAUUUAUAUACAUUAAUUUCCUCCAUAAUUAAGUGUAGGUAAUUAUGUGAUGUGUGGUGAUUUAUUUCUUGCAUUCGAGAGAAGAGAAAUAAAUUUGACAAGGUAUAAAUCUUCGCAGGGUCCAAUAAGGGAUAGAGAUAUAACCCUAUACUUUGCGUGAAUUUUUAAGUGCUUAUAAAAUCACAUGCAUUCUUGUAUAUAUGCAUCCGUCAUAGAAAUAUAGGCCAGUGAUAUAUGAGAAUAGGUUCAAUACCGCCUGAAAUAGAGUGUUGGAUAGAUUUAGGAGUAUUGAUUCUUUAAUAAUUUAAUUGUGUUGUCAUAUUAUGAAACUAGGGUUUAAGGUGAUCAUGACAUGAGAAUUCGUGAUUCUAGUGUGUUUAAUUCUUAUUGAAUAAAAUCAACUUGCGUUCCAACCAUCAUAUUGCAUUCCAAUUCAUUUAAAUACAUCGUUUUGCAUUUUUAAUUUAUUCAACUAUCACUUUUGCGAAAUUAGGUUUUUCUGUAAUUAGGGUUUUUCUAAAUUAGGGAUUCUUAGGUUAAAAAUUCACUUUGAAUAAAUUGGUUUCGGUUAAGGCUAUGUUAGAUAAAAUUGAACUAGUCAAUCUCUAUGGGAUGACAUUCGGACUCAAUUGAACCACUUUAUUAUUUAUUAACGAACUGUACACUUGCGGUGUUUUAAAUCGAAAGAAUAAUUUCGUGAACAAUGACUCUUGACGUUACUUUUUUGGGCAUAAAAUGGCAACCUCAUACUUCAUUUUCAGAGCAUUAUAUUAAUUUUCGACCAAAAAAAUGAAAAAGGAAAGAAAUUGUUGUCAUCCUAUUAUCAAGGAAAAUGAGAAAAUGUAGUGGGUUACCAAUUUGCUGUAAAAAUAAAUAUUAUAUAAAUUUCAUUAGAAUAAUAUAAUUAUUUUUUUAAUAUUCACGUGUCAAUAAAUUUGUAUCAUUUCACGUCUGUUAUCUGCAGUAAAUUUGAAGAUUCAGUUUAGAAAAAUACAAUUACAAUUUUCAUAUCUCUUUGAACAAGUUAAAUAAGUAGGGGACGCCACUGCAAUUUAUCUUGUUAACAAUCAAAGAAGAAAUUUGUAUAUAAACUUAUCUCUUUUGAGACAUAACAGUCGAAUAAAAAUUGUCAUGUAACCCAAAUCGAUUUGUAAAAUCGAUCAACUCAAAAGAUCUAGGAUAUAUUUCUAUUGCCAACAAGCUUUUAUAGCAAAGAAAGAAGAAUUUUAAUCAUAUGUAUGAAUAUUCGUAUAUCAAUGGACUGAAAAUGAUAUAGUAUUAAGACAAGUAUGAAGUGUGUGCAUAAAGAAUGUAAUUUGAAAAUUGUUGUUGGUAUUACGGUUUUUCCAAAAAUACAAAAUUUACGAAGAAAUAAUCUCGAAUUAUAUAUUAAAGUUUUUUUAAUCUGCAUUUUAUAUUCGUAUUGGGUAAAAUAAAGCAUAGAUAUCUUGUUUUCUAAAAUAAUAAUUAUGUUUGAAUUACCAAAUAUAUCACAAUCAACAAACGAGCCUCACUUAAAUAAUUUUGUCAAAUUUGACUACUUGAAACUCUAAAACCAUCCCAAACAGUACUUGAAAAUUCCAAAAUUCUCCACUCAUGUCUUAUUAAUGCCUAGAUAAGAUACUUUUGUACAAUAAUUAUGUGUGUAUUUAUUUACCAAAGUAAAAAAAUAUUCAUAAUAUGAUCUUGAUUUAUACACGAGAUUGUGUUUAACUCUAGAACUAUCACAAUCGACAAACAAGUCACACUUAUUCUUUGAAUCAUUUGACUAUUUGCAAUUCUAAAACCAUUCCAAACACUUGAGAAUCUCAAUAAUGUCUUAUAAAUCAAUGCAAUGUAAACCAUCAAACAUUUAAUCUUCUAUAAAUUAGUGUGAUUGUAUAUUAUUUCAACUUUGUUUUACGAAACAUAUAAAUUUUUCUUGCUAGUUCCUUGUCGAGAAAGGUACAAGCUAAGGACACGUUGGUACAACCGCAAAAGAAAGACGUAUAAACCCUUUUUUCGUGUAAAUAAUAUGAUAAAAGAGAUAAAGAACCAUCAAUUAGAAGGGAUAAACUAUUUUAUAAUAUUAUUUAUAUAAAUUGAAUAAAUGAAAGCCAACUGUAGGGUGCACGUAUAGGACAACUGCGUCAAGGUCCUCCGCUUAUUUUAUACAUUUGUUUAUAUAUAGUUUUGUGAUGUAAAAUGUUUUCUUUUUGUUAGUACAUUGUUGAGACACUUUCAAAAAUACAGUGCCACGACCACAAACGAACAGACAUAAAUUAUUUCAUUAGUUGGCUUCAUAGGAAAUAAAUAGAAUUUUCUAUUCGUACCUCGACUGAAAAAUGUCACGAUUCAAACCAUUUUUCUAUUUAUUUUAUAAUUAAUGGUGUAAAAUAUCAUGGUUUUCAAAAAUUAUUUAAUAAGGUCUAUGUAUAAAAAGACACAACAAUAAAUUAAGAAACACUUUAUUAUUAUUUUUAAUAGCUCAUGAACUUCCAAAAUGUCACAUGUCAUAUUAGUUAACUAGGAACGAUACUUUUGAAUAUUUUAAGCUAUCAUGCGUGCCGACUAUAUAUAUAUAUAUGGAUCGAAAAUUAUUGUCAGGAAAUAAUCUCAUCUCAAUAAACUUUCGUUCCAAAACUUAACUAAUAAAACAUAUUCCUUAUAUACAUGACUUUUAGAAAAUAAUAAUCUUCACUAGUAGAUAAAUUCAUAAAUCGAAGCAUUCUGUUUAUCAUCUUAGCACUCGCCUCAACUCUCUAAUGGCUCCUGAAAUGUUGUGAAUCACAAUAUGAUCAAAAACUUGUCCAAUGAGCAGAACAUUUGUCAAUUUAAAAUGUUAAAACUUAUAAAAGAGUGUUAAACAUUUAAAUUAAUUGGAACGAAAUCUACAAUUGAUUUCCCAAAACACACGUUUAACAAAAUUCAAAGCACCUAAAACUGGGGUUUGUAAUCUACCAUUAACUAGUUAUGGUGAGUGAAGGAUGCCACCGUUUUUUCUGACAUUUCACUUUCAAAUUUGUGAUUUAUGCAUAAAAAAAAUUAAAAAAUAAUAAUAAUAAAAUACACACACAGGUUACAGCAUAAAGACAAAGAAAUGCAAGAAAUGAAAGGCUUGAAAUGUAACUCAAACAAUUGAUUUUAAAAUGCUUUUAAGUUCUUGCUGCCAACGUUUUUUUAGAACGUGGGGCUGAUUUUUCAUCUUCUUCAAAUUAUUCACAUUCCUUUUAUAUAUAUAUGCAAAAUACAAGUUUCACACGGAAAAAAUAAAAAAUAAUAAUAAUAAUAAAAUAAAUUAAUAAUAAAUUAAAAUAAAGAGUGCACACUUUGAUCAAGGAAAAAGACUUUCAAAAGAAAGAAAGGAGCAAAUUUCUUAAGCUUCGGGUACCGUAGGGAAACAACAUUCAUCAUCCAAUAUCCGUCCAAUUCAAAGUUUCAAAUUAAGGUAGGUAGAGGUGCAAGUGUUUAUUUCGUUUUCAAAUUAUGAUUUUUCGAUAAAAGUUUGAAUGAAUUGGUACCUUCGGGUACGAUGUUUCGGCACUACUAUAGUUUGAUUGAAAUGGUACCUUCGGCUACAGUAUUUCGAUACUGCUAUAGUUUGAAUGAUCAUCUUUAGCUCUACGUGUUAUGAUAAUGCUAUAGAAAAUCAAAUUUUGGUGAAAAUUCAUCUACAUGUGAUGGUAUGAAUCUACAGUUCAAAAUUUCUAAUUUUAAUAGCGAAAUGCACCUAUGAUAUCUAUUGAGUUUUAAACUUAUGGGUUAAUCCCUUUCCUAUAGAUUGAUUGAUUUUGCUUGGAAGCACGGAUGAUGGUAGAUAAAGAUGCAAUAUGCCAUGGAGAAGCUGGCGAUUUAACGUCUUUAAUUAUAUUAUGAAAAUGUUUACGUUUACUUUUAAAUAGAUUUCCAUGGACGUCGUAUGUGAACUAUUCUACGAACACUUCUUUAUGACUAAAUUAUGCUUUUCAAAAAGAUACAUGUUCUAGAAAUUAUCUUUCAAAUCAUAGUUUCCAAAAAAACAAAAAAAAAAACGUGUUAGCGAUUUAAAUGUUGUUGUUCCUUAAAAAUUUCAGCUUCUACAUUGACUUUAAAAAUUUGUAACUCGAUCAUUACUUAGAAUUUUUAGACACGAUCAGUGUCGCUUGAUAGUCUCAUAGGUUAGCUAUUGAAUAAACUUGAAAUCAUGUCAAUCCAAUGUCGGUAGAAUUUUAUAUGUCACUUAAAGUAAACUGCACUAGAUAGUGUUGCUAUUUUCCAGCUUUUGUCUUGACUUCAAAAAUUCAUAACUCAAUCAUUCUUGAAAUUUCCGAAUGAAACCAAUUGGUCUUGAUAUUCUCAUGGAUUCUCGUCUCUUUUCUUAUUUAAUAAAUGCUUUUGAAAUUAUGUUACUAUAUAAAAGUUGAUUUUUAAUGGAAAAUUCAUUAGUAGUUAUUAUAUAUAUAUGUGUGUGUGUGUGUGUGGUUCUGAAGGAAUUUUUUUAAUCUUAAAUUCUUAAAUUUAAUUAUUAUUUUAAAUAAAUUUUAAGUCUAAAGUUAAGGUACAAUUGUUUGAGUGAUGCUUCUGUCCGGUGGGUCGGGGCGUUACAGGAAUAUUUGAGGAAAUUUGACCUCAAGAGUGAUGAAAGAAUGUUCAUUGGGCAUUCAAAAAAUAGUCGGGCUUAUGGAGUGGAUAACAUGAGGACUCAAACUAUUGUUGAACCAUAAAUAUUAAAAUUAAUGAUACUGGUGAUUAUUCUUCUUGUUCACAAGAACCUAAGAUUCAGAAUUUGGAGAAACAGCUUGAAACUACUCAGAAUACUCAAGAAACUUGUGCUGCAAAUUUUGAAGACGGACCCACCCACCUCCUUAUUAGAAGUGACUCAUUCCACUCUACCCUAACUCAGUACAUCCCAGAAGUACAGAGAUGUACCGAGACCUUAAGGAAGUGUUUUGGUAGAAAGGCAUGGAGAGAAAUAUAGCUGAGUAUGUCGAAAAAUGUUUUGUAUGUCAACAAGUAAAAGCUGAACACCAACGACCAUCAUAAUUACUUGAACCGUCAGAAGUUCCGGAAUGGAAAUUGGAGCAUGUAACGAUAGACUUUGUGGUCGGUUUUCCAAAGCCAACAAUGUAUCAAUGAGGCUAUUUGGGUCAUUGUAGAUCGACUCACCAAAUCGGCUCAUUUUUUGCCGGUUCGGAUGACAUUCUCAAUGGAUCAAUUGGCAUAGUUGUAUGUGAGUUAGAUAGUAAUGUUGCAUGGUGUACCUGUUUCAAUUGUAUCAGAUAGAGAUCUAAGGUUCACAUCAAACUUCUGAAAAAGCCUGCACCGAGCUAUGGGAACUAAGCUAAAAUUUAGUACAACUUUUCACCCUUAGACAGAUGGCUAAUCUGAGUGAACGAUUCAAACACUAGAAGAUAUGCUUCGAACAUCUGUCCUCGAGUUUGGAGGACAUUGGCAGAAACAUUUACCCUUGAUCUAGUUCACAUAUAACAACAAUUAUCAUGCCUCUAUUGACAUGGCACCAUAUGAGGCAUGAUAUGGGAGGAAGUGUAUAUCACCAGUUCAUUAGAGUAAAGUUGGUGAGCGAAAGAUUUUGGACCAGAGAUCUUUGAACAAACAGUGCAGACUAUUGAGAAAAUUCAAGUUAGUAUGAAAAUUUUCUAGGAUAGAUAAAAGAGUUAUGUUGACAGAAGAAGAAAAUAAUUGAAAUUUUUGGCAGGUGACAGAGUAUUUCUCAAGGUAGCACCAAUGAAGGGAGUAUUACGUUUUGUUGUGAAAUGAAAGUUGCAAGAUUUCAAACGGACUAAUACCCAUACCUAUGACCUAAUUUUAUUAAUUUAGGUUUAACCCGUAAAAAACUAGAAAAAUAGAAAAGAUUAAUAUUUUAGCCUGACAAUCACGUGGGAGCCCAUUAUGUGAAAUUAUAACCCACAUCUUUUUGUUUUAUUUUCCCUUUUGGGCUUAAACUUAAGUUGUUGAUUUUUUUAAUUUUAAUUAAAUAAUGGAGAUAAUAUUUUAAUUUUAUCUCUUUUAAUUAUAUUGGAAUUUUAAAUGAUUGAGAUAAAAUCAAAUUCCUAUUAAGAUAAUAUUUUGAUUUUAUCUCUACUCUAUUUAAUUUUAGAAAUUAUGGAGAUAAUAUUUUUAUUAUUAUUUUAAAUUCAUAAUCUUAUUACAUUAGCUGAAAUAUGAUUGAGAUAAUGACAAGAUUUUAUCACUUCUAAAAUUCAAAGUUCAUUUGAAUUAGAACUUACAAAGCAUGGUGGCCCCUAUAAAUAGGAAUCAUAUGUUCUAUUUUCAAGUAUAUUCAUUUCUCCGUGAAAUACACGGAUACAAAUAUAGUAUAUUCUUUAGUACGUGGGUCAACAGUUGAAGUCCCCAAUAUAUUCCAAUAUUUCUCUUAUCAUUUUCAUAAGAUAUGGUAAGUGUAUAAAUAAUUUUUUUUUAAUAGAAUUACAUGCGUACGUUAGAUUUUUGGAACAUUGAUUAUGUGGUCCUUUAUGUAUGUUCUAAGUUUGAACUGGAAUAUGACAGUACUACGCCUUAAAGUUUUAUAACACCUAUGUUCGGUAUAGAUUUUCAUGUCUCACUACGUACGUAUGUAUGUAUGUAUGAAGUUCCUUAAAUUCUGUAUAAAUAUUAAUUCAUGUACUAUAUGCUUAUUGAUAUUUAGUCUCACACUCCUUUUAUCUUUUUUUUAGGAAAUUGAUGGUUCGUGGAAAUUAAGGCAUGAGAGGGCUGACAAAUUGGCAAGCGAAAGAAACCCACCAGGAUUAUUUGUUUUUGUUACACCUAUAAAUUACCACUUUAUAUUGGGCCAUCUUAUUGGACUCGGACGAGGCCCAUCAGAAUUAGGCCUCAAAGCCGAGGCUCUGACGAGGCUAGCCGAGACUCCAUCGGGGCCCUAAGGAGUUCAACUGAGGCACUCGCCGAAGUGCCUAUUAUUAUGUUCAUAUGAUCACCUUCUUAUUGGGCUUGGACUACGACCAACAAACCUGUUUGGCCUAUUCACUUCCAUUUCUCGAUAUAUAUAUGGAUUCACCCACACAACUAAGGUAUGUUCUAUACUCUCUAGCCAAACCCCUAUCUCCAUACUAUUGCACUCUAUAUGUCUAUUUCUGUCCAGCCGUUGACUUGACCGUCGAAGUGCAAAACGUCAUCAGACCUUUUUCUCGUCCGACCGCCUUUGCCUCUUGACGGGGUGCUACUUGCGCAGGUUUCGAGGGGACGGCGCUAGUGAACCUAUUGGAGCCAUUUUUUGGAGGUCAACAGAUUGGCGCUAUAUGUGGGAACCGGUACAUUAACGCAUUAUACCAUGUACAAAAACAUCGUUGGAAAUUGAAAAAUUUUCGAGGGGCAGUGUUCUACCAAAAGAGAACUAAGGCAGCAGAAGAUGAUUUUUCUACCAAAAAUUCAAGGAAUCCAGCCACCAAAGAAUGAAGUAAAAAUGCCACAACAAGAUGUCCUGAAAAAGGAUAUUUUUUUUGCAUGAAAAAUGAGAAAAAUCAGCACAAAUAUAGAAGAAAAAUGUCACUGGAAAUAGAAAUUUUCCAAGGAGAUCAACCAUGAAAAUGGUCAAUAUGAGUUGAAAAUAUUUUGGUAACUUGGGCAACCUACAAAUUGGUUUCAAUGAUUUGUCCAAAGUGUAGAGCAAAGGAACCACCAGAAACGAAGAUGUGUUGGGUCACCUAAGGGACAAAUUUUCAACUAAAUUGGGGGGAAUCAGAUUGAAACAAGGAAACAUAUGGUAGAGACUAAAAAAUUGUCAAAACCAAAAAUGGAAAUUCAUCCCCAAAGUUCCUUCGCAUAUUCUGCCUUUACCAACCAAGGAAAGAUAGUGGAAGAUUUAAAAGCAUACAAUAAGAAACUCCCAAAGAUUCUCUAUAGUGGAGUCCAAUCCUCUUGCCACUUUCUCAACACAGUUUCAAAUAACCAAAUGAGUUCAUUGUCUCCAAUACAAAUAUGAAAUACCCAUUUGUGUAAGGCUUUCAACAAAUGCCGUCAGUAGAGCUUUGGCCGAAAUUAAGCUGUUAAGGUAGUCACGGUGCUUGUAGCUCCUCCAACCAAUUGUGGUACAAAGCAUUAAUUUUUUGAUGGGGGACAAGAGAGGUUGCGUAUGUUGACAGUUUCUUGGGCUGUCCAUUUCUAUCUUUUGUAGACGGAUUUCCUAGCAUAGAUAAGUAGACUUUUGCAGGCAAAAUUUUCUCCAGAUUGUGGCUACUUUACGUGCUAUUUGCUACCUUCUUUUUUUUUUUUUUUUUUUUUUUUUUUUUUUUUUUAAGUAUUUAUCAAAUUAAUUGGUCACAGAUUUAUUCACUGGCCACAUAUAUUUUUUUUUAUAGAUUACAAAUUAUUUCGAGGCCACAUAUCAAAAAUUUUAGAGGUCACGAAUUUUUUUAAGUAACGGAUUAUCAAAUUUUAAGGUCACAGACCAAAUCGUUAAGGUCACAGAUUAAUUUUUUUAGUCACAGAUUGUCAAAUUUUAAGGUCACAUGCCAAAUCGUUGAUCACAUAUACCAAAUACUCCACUGCCGAACCAAAUCCAUCACCAAUGCUUGGUCACAGAGCAACCAAAUGAUCACCACCACAACACCGCAUUACCAGACCCUAUUACGAUCCCAUUCCCACCACAACACCGCAUUACCAGACCCUAUUACGAUCCCAUUCCACCACAAUAUUUGGUCACAAACACUACCCCCCCUCCCCCGUCACAACAACACCACAACCACCACCACCACAUGAAAACUACCACCGCACCAAGCCAAGCCGGCCACCAGGCGCUACCUAUUCCUCUUCAACAUACCAACAAUACUACCUCACAAACAUCACAUUGCCACUGAAGAACAUAUCACCCGCUACUGCAGAACAACACAAUACUGUUGCAGCUAUCGUAAACAUCGUGGCUGGUGAACUGAGAGUUACCACUCACACCACGAAAAAACACCGACCACUAUAGCCACCGCCUGCACCAUACCAUACCGCCAGCUAGAUCCACACCAUACCCACAACACCAUACCAUCGCGACACUGCCAUUCGCAGCAACGUCGACCAGCAAAAAUUGAGCAGAGAAGAAGUGCUCUUGCAAUUCCAUCGUCGUCGUAGUGAGCAGAGAAGAAUUGGCUCUCAAACCCCAGGCAAAUGCCAUGAAUCACCGGUGAAAUUUCCAAUCGCCGUAAGACUCAGCCGCUGCACUUCGGCCUGAGUGAGCAGUAGGCGAUGGUAUGGUGUGGUCUCCGGCAAUGAUCGUCGAUGUGAGUUCGACGAUGGUCUUCGACAGUGGGCUUGGUCUCCAGCAAUGGACGGCGGCAUAGGAGAUGUGGGUUAACUAGAGAGAGUGAGGAGAGAAGAUACCCUAAAAUUGAAUUUUAGGGAUGAAUUGGGGAUGAAAUAUUUAGUAUUAAUAUUAUUAUUUAAAUUAAUAUCUGAAUUCUGAAUAAAAAACCUUCCUACCUGAUUUUUGCAUUGGGAUCUUUAAAAGCCUGGACUUUUGUAAUUUCCACAAAUAAAAAUUGUUUGAAGGCUUUUUAUUGAGGUCCACAUAUGGGUAUGUAUUAUUAGGUCAUAUAAUUUAAUUUCCUUGGGCCUCAUAGCCUCUUCUUGUCUAAAAUGGUUGGAACCAAUUGGUUACCUCAAUUUUCUUGUACCAUCUUAUGUCUGGGGCUGCUACUAGGGCUGGACAAAACUUCCGAAUCGAACCGAGAUGAACUGAACCCGACGGUUCUUCUCAAGUUAAAUACCCAAACGAGUAUUUGAAUCAAGAACCAACGGGUAUGGUUCAGUUCUCGGUUCUAGGCCAAAACCCGAAAAAUCGAAUAAGAAUCGAAACUCCGUAAUUUUUUAAUUAAUUUAUUUUAAAUAAGUAAAAUUAUUUUAUUUUUCUAAAUAAAUUUGUUAACUAGUUAAUUUAGUUCAAACUACAAAAUAUGAUUUUCCUAUUUCUAAUUUUCAAUUCAAAAUCAACUUAAUCAAAUUGGCCUCAAUUUUAUCCAAAUCUGUUAUUUUACUGUAGUGUCGUUUCUACCGGAGAAAAUCGAGUUAAAACUCUACAACAUCUUUCUUAAUUAUUUUGAGCUCACUAUUUUUCUCUUUUUCUGAUUUUAGUAAUCAAUUUAUGAAGAAUUCAGCAAAGAGAGACACGAAAUACAUAAGAUUGAACUACGUUAUUUUGUAAGAGCUAAUAUUGAACAUACCAUUAAUUAAAUUAACGUAACUUUGUAUAUAUUAAAAAAUUUAAUUAUAAUACGGAACCGAAUGAAACCAAAUCGGAUCGAAUCGAAGAGAACCAAACCCGAACGGUUCCACUUACUGAAUAUCCGAAAAUUUCGGGUUGGUUCGGUUCUCAUUAGAACCGAACCAGACCAUGUCCAGCCCUAACUGCUACCAUAUGUUUUCUCACAAGUUUAUGAACUUGGUUGAAAGUGGGUUGUGACGUUAUAAGCCUUUAUCAAAUGUCAUUGCUUCCAUUUAUAAGCUUCUUGGUGGGAUUAUUAUUAUCAUAUUUUUCAUUGGGCAUGCUGGACUUUUUCCCAUUUCUACACUCAUAAAGUGUAAUUGGGCUUACUAAUUUAUGUUCGCCGAUCCAUUCCUGCUUGUAAAAGUUAUUGGUUCUUUGGUUUUUUAAUGUGCCAGCAAUUCUUCUUCUUCUUGGGCAUGUUAUAUUUAAGAGUGGUAAUUCUGUGGCCCACUUUGUUGUGCUCAAUCUUAUGGCAACCAAAAUGGAAGGCGGAAAGAACUAAUGGCAUGGUAAGAUUUUGUGAAUGCUCUAUCACAACGCUUUGCAACGAAAUAAAUUGAUAUCUUCAAUCCAAGGCCGAAUUGGCCAUAGAUUUUAUAUGAUGUGGUACUGUGCUGCGGCAAUUUGCAAAGCCCCAUUGAUCAUGCUAAUUGCUCAAGGCGAGCCCAAAAUUAUGGAUUUCUUAUUAUCCCGUGCGGUAUUUUAUAAGUCCUGCUCCUUGAAUAAAGGAAGAGGCGAUAUCUAUUAGGAUCCUUGUUCCUUGAUAAAGGAAGAGGCAAAUCGUUAGACGUGUUUGCCCUUACAAAUGGAGUCUUCCUUGGCCUUACUUGCGGGAUGUUUAUUUCUCACCUUGCCAGAUGCUUAUCCUUGACUUCGCGGGAUGUCUAUUCCCUGCCUCCCAGAUGCUUAACUUUGGCUUCGCGAGAUGUCUAUUCCUUAUCCAUCACUAUCGUCGAGCCUAGCUCUAAGUCCUCGUUUAUCCAAGGCCAGCUUAUAAGACUCCGAUAGUUUGAGAGUUAUUUGCGGGAUGCCUAUUCCCCACCUCGCCAGAUGCUUAUCUCUGGCUUCACAAGAUGUCUAUUCCUCGCCCCUCAUUAUCAUCAAGCCUAGCUCUAAAUCCUCGUUUAUCCGAGGCCAGCUUAUAAGACUACGAUAGUUCGAGAGUUAUAUAUGGGAUGCCUGUUCUCGGCCUCGCUAGAUGCUUAUCCCUGGCUUCAUGAGAUGCUCAUUCCUCACGUCUUACUAUUAUUGAGCUGAGCAGUAAGACCUUGUUUAUCCGAGACUUUCUUAUAAGACUUCGAUCGUUCGACAGUUCGUUAGAUGUUUAUUCAUGGCUUCGCGAGAUGACUUUUUCUCACCCCACUAUCGUUGAGCUUAGCUCUAAGUUCAAGGCCAGCUUAUAAGAUUUUGAUAGUUCGAUAGUUAGUCGGAUGUCUAUUCCUGGCUUCGCGAGAUGUUUAUUCCUCAUCUCACUAUCGUCGAGCUUAGCUCUAAGUCCUCUUCUAUUCGAGGCCAACUUGUAAGACUCUGAUAGUUCGCUAGAUGUUUAUCCUUGACUUCGCGAGAUAUCUAUUCCUCACUCACUAUCCUUGAGCUUAGCUCUAAGUCCUUGUCUAUCCGAGGAUAGCUUAUAAGACUUCAAUAAUUCGACAGUUCGCCAGAUGUUUAUUCCUAGUUUUGGGAUGCUUUUUCCUCACUCCUCACUAUCGUUGAGCUUAACUUUAAGCCCUCGUCUACCCGAGGUCAGCUUAUAAAACUCUGAUAGUUCGACACUUCGCUGGAUGUUUAUCCCUGACUUCGCGAGAUAUCUUUUCCUCGCUUCGCUAUCGUCGACCUUAGCUUUUAAGCCCUCAUCUACCUGAGGCCAGCUUAUAAAACUCCGAUAGUUCGACACUUCGUCAAAUGUUUAUCCUUGGCUUUGCGAGAUGUGUUCUCCUCGCUUCACUAUCGUCAAGCAGAGUUCUAAGUCCUCUACAUUCCAAGGCUGGUUAUGGCUUCGAUAGUUCGAGUUACUCGCGGGACAUCUAUCCACUGCCUCACUAGAUGUCCUUAGCUUUACAAAGUUUAGACGCACCUGACCUGGAGUCCUCUGUGGGUCAUCGCUUCGACCGUUGCGUUCUCUCCUAAGCUUUACAAAGCUUUAGCCAUCUCCCAACGCGUCGUCCCCUGUGGGUCAGCGCACUGGUGGCAGAUGAGCUCCUCACUCAGCUUUAAAAAGUUUAGACGCACCUGGCAAAAGUUUCUAUGGGUCAUCGUCUCGAUUGCUACAUUUCGUCCUAAACUUUACAACGCUUUAGCCUAUCUCCCAACGCGUCGUCCCCUGUGGGUCAGCGCAUCGGUGGCAGAUGAGCUCCUCACUCAGCUUUACAAAGUUUAGACGCACCUGACGUAAAUCCCCUCUAGGUCAUCGCCUCGGUGGCUGCAUUCCCUCCUAAGCUUUACAAAGCUUAGUGGUCUCCCAACGCGUUGUCCCCUGUGGGUCAGAUCACCGAUGGCAGAUGAACUCCUUCUUCAAGCAGCAUCGAAGCUUUGACACCUCAGUCAAAGAUAUAUCCCAACUUUCAGCUUCACAAGCUUCAGCAUCUCCCCCGCGCGUCGUCCUAUGAGUCAGCACUUCGAUAGAGAUAGUUGAACCUACAACCGCAGCAGCAACCAUACACUCAGCUGAUCUUAAAAAGUCAACGACUGAUAUACAUCGAUAUGCUUCAGUAUCGGUACAGCUACUUAUAUUCAGUUUAGAGCAUCGCCUCUGCUACUUCAUCCAGAGCACAGCUUCUGCUACUGUGUCCAGAGCAUCGUCUCUGCUACUACAUCCAGAACAUCUCCUUUGCUACUACAAUCAGAGCAUUACCUCUGCAUCCAACGCAUCGCCCCUGUCACCUAUGCUACUUACAUUCAGAGCAUCGUCUCUACAUCAACUUUAUCACAGUAGCUUAUAUUUCAAGUCUGACCCGCAUAUAAAUAAUACGACUCAGACUUGGGAGAUUGCAUAUUACUGCUAGCAUACGCAUCACAUUACUGCUUUCAAACACGAAUGCGAUAUCACUGCUAGCAUAUGAUCCAUUAUUUUCAUCAAUGUCAGUACGUAUGUCGUGUUAUCAUCAUUUUUACUUUAUUGUCAACAUCAUGUUACUUGCUUCAUAUAGCACUAUUGAUACACUGAUUUGUGUGAGCACAUGAUUUACUAUAAUGCAUGACAGACCCUCUGCACGUAUCUUGGAGAAAUGUGAUAUGUCACACCUUAUAGUUUUGAGCAUUUGAAGGGGAAAAUAGACCCCAAAUUUAUUUGGUAUAUGUGCUGUGGAUAUAUUUUAUUGUAUUACAGGAUUGGUUUAGUCCAUAUUAAAGAGGAGAUGCUGCCGAAAUUUCGAAACAAUAUAUACAGUAUAUCUUUCGAGGCAAUUCGUAAGUCCUCACUUAUUCUAACUCACACACAUUUUCUGAGGCAGUUCGUAAGUCCUUACUUAUUGGAGCAACUCAUAUUUCUCGAGGCAAUACGUAAGUCCUCGGCUGUUUGAGAUUGAUACAUAUUUUCGAGGCAGUUCGUAAGUCCUCGCUUAUUGGAGCUACCCAUCUUUCUGAGGCAAUCUGUAAGACCUCGCGCUACUUGACAGUUUAUAUUUCAAGUCCAACCCACAGAUAAAUAAUACGACUCGGAUUUGGGGGACUACUGUUACGCCUAUAAAUUACCACUUCAUAUUGGGCCAUCUUAUUGGACUCAGACGAGGCUCAUUAGAAUUGGGCCCCAAAGUCGAGGCUCUGAAGAGGCCAGUCGAGGCUUCACUGAGGCCCUAAGGAGUUCAACCGAGGCACUUGUCGAAGUGCCUAUUAUUAUGUUCAUAUGAUCACCCCUUUAUUGGGCUUGGACUUUGGCCCACGAACCCGUUUGCCCCAUUCACUUCCAUUUCUCUAUAUAUAUGGAUUCACUCACACAACUAAGGUAUGUCCUACACCCUCUAGCCAAACCCCCCAUCUCCAUACUAUUGCACUCUAUAUAUCUAUCUCUGUCCGGCCUUGACUUGACCGUCAGAGUGCAAACAGUUGUCGGACCUUUUUCUCGUCCGAUCGCCUUUGCCUCUUGACCGGGUGCUAUUUGCACAGGUUUCGAGGGGAUGAGGCUAGGGAACCUAUUGGAGCCAUUUUUGGAGGUCAACAGUUUUUUAAUUUAAGAAUUUAUUUAAUUAUUGGUUUGAUAUUAAGAUUGCUAAACUUCUAGUAUUUUAUUUUAUGUUGACGUCAAAAUUUUAUGUAUUCACUCUUACAAUUUCAUAAUAUAAGCUUUUGAAAGUGCAAUAUGAUAUUCAAGAUAUGAUUUUAGUGGCAUUCGAACUUUAGAACUCGGGUCAUCACACGUCCCCACGAGUUUCCAAACACAUACUUCCUAAUGACAAUUCAGGGAGGCUUUCUGGAGGGACAACUUAGGAUGGUGAAGAACCAAGUUGGUCAGAUUUUCUUGAAAACUCAAAAGUUUUCAGAUGAUUUCAAAGUUACACGCAGGAUAUUAGAGAAAAUUACUUACCUUGGUGAUGGAAGGAUUAAGACUACAUGGGAGAGGAGCACUCUAGGAUUACCAGAGUAUUAGCAUGAGAAACCUGUAGCAACAAGUGUUGCACCAGUUACCACUGCCAGUCAAAAUCGUUUGGCACCAGAAGUGUAUGGUCCUGACCUACCUCCUCCAGGCCAUACCGUAGAUGUUCAUACUCAGCAGCUGUGGCAUUCCGCAAGCCCGGUGGUGAUAUCAAAUCACCUGGUGCUAAGAAAUCUAAAAAGCAAUGAUGCUUUAGUUUUAUCCUCCUAUACUCUCACCACAUGAUCUAACUAUUUGAUGGAUAUGUAUAAGUUAAUAUUGCCCCUAAAUAUUUGAUUCACACACACUUGGAUAACUUUUUAAUUUGAUACACUUGUGGUUUGGUUGGUAUAUUCCUUCUCCAUACCUUAAUAACAAGCCUUUUAAUUUCAAAAAAUUGGGAGUAGGUAAUUGGUGAUGGUUGAAAAACAUGAACAUCUAUGACGUAUAUAGGCUGCUUGAAUGGUUUUAAAUUGGAUGAACUUUCCAAUUUGCAGUAGUAUUGCUCUAUGUCAUUGUUGCCUGAUUGCAUAUCUGCUAGUUUUAGAUUUCCGACAUGCUAUGUGGGACAUUGGUUUGAUUCAUGAUUUUCAGGUUGUGUAAGUUAGGGAGAAUUGUGUGUGCUAUGUGAGAACUAACUGAGGAGGUGUAGUUCAUGUGCACAAUUUGGUCAACACUUAACACACUCACAAACACAAGUAGUUUUUGAAAUUAAGCCAAGCCAUAUAUAUAUAUAUAUGUCAAGGACAUGUGCCAAAAAUGGGAUUAAUAGGAUGUAGUCCAUGGAAGGUUGUCGGUUUUAACUGAUUGGAUGGUAUAGGUUUCAACAGAAUUAUGUGACAGCGGAUUCAUAGUUUCAAUACCAAAACAGGACUAAAUCUUUAGUUUUCGUGCUACAGCUAUCGCAGAUUUAUUUACCCAUCAUCCUAAAUAUUAUACGAUAAGCUAAAUAAUAAAAGUUAAUGAAAUACUGAUUUAAAUAUAAAACUUUCCUUAAGUUUCUUUUUUGCCUUAUCAAAUAUAUAUUGAUUAAAUUUACAGCUUUGAGAAAACGUAUUCUGAUACCAUGCAGCGAAACUUUUUGCUAGCGUCCAAUGAGUUCAUAAGGUAGCAUGUAUUAUUAAAUAAUCUAAUAGAAAAAUCGUGUUCUUCAACUGUACUUGAAGAAAAGACACCAACAUAUGAAUGAUCGAUCCAGUUCAAAGAUCAAACUGCUUGGUGUGAAUUAAGAAUUGAGAUUCUUAAUCCAAGUGGUGGUUGUAGCCAAGUACAACACUGAAAUGAUGAUAAAGUCAAGAUCGAGAAGUUUGAUUCCUCUUCUAUAAUAAGUCAAAAGAAGAAGAAAAUGAGGAAUUUGUUCUAGAUUUCUUUUGAUUUUUAUUUGUUAAUUUUGUGAAAUUACAAAAUUGAGACUAUUGUAUUUUUUAUUGUUUGAUUUAGUGGAUUGUUUUACUCGUGACAUGGGGUCUGUGAAUGUUUUUCUAUGGAGUUUAUCUCGUUACAUCUGGCUUUCAUGUUUUAAUAUGCUAGUUAAUUUUCGUCAUUGAUUAUAACCACUUAGGACACUAGAUUCUGUUUACACGCUGCGAUCAUAGUUGCUUAGAAACUGGUAAUAGGAAAUUCUAACUGCGUAGCGCGUACUGUUUUAAAUUGGAUAAUUAAAACAAGUUUUUAAAUUUACUAGGUUUUAGCAUUUACACACAUCAUACACGUUCAUAUGUUUUCAAGUACAUGUUCACUCAUAAAUGUGUGAAGCAUAUAAACAUAAUCUAUUCUUUCUCAUAAAAUCAUUAAUCAUAUACAUUAAAUAAACGUACUCAACUCACCUAUAACAUCCAAUAUCCGCCUCAACUUAUUGAGGUUGAUCCUUUCUUUGAUCUAUAGUACACAAUGGAUUGCUCAAUGUUUAAAGAAUAUGUGCACAGUGCUGACAUUUGUAAGACAAGGCCUCGUACUUUUUGUGCAAAAUAUUGAUACACAUUCGGAUGCAGUUAAUAGAAAGUUUGACACUCGUUCGCAAGUGUGUACACUUAGCAAUAGAAAGCUAUUUUUUAGGAAAACGAUUUACAAGUGUCGACCCUUGAAAGUGUCAAAAAGAUGAGAUUCACAAAUAUUUAAUGGAUACAAUUGAAGACAUUGUUGAGCAAAAUUUAACAUAUUGAAUUGGUGGAAGAUCAAUAUUCCAAAUUUGCGAGGAAUGUACUUUUCAUUUCUAUAUCUACAGUUGCUUCUAAGUUAGCAUUAAAACUAGAGGAUGCAUUCCUAAUUCGUUUAGGUGUCCUUUAACUUCUAAAACAGUUGAGGCUUUAGUUUCUACUCAAAACAAGUUACGAGAAGAAUUUAGACUUUUGAAAGUACCAAAAAUCAAAAUUUGCAUUGAAGAAAUGAAGUUCUAUGAUGAUAUUAAGAUGGUUAAUAAAAAAUCAACUAAAUAUUUUCAAAUCACGUCUUAUUAAUUGUAAAAGCUUUAGUUGAUUUGUGUUUGUUUUAACUAUGCCUUUUUUUAUUAUGUUUUGUAGAGUUUCUCUACAGUCCAAUCAAUCGAAGAUUAAAUAGUUGGUAUAUACUAAGUAAUACCAUAAAAAUAUCUUAUUUCUAUUACUUUCAACUUUAUGUAUUACAUUUCAUUUUUUUCAUUUAGUUCUGAAGGCUUCAUUUACAGGAAUCGAUCGGAUGGAUCAUGAAGAUGGAACUUGAUAUUAGUAAUUUUUAUCAUUAGUUUGCUGAUAAGCAAGCUCUUAUUCGGACUUCUAUGCUUGUUUAUUUGUAUGCAACUUGAUUGAAUAUUUACUUAGUUUGUGUAAAUUAUGUUAAUUAUAGGAAAUUUCUAACCUGGAUACAAUUUAUAUAAAAGAGACCUUUUGGAGUUUAAUUGGAAUUGAUUUGAAGCAAUUGAAAAUUAACCAGAUUGGAAGAGAUCAAUUGGAAGUAUUAAUGGAGUAUUCGAUUAACAUUCAUAAGUUUCGGGAGUUAAAUUUGACAAUUGAAAAUUUUAAAGACCAAAUUGCAAACUUUUGGUACUUGACUCAUGUCAACCAUAAUAAUUUUAGAAUGAAGACGGUUUAAUUACAAAUAUUGGAAGAUGAAGGACUAAAAUCUCAUUAUAGAAGGAGUUCAAUUGGAAAAGGGAUUUGUUUCCCCUUUUUAUCUUUUUUUUUUUUUUUCAAACUCUUUGAUGGAAAACAAAUUGAAGAAGGAUUUUACCUAAAUCUUGUUCUAUAAAUAUAUACCUUAGUCACACAAUUAGAGGAGGCUUGUAAAGUUUCAUUAUACACAUGUUAAGACCGAGGCUUGUGGGGGAUUCAAUAUACAUAUAUUAUAUAAGCCUAGAAGGAAGAAAAAAAAAUCAAGAAAUCAAUCAAGGAGUUCAGGUUUCAAGAUUUUACAAGAAGGAAUAUUGGUUCAUGAUCUUCAUUUUUCCUCUCUUUUUUUUAUUUUUUUUUCUCUUUAAACCCAAUGAUAUACUUUAAUUCUUUCAAGUUUUAUUCUUCUCCAUGAUGUGUAAUUAAGUAUUUAGCUAUGAUGAAUGAUUAUAACCUAGAUUUGAACCUUCAUUUUAAUUAAAAAAAUUUAAAUCUUCAAUUAAUUUUUUAAAUCGUUUUACCUUCCAAUCUUAAUAUUUGAAUUAAUUGGUCACUAUUGCAUUGAUAUUGCGAGCGUAAUUACGUUGAGAGGCAGAUUAUUUAUUUAGACCACAUAGUUAAAGUUGGGAUCCAGUAUCAAAGACAAACAUACAUUUUUUCCAGUCUUUGUGAUUAGUGUCUAAAAGUGCUUUAAAAAUAUAUCAUUUACAAGGUAUUUUACAUUCAUUUUUUGUAUAAGUUUACUAAUGUUAGUCUCUAUUUCAAUUCUUUUGCCAUAAAUUCAAUUUCUGUAAAUACAUGGUUAAAAGUGCAAUUAAUCGAAAUACGCAUUUACAUACAUGUCGGCAUGAGUAUUAUACUUUUGAAAGAGUAUUUAUUUGAUGUAUUUCCAAUGUAGAACAAGUGGAGCAAAAAAUGUUGAAAAGUCAAGAAUGAUGAGUUGUCUCCAACAAAGAUACAACUAUCUCGGUAAAAUUGUCAUAACUCGAGCUGUAGUUAUCUAAAUAAGGUGAUUCAAGUUGGGUUAAAAAAAAAAGAUAUGUAUCUACAACUUUCAUGUUUUACAAGAAGUCAAAUUCGCAUCAUAAAGAAGCUAAAAUUACCAUGCAAAAAUCCAAGUUGUUACCUGUCGGAUACAGUUUUUCUAUCUGUGAGCAGCACUCAUUGUUUUGGCCAUAUCUGGAGUUGUAGAGAUCCAAUGGACCUGAAAUUUGUAUCAAUGAAAAGAUAAAUCAACUAAACAAUUUAUCUGCAGAUCAAAAGUCCAAAUUCACAGCAAAAAGUAUCUGAAAAUUGGCAUCAAGUUGCAUAUUCCAGCUGUCUUCAAAUUGGACAGAAACAAGUUGCAUUGUUCACUUGCAUUUUGGAUGUUCCUUUGCGUAUAAAAAGGAGACCUCGACCAAGAUUUUGAGAGCUUUAAUUUCUGUUCAUCAUAUUCUAGUUUCCUUCAUUUUCUUUAUAACAUUUCAUUAUGUAUUUCUAAACAAUUAGCUAGAGUUAGGGGUGAAACUUUGAUGAAUGUUUAGUAUUGUCUUUGAUCUUUCAUUUUGUUCUUCAAUGUCCAUCUUCUUCCUUGGUUGAAGUAUAUAUUCUAUAAAUGAUUUUGAUUUGUUAAAGACUUUGAUUUAUUGUUGACAAUUUUGGCACAAUAAAUGCUUAGAUAAUCUCUACAUAUCAACAACUUAUUUUGACAUAUUCUCUCAAACAAUUAUCAAGAACUAUCUUUUAGUAUAUUUGUGAUCAAUGUUCUAUCUUCCAUAUGAGAUCACUCCCUAGUUGAUUUUCAUAUGAGUUAAAUAAAAGAUCAAGAGUAAUUUCUACUCAUUUAUCCAAAGAGAAUCUCCAACGCUUUAGCAUUCUUCUCUAUCGUAUUUUUACUAACCGUUUACUACUCAUAGACUAGUUCAUUUCCUUCCAAUUCCAUGUGAUUCGACCUCGGACUUCUAAGUUUACUACUUGAGACAACUUGCACUUGGGUUUGGAACCAUAAAGUUGUAGCAAGUUUUUGACACCGUUACCGGGGAUUUGCGUCAAGGAUUAUUUUCUACUAUUUUCUGUGAGGUAUUCUUCUCUUUUGUAAUCUUCAUAAAUCAGGUACGCUCGUUCCUUUUUCCAACUUAUUACUUUAGUUAUUUUACUUCAAAUAAAGGCCGAGCUUCCUUCGUUCUUUUAUUUUCUUUAGUUAAAAGGAAGGCCAAGCCUCCCAAUCUGCCCUUUCUUUAUUAUAUGGUUGGCCGUGCCACCUAAUUUUCGUUAUUUACAUCUACUUUUUGUUAUUUUAUGCUAUAUUAGUAUCGUGAAUUUAAUUCUCAUCGUUUAGUUAAAGAUAACUGUGAAACUUUUUUUAGUAAUUUGUUUGACUUACCUCAACACACUCACAUCUUCCACCAUGGCUGAUAAUGAAAGCGUACAUGAUGAAAAUCAAAACCAACAAGCGCGAACCAUGCAUGAUUACUUGCAGCCUUCUCGAAAUUCUGCUCCUUCAUGUUUCAUUUUCCCUCUUAAUGCUAAUAAUUUCCUAUUCAAGUCGGGUAUGAUUCCAUUACUUCCUAAUUUUCAUGGUCUAGAAUUUGAAAGUCUAUAUUUGCAUCUUAAAGAAUUUGAAGAAGUAUGUGCCACGUUUAAUGAUCGAACUUGGUCCAAUGAAAUUGUUAAGUUGAAAUUGUUUCCUUUUUCUCCAAAAGAUAAAGCAAAAAGUUGGCUUAACUCUUUAAAACCUAGGUCAAUUGGCACAUGGCAAGAAAUGCAAAGUGAGUUUUCGAAGAAAUUCUUUUCAGCACAUAAAACUAAUGCUCUAAAAAGAAAAAUCCAAAAUUUUCUCAAAAAACCAAUGAAGCAUACUUUCAAUGUUUAGAAAGAUUUAAAGAUUUUAAAUACAUGCCUACAUCAUGGUUUUGAAAAAUGCGUACUAUAAGUUUCUUUUAUGAGGGCUUAACUCCUGAAACAAAACAAUUUGUAGAAAAGAUGUGCAAUAGUGAAUUUUUAUAUAAAGAUCCUGAUAAAGCUUUAGAAUUUCUAGAUCAUCUAGUUGAAAAUUCUCAAUCUUGGCAAAUAGUAAAGCCAAUCGAAACCUCAAUCAGAUCCAAUUUUGCUAGUUCUAGUAGAGGAAAAUAUCAAUUGAGUCAAGAUGAUGAUCUAAAUGCUAGGAUUGCUACUUUGUCUAGAAAGGUUGAAGCUAUGGAAUUAAGAAAAAUAAAGGAAGUUAAACCCUUGCAAAAUGAUGAAAUUUGUAGCAUUUGUGAAACUUUUGGGCAUCCAACGCAUGAUUGUCAUAACAUCCCAGUUUUCAAAGAAGUUUUACAUUGUCAAGCCAAUGCUAUGAAGACUUUCAAAAAGCCUUUUCCUUCUCCAUUCUCAGAAAAUAAUCAACAAUGGAGAAAUCAUUCCAACUUUAGUUGGAGAGAUGAUAAUCGUGUUCAUAUAUCACAACCUCAAGGGUUUUCAAAAUUUCCUUAUUUUCCACUACCAGAAUAAAAAAAAAACUCUUGAGGAAACAUUGCAAUCAGUCAUGCAAGGACAAGCAAAUAUCAAUAAUCAAACUUCACAAGCCAUCAAUGAAAUCAAGAACACACUUUAUUUAUUAACCUCUUCUUUGCGUUUUCAAGAGAAAGGUAAAUUUCAUGCUCAACCUCAACCAAAUCCUUCUGGCCAAUUUAAUGUAAAUACUUCUAGUUCGUCUGAAAGUCAACAAGAAAAUGUCAACUCCAUUACGACUCUUCGCAGUGGAAAAAUUAUUGACAAAACCAUUCCUUUAACAGAACUAAAAUCCAAAAUUGAGGAAAAAUUCAUUUCUGAACUCGUAUUGAAAAAUGUUCCAUUCCAGCUCCAUUUUCUCAAUGAUUACAACCAAUUUCAAAACUCAACCAUAAUUCUAAAAUUAUUGAACUUUUCAAACAAGUCAAAAUAACAUACCAUUAUUGGAUGUAAUCAAACAAGUUCCUUCAUAUGCAAAAUUUUUAAAAGACUUGUGCACUGUUAAGAGGAAACUAAUGUUCAACAAAAAACAUUUUCGACAGAGAACGUGAGCUCAAUCAUUCAACAAAACACUCCACCUAAAUUCAAAGAUCCUGGUUAUCCAACAAUUUAUUGUGUGAUUGGGAAUAAUAGGAUAAGGCAUGCUUUAUUUGAUCUUGGUGCUAGUGUUAAUCUAUUACCUUUUUCUGUGUAUGAGAUACUUGGUUUGGGAGAGCUUAAGCCAACAACAACAACACUUCAACUUGCUGAUUUUUCACUAAAAGUUCCAAGAGGAGUUGUAGAGGAUGUUCUAGUUCAAAUUGAUAAAUUCUGUUAUCCCAUUGACUUUAUAGUUUUGGACACACGGAAGUUUUAGAUUCAAAUGCACAAAUACCUGUCAUUUUAGGACGUCCCUUUCUUGUUACUUCAAAUGCAUUGAUAAAUUGUAGAAAUGGUAUCUUGAAACUCUCUUUUGGAAAUAUGACCAUGGAAAUGAAUGUUUUUAACAUUUGCAAGUAACAUGGAGAUAAAAAUAAUUUGCAUGAAGUAGAUUUUAUUGAACAACUUGUUGAUGAUCAAUUUAUUGCUACAUCUUCAUCUUAUGCGCUAGAAUUUGAAUUCAAUGAUAAUUCUAAAAAUUCGGAUAUAAUUUCUUUGUUGAAUUCUUUUCAGGAGAAAAAGACAAGUGAUUGGAAAUCAAAAUUUGAAAAAUUAUCACAAUAGUCCAAUAUGUCCAUGAUUUCAAGUGUUCAAAUGCCAAAGCUCGACUUGAAGUCAUUACCAUCUAAUCUAAAAUACUCAUUUUUGGGUGAAGAUGAAACUUUUUCGGUAAUAAUUUCUUCCCAACUUGAUGUGCACCAAGAAGGUAAGUUGUUACAAUAUUUGAAAAUACAUAAAAGUAUUUUAGGAUGGUCCAUAGCUGAUAUAAAGCUGAUUAGUCCUUUGAUUUGCACACAUAAGAUUUAUUUGGAGGAAUACGCUAAACCUACAAGAGAAAUGCAACAAAGGCUUAAUCCUAUUUUAAAAGAGGUGGUAAGAAAUGAAAUCAUUAAAGUCUUAGAUAAUGAAAUCAUUUAUCCUAUUUCUGAUAGUAGAUGGGUAUGUCCAACCUAAGUUGUAUCAAAAAAAUCUGGGAUUACUGUAGUCAAAAAUGAAGAAAAUGAGUUAAUUCCAACUAGAACUGUUACUGGCUGGUGCGUGUGUAUUGACUAUAAGAAACGCAACUCAAUGACUAGGAAAUAUCAUUUUCCUUUACCAUUUAUGGAUCAAAUGUUGGAAAGAGUGGCAGCACAUGAAUUCUAUUGUUUUCUAGAUGGAUAUUCUGGGUAUAACCAAAUUGAAAUUGCACCUGAGGACCAGGAAAAGACCACUUUCACAUGUCCCUUUGGUACUUUUGCUUAUCAUAGAAUGCCUUUUGGAUUAUGUAAUGCACUAGCUACAUUUCAAAGAUGCGUGAUUAGUAUUUUUAACGACAUGAUUGAAAGAUCUUUGGAAGUUUUCAUGGAUGAUUUUACUGUUUUUGGAGAUUCAUUUGAUGAUUGUUUAACUAACUAGCAAAAAGUUUUAGUUAGGUGUGAAGAAAAGAAUUUUGUGAUAAAUUGGAAAAAAUGUCAUUUUAUGGUCACUAAUGACAUCGUACUUGGUCAUAUUGUAUCAUCUAACAGAAUUGAGGUAGACAAAUCUAAAACUGAAUUGAUUUCUAAUUUGCCUACUCAAAUAGUGUUAAAGAGGUAAGAUCUUUUUUAGGACAUGCUGAUUUUAUAGAAAGUUUAUCAAAGACUUUAGUGUCAUUCUAAACCAUUGUGUAAUCUCUUAUCUAAAGACAUGCCUUUUGAAUGGACUAAGUCUUGUCAAGAAGCUUUUGUUAAACUUAAGAACAUGCUUACUUAUGUUCCUAUCAUGCAACCUUCGGAUUGGAAUUCACCUUUUGAAAUCAUGUGUGAUGCUAGUGAUUAUGCUGUUGGAGCUAUCUUAGGCCAAAGAAGAGAUAAAAAACAUCAUGUCAUUUACUAUGCAAUUAAAACUCUAAAUAGUGCUCAAACGAAUUAUUUUACCACUGAAAAAGAAUUGCUUGCUAUAGUAUUUGCUUUGGAUAAAUUUCAAUCAUAUCUUAUUCGCUCACCAAUUGUUAUUUUUAGUGAUCAUGCAGCUUUGAAAUAUCUUCUCUCUAAGAAAGAUGCCAAACCUUGAUUGAUUAGGUAGAUUCUUUUACUCCAAGAAUUUGACAUCACCAUUUGAGAAAAAAAGAAGUAGAGAAUGUUGUAGAUGAUCACUUCUCUAGGCUUACUUGUGAUGAAUCGUUUGAAACAACAUCGAUCAAGGACACUUUCCCUGAUGAACAACUUUUUAGUAUUUCUAACCUGCCUUGGUUUGCUUAUAUUACUAAUUUUCUUGUGAUAGGUCAAAUACCAUCUCAUUGGAAUGCCCAAGGCAAAAAGAAAUUCUUCAAAAAGGUACGAAAUUUUUUUGGGGAUGAUCCUCACCUAUUUAAAUAUUGUCCAGACCAAAUAAUAAGAAGAUGUCUGCCAAAUAAUGAAAUUCAAAAGAUCAUUUCUUUUUGUCAUUCUGAAGCAUGUGGUGGUCACUUUUCUUCAAAGAAAACUGCUGCAAAAAUCUUGCAGUCUGGAUUUUAUUGGACAACUCUUUUCAAAGACACACAUGAAUUUUGUAAAGCUUGUGAAUGUUGUCAAAAUUUAGGUGGGAUAACUCGUAGAAAUAUGAUGCCACUGAAACCCGUACUAGUUAUUGAAAUAUUUGAUUAUUGGGGUAUUGAUUUCUCCAUUCCCAUUAUCUUUUGGUUAUUUAUACAUCAUGGUAGGAGUUGAUUAUGUUUCUAAAUGGGUGGAGGCAAUUCCUUGUAAACACAAUGAUCACAAAAUUGUUUUAAAAUUUUUGAAAGAAAAUAUUUUGUCAAGAUUUGGAAUACCUCGAGCCAUUAUAAGCGAUGGGGGUUUACACUUCUGUAAUAAACCUUUUAAGGCCCGAAUGAAAAAAUAUGGGAUGACCCAUAAAGUGUCUACUCCUUAUCACCCAAACACUAGUGGUCAAGCUGAACUUGCAAAUAGAGAGAUCAAAUGGAUUUUGGAAAAAAUAGUGAAUCCAAAUAAAAAAGAUUGGUCUUUACGAUUAACUGAUGCACUAUGGGCUUAUCGUACAUCUUUCAAAAGACCUCUUAGUAUGUCACUUUAUCGACUUGUUUUUGGAAAGUCUUGUCAUUUACCAGUUGAAUUAGAACACAAAGCAUUUUUGGGCUAUUAAAAUGUUUAAUUUCAAUUUAGAUGAGACAGGUUCACUUAGGAAACUUGAACUCAAUGAGUAGGAAAAAAUUAGGAAUGAAACUUAUGAAAACUCUCGAAUUUAUAAGGAAGCAAUGAAGGUAUUCCCUGAUAAAAACAUCGCUAGAAAAAUUUUGAGCCUUCCCAAAAAGUUCUUUUGUACAACUCAAGGUUACAUUUAUUUCCUAAAAAAUUACACUCCAAGUGGACGACCCUUUCAUUGUCAAAACUGUUUACCCACACGGAGCUGUAGAAAUUGAAAAUCCAAGUAAUGGAAAUACUUUCAAAGUUAAUGGACAUCGUUUGAAAACAUUUUUUGAGAAUUUCUAUAAAUUGGAAGAGUCCAUUACCUUGCAUGAUUUUAAAGAUUGAUAUCAUUUUCUCAUUAUUUUAUUUUGUAUGGUUCUUUUCAAUGUUAUGUGUUUGUUUUAGGUGUGUUUCUUUUUUUCGUCUUUUUUCUUUUUCUCUCUUAUUUUUUUUAAUGAAAUUGAAGGUUCAUCUAGGCCAAGUUUAUAUAGACUCUCCAGGUACAACUCAAAACUCAUCUCUUUGUUUAAAAUUUUGCUCCUUACUGUCCUUCAUAUAUUUUGCAUGUUUAAUUUUCAAAUUGAGGACAAUGUUUCAUUUAGGUUGGGGGACCGAUGAUGAUAUUAUUUAAAAUUGUUUUUAUAUUAUGAAUUUUGACUAUGGGAUGCUGCUUUGAUUUAAUUGAAGCUUGUUCAUGUUAGAUUGAUUUACAUUGAGUACAAUAAUCAUGAAAAUCACAUAUUAUUUAGAUUGGAUUAAUGGACAGAAUAGGUAAAAUUAACUAUGACAAAAAAAAAUUCCUAUUAAACCAAUUCUAGGAUAAUUUGGUAUGGUUGAGUUGUUGUAAGGAAACAUUGAGAUAGAUGUGGAUUCCACGUGUGUUAAAUUUUGUGUGAAUUGCUUAAAACCAAUGAGAUGAUAAUUAGGUGAAAAUCUUAAGUUAGAGAUCGAUUUUCAAGAAUGGGUGUUUAAUAAGAGGCAUUGCACUAAUCAUUGCAUAUAAGGAAAAAAGCUGACAUGUUGUGAAGCUACCCUAAAAGAUCCCAAUGAGGACAAUUAUGGAUAUAAAAAAAAAAGAUUAGGCUAGUACAUGAAACAGAAUACACAUGGCAAACUUGAAAAAAAGUAGGUGCAUAAAACAGAAGGCGCACUACAUGCCAUGAUUAAGUCUCAAACACUUAUUUUAGAGAAUUAGACCUUUGAUAAGAGAUUAGUAGCUUAAUUGAUUCUUGGAUGUUGAAUCAGUCAAAAAUAAGGAGAAUCCUCAUUUAUUGAUGUGUUGAGCUGCAAUUAGUAAAAUAUAACCAAACAAGAGAGGGUGGGUACUAAUAUAUAAAUUUAACCAUAAAUCACACCAUUGGAAAAUAGUUACAAAAUAAAGUUUGUGGACGUCCAUCCCAUGAGAGAAGAAAGAAAUAAUUGGCCAUUGUGGGUUGGGACGAGUCCAAUUUGAAAAAGUAUGUGAUUGAAUUGAUUAUGCACACACACACAUUGGUAGAGCAUUGGACAAGUUAGACUAUGUUUUGAUAUAAAACCUUAUAAGCAUUUUGUUAAGCAGUUUCAAAUCCUGAGACAAGUGCGACAAGCUAUUUCAUUUAAACUAUUUUUGAAUUUUUAUUGCUAGAGACUAGCAAUAUCUUGAUUUGGGAGUGUGAUUAGUGUCUAAAAGUAUUUCAAAGAUAUAUCAUUUACAAGACAUUUUACAUUUAUUUUUGUAUAAGUUUACUAAUGUUAGUCUCUAUUUCAAUUCUUUUGCCAUAAAUUCAAUUUUCGUAAAUACAUGGUUAAAAGUGUAAUUAAUCGAAAUACGCAUUUACAUACAUGUCGGCAGGAGUAUUAUACUUUUGAAAGAGUAUUUAUUUGAUGUAUUUCACAUGCAUUUUCAAUGUAGAACAAGUGGAGCAAGUGGAGCAAAAAAUGUUGAAAAGUCAAGAAUAAUGAGCUGUCUUCAGCGAAGAUGCAGCUGUCUCGAUAAAAUGGUCAUAACUUGAGUUGUAGAUAUCAAAACAAGGUGAUUUAAGUUGUAUUGGAAACAUAAGAUAUGUAUCUACAACUUUUAUGUUUUACAAGAAGUCAAAUUCUCAUCAUAAGGCAGCUAAAAUUACCAUGAAAAAUUCAAGUUGUUACCUGCUAGAUACAUCUUUUCUACCUUGAGCAGCACUCAUUAUUUUGAUCAUAUCUGGUGUUGUAGGGAUUCAAUGGACCUAAAAUUUGUACCAAUGAAAUAUAACUCAGUUGGAAACAAUUUAUCUGUUGAUCAAAAGUCCUAAUUCUCCGCACAAAGUAUCUGAAAAUUGGCAUCAAAUUGUAUGUUCCAGCUGUCUUCAAGUUGGAUAGAAACAAGUUGCAUUGUCCUCUUGCAUUUUUGAUGUUCCUUUACCUAUAAAAGGGGACCUUGGCCUAAAUUUUGAGAGCAUCAAUUUCAUUUCAUCAUAUUCUAGUUUCCUUCAUUUUCUUUGUAACAUAUCAUUAUGUAUUUCUCAACAAUUAGCUAGAGCUAGGGGUGAAACUUUGCUGAAUGUUUAGUAUUGUCUUUGAUCUUUCACUUUGUUUUUCAAUGUUCAUCUUCUUACUUGGUUGAAAUAUAUGUUCUAUAAAUGGUUUUGAUUUGUUAAAGAUUUUGAUUUAUUAUUGACAAUUUUGGCACAAUAAAUACUUAGAUAAUCUCUACAUACCAACAACUUAUUUUGACAUAUUUUUUCAAACAAUUAUUAAGAACUAUAUUUUAGUAUAUUUGUGAUCAAUGUUCUAUUUUCCAUAUGAGAUUACUCCCUAGUUGAUUUUCAUAUGAGUUAAAUCAAAGAUCAAGAGUAAUUUCUACUCAUUUAUCCAAAGUGAAUCCCCAACGCUCUACUAUUCUUCUCCAUCGUAUUUUCACCAACCGUUUACUACUCAUAGACUAGUUCAUUUCCUUCCAAUUCCCUGUGGUUCGACCUCGGACUUUCGAGUUUACUACUUGAGACAACCUGCACUUGGAUUUGCAACCUUAAAGUUGCAGCACUUUGCAUGGACCUUAGAGAUUUAAUUCACAUAGAGAUAUGGAAUUGAUAUUGUUAAAUAAAAUCAAUUUGAACUUGAAAGAGGUAAAUUGAGUAUGUUAGUUGAAUUUGACUAAGUUAACAUAAUCAAUUGUUAUGAAAUUUGUUGAUUGAAGUUAAGAUGACAGUUAUGAUAAACUGAAACUUGACCCCAUCGUAUAAAAAAUCAAUUUUUAUUGUUUUACUACAUUUAAAAAAAAUCACAAAAGAAAAUAACUAUUUUUAUUAAUUCUCAAUCGAAUUGAAGUUAGGAAUAAUUUAACCAGUAGUUAGAUUGUAGUUCUCUUGGGAAUGAUAUUCAGAUUCUAAGGUUCACUUUAUUACUUGUUACGACCCAAACAUUUACGAGAUAUAAAAAUCGACAACAAUUUUUUGGCGUCUACAAUAGCGGAUAGUUGUUGCUAGAUAAUAUUUUGUAUGGAGAUGGAAUUUGUAUCUGUGUUUUAAACUUCAACUAAGUUUGUUUGUUUGUUUGGCUAUUUUGAAUGAAUUUUAUUAGACAAUAUUUUGUUUGAGGGUUGAACUUGUCGUUUUCAUUAAAUUAUGCUUAUUAUUAUUUUUAUUUUAGUUUGGAGUUAUAUAAUAUUUAGUUGUGGUGAUAGAACUUUAAUUUGCAUUUAUAAUUUGAAAAGUUAAGUUUUGGAACCAAAACUAAACAAAACCAACUCCCAAUCGAAUGGUUUGAUUUUGGUUCAGUUCCAUUAUUACAAAUGAAAUCAAUGGUUUCGUUACCAAAACAACAAUAAUAAUAAUAAUAUCAUUGUUCUUAGUUUGACUCGAUUAUGUUGGAUCCAGAAUCAAAUCGAACCAUGCACCUUCUUAUUGCUCACACUUUGUUUUCAUAUCCAUUUUUCUUAAUCAUCCUCAUCAAACUCACCAAAUUAAUAAAGUUUGCAAUUCAAUAAAAUAAAACUUCUAACAUGUUAGCAAAAUAAUCUCAUAUCUGUAUAGAAAAGAAAAGACAUAACUUGAAAGAUCGCAUUGUCGAGUCUAUUAUAUGAAUUCUUGAAGUCAGUCAAAUCAUAGAAGUCUGUUAAACAUACUGUGAUCAUUUUAAUAGACUGCAAUAUCGCCUUGCAAAAAAUUCAUUCAAACACACUAAGUCCAUGUGUACAUUCUAAGAAAAAAUGCAUUAUUCAUGUCAAAUCAAUGGGAAAUGUGUGGUUAAAAAAAGAAAAAAUUUUUAGAUUUGUGUGUAAUAUUAUUUUUUUGAAAAAUUUGUAGUUGAAAUGAUGUCAAAUCACUGUUGAAAAAAGUAUUUUUUUUUUUUUUAAAUAAUGUGACUCAAACAAACCCUAAAUUUACAAUGAAUAAGUAAAAACAAAAGCAAAACCAAGGGUUUAUUAGUUACUUAUACUUAAACAAAACUGAUCUCCUGCUCCACUGGGCUGGAUAUUAGUUUUUCCAUCGUACCAUAUCAGCAGUUCGACGUUCUAUUUUAUUUUUUGACUUUUCUCCCUACCAAAACCCGCUAUGCCCCUUUAUUGCCUCACUAUCCCCAUUUACUUUAUUAUCACCCGAUCACCGUUUCAUUAUCCUCCACCCAUUUUAUUCCCUAUUCUUAUCUGCCACUUUGAUUUUCCCAACCACUUCUCUUCACCUGUCAUUGGUCUUCUUUGUAAUAUUUUCGAUAUAUAUUAUUUAUUUAAUUUGAUUGUAAAAUUAAUUAAAAUGGCCAAAAUUUAUUUUUUAUUCAUGGUUUUCACAUCAAAUUAGGUCAUUCCGAUUCAUAUUUUAGAGUGUCAAGAUCACUGAAUCAUUUAUUUCAUUAUUUUUAGUAAUUUGUAAAGUGUAGUAGUUGAAAAUAAAAUACAUAAAUGCAAUGUAAAUUGAAAAUCCGUGCUAUAUGGAAAUAGUUCAAAAACAAACCGUCAAAAAAUAAAAAGUAAAAACAAAAAUAAAAAGAAUUAGAAAACUCUUACAUAUAUAUCCCGACUCAAAUGUCGCCACUUAUAUAUACACACUUCAUUACAACAAUGAGUGGUACAAGCAUACAUGUCCACAGUAUAGUAAACCAAAAAAGUGCACAAGUGAAAACUCAGUGUCCUAAACUCAGUAAGAAGGGAUUGUAUAUCGUCCUAAACACAGUCCAGAGGAAAUACACAAAAAUGGCUCUUCCACUGUAGCAAAAAUUGACAUUGGUCUUUGACCCAUUAAAUGAAUUAAAAAAAAAACAAAUUAAGUUAAAAAAAAAAAACUUCACAGUAAAAACCCAUUUUACCCUUCAGACUGUUUGAAUUAUCUCUCACCGACCGAUCGACCAGUGCAGAAAUCCGACCGACCGACCACCGGAGUUACACCAACGUCGCAAUCAACAACCAUCAUCUACAGUGGAAAUUAAAGAACCAGUUAGUUUUCUGAUAUUUUCUCCAGUUCGAAUGCUUUUUUUCAUAGUAUCCCAUUAAAUUAGAUCCAUGGGCAUGAGUAGUUAAAUUGUGGGCAUGCUGGAUUGUGAAAAAUGUGAUUUUUUGCCAUUUUUUGGAGCUCAGUGGCCGGGAAUGGCAGUUUUCGAUCGUUUCCCGGCCACCGGGCUCGUUGCAGUCGCACCAACCGACUGUAACAGUCGGUGUAACCGACUGUUAACAGUCUGGGCCGAAUGUCAGACUGUUAACAGUCGGGCAGUCUGGGCCGGUAAACCGGCCCAGAUUAAAUAUUUAAAUUAAAAUUUUUUUUAUAAUUUUUGUAAUUAAUUAAAUUUUUUUAUUUGAUUAAAUAGUAAUUAUAUUAUUUAUUUAUUUAAUUUUUUUAUCAUUGUCAAUAUAAUAUAAUAAUUGAAUUAUUGUAAAAUUAAACAAUGUUGAUUAUUUUUUUUAUGAAAUAAUCUUUAAUUUAUUUUUUCAAAUUUAUUUAAAUAAUAUAAAUAGUCUUUACAUUUUUCGAAAAUGUAAAGUAAUUAUUUAUUUAAUUUUUAUAUUUGUCUUUUAUAUAAUUUAAUAAUUGAAAUAUUCUAAAAUUAACAAUUUUGUGUUGUUCUUUUUUUUUUUUAUGAAAUAAUCUUUAAUUUAUUUUUUAAAUUAUUUAAAUAAUAUUUAUAUUCUUUAAUUUUUUUGACAAUACAUUUAAUUUGAUUUGUUGUUUUUUGUAAAUAUAUUUUUCAAAUGUAAUAUUUGUAAUUGUAUGAUAGUUAGAGUUCGGUUCUCUUGAUUUUGUGAGAUUAUGCUUUAUUUUGUUAUCUCUUGUUUAAUGCUAUAACAUUUAAAUUUUUGCAGGAUGGAGUAUCAUUUAGAUGCAGAGUUGAGACGGAUGUCGGGGAAAGCUACUUGGAACAGUAGCUUUGAGAGUUUUACUGUUGUAUUGGAACUGCUCGAUGAUCAGCAUGGAGAUAUUCUACGACAGUCCUUCUUGUGGCCACUAUACCAGUUGCGAGAGGUGCAGUACUCAGGACAGAUCAUUGAUGCACUUCUAUGUCAGCUUCUGAGGCCAGUCGCCGGCGAUUCCCUCCAGUUCGACCUCAGGGGCAAGGUCGUCAGUUUCUCGAUGUUUGAGUUUACAUUGAUCACUGGACUGAAGAUUACGGGCGACGAUGCAGCCAUGGAGAGAAGCAGUAGGCUGUAUGAGACGUACUUCCAGGGACAUGGGUCGGUGCUUCUACCCGGCUUGAUGGUCGCGAUCAGGGAGUGCGACCAUAUGCUAGAUAGAUUGAAGCUUGGGCUGGUCUACAUCCUCGAGAGUGUGAUGAGGUGUCAUCACAAGAAGACUGCCAUUGACAUUUUUCAUUUGCAAGUUGUUGACGACAUCGAUGCGUUCAACAACUAUCCGUGGGGCCGAAGAUGCUACGAAGACACCGUACAUGUGUUCACCAGAUCGCACUCGAGGCCCAGGGGGUCGAUGGGUAAAUACGAUACAUAUGGAUUACCGUUAGCAGUGCAGGUAAAUGUUUAAUAUAAUCAAAGUUAAAGUUUUAGUGUAUUACAUUGAUGCUUAAUAAGUGUAUGUGUUACAGAUUUGGGUGUAUGAGACAGUUCCUGUACUGGGGGCCCGCUUUGCGCAGCGAGGGGAGACACGCUGCCCUCGGAUGCAUCAUUGGAGAUCAUCGCGAGCGGAGGGAUGUCCCACUGGGAAGCAGUUAUCGGCCCUCCUCGACGAUCCUCGGGUAAGUAUUAUGCAUUUGUGAUUUAUAUUAUACGUAGUUUAAAAUUUUGUUUACAUGAUCGUUAAAUAGUUGAAAUGUCAAUAUGUCAGCUUGAAGUCAUACCUGAGUUGACGCCAUCGAUGGAAGAGGAGGCUCGGGGUCUUGUGCGGGAUUUAGGCGUUCCGCACACCCCAGACGAGGAGAUGCCUGAUCCGAGCUUGGACCGAGAUUGGGUAUGUGAAUGAAAUAUAAUUUAUUGAAUAUGAUCGACGUAUAAAUUUAUUGAAUAAUUUAUUGAAUAAUUUUUCAUUUUAUUUAUUUAGGAGGGCGGUCCAGCUGAUCGACGAUCACCUCCGCCGGGGCCAUCGUCGCUACCAUUGGCAUCAUCUCCGCCGAGAGUAUCGUGCCCGCCAUUGGCAUCACCUCCGUCGAGGGCAUCACCGCCGCUAGUGGCAUCACCUCCGCCGGGGCUAUCGCCGACGCCAUUGGCAUCACCUCCGUCCAGACACCUCCCCCGUGUGUCUCCGGGGCACAGUGAUGAUUUGUAUGCCCGUUUGACUGGAUUUAUAGCGGAGGAGGUCGGCGUGCUAUGACGAGAUUUGACGGAGAGGGUCGAUGAUAUGGGACGAGAGUUGACAGGGUGGGCCAACGAUCUGGCAGGGAAGGUUGACUAUAUGACAGGGAGGGUUGACGAUCUAUCCCAUGAUGUUGGAAUACUACAGUCUUCCGUUGUCGACCUUCAGGAUACAGUAGCGGCGCUUAGAGGAGAUUUAGCCGACAGACGAUGGGGGGACAGAGAGGAUGGCAGAGAUCAUGAUCGAGAUGGUGGCAGAGAUGGUGAUGGAGAGGGGGGUCACCCACAUUUUUGGCGUGAUGAGACAUUGGAGUCCUUGUGGUUGUCUAUGGAGGGAUGGCCCAUAUGGGGAUGGGAGAGGGGACUACGAAGGGGGCGGCCCCGACGGGAGGGGCGGAGGAAGUGGCGACGGAGGGGGAGGCCCCGACGGGAGGGGCGGAGGAGGCCCCCAUGGAGGGGGCGAAGGAGGUGGCCCCGGAGGUCGAGAGGACGCCCGGCGUGAUUGAGAGUAAGAGACAUGCUGUUGACGAGACGGAGCAGGUGGUCGGCAAGAGAUUGAGAGUGCCGUCACAGUAUGUUGUUUCCCCCUUCACGACUGAGGCCAAGAGGAGGACGUUCAUCGAUGGGACGUACCCGAACUUAUUCAGAGAGGUGGACAAUGCCAAGUGGAAAGCGUUCGAGACAUAGUGGAGGAGAAUUAUCCCCGGGUAAGUAUUGUAUGAUUUUAAUAAAGCACUGUACGCUAACUCGUCUACGCUUAUUUUAACAUUUCCCUCUUUUUUACAGAGCUAGCCGCACGAUAGGACAAAGGACAGUCUCGGACCCUUACAAGUGGUUCCACGAUAUCACCACUGCGGGAGCUUGGCUCGCUGACGAUGUAAGUAAACUAUUCAUUUCGUGUUUUUUAUGUAUAUGUGACCUUGUGUUUAUUAAAUGAAUAACUCAUACUUUUUCGGUGUUUCCUGCUGCAGCACAUCGACCUGGCCAUGGACUUGCUACGAGAUCGAGCUCAAAGACAUCCAAAAUCAUUUGAUGUCCAUGUACUCGACUAUAUAUUUGUAUGACCCAGAUCAUUCAUGUUUGACACAAGGCCAGUUGGAGCAAAAUCUGGAGUCCGUGGCUGUCAUUGUUCCUAUGAUGGCCAGACGAGCGGGGGGUAAAUGUAUAGGACAGAUUGCGGAUCGUUCGGAACACGACGACAGCACGACAGUCCGUAAGGUAAGUGUUUGAACGUUAUUGUUUUCAUUUUUCAGAUUUAGUUUUUAUUUACACAGUACUAAACUGAUUCAUUCUUGUUCAAUUGCAGCGGCGAAUGCGGCAUAUUUGCCAUUAAGUACGUUGAAUUUUUAAGUAUAUGACAUAAGGUUGAUGAAAUCAACCAGUCGUGGAUACAGAACUGGAGAAAGAAGCUAGCAUGUGAUUUGUUCGAAUUUAAUGCUGACCCAUAAAUUUCAUUUAUAUAUAUGUAACAUUUCAAUUGUAAAUUUAAUUAUUUUUGUAAUUAUGAAAUAAUUGUAAAUUUGUGUUCAAUGUAUAUAACAUUCAAAUUGGAAAUUUAAUUAUUUUUUGUUAUUUUGAAAUAAUUGUAAAUUUGUGUUCAAUGUAUAUAACAUUCAAAUUGGAAAUUUAAUUAUUUUUGGUUAUUUUACCCGUAUGCCGAGUGUGGAACUAUUUUUUGUAUAUUGAAGAUUUAUAAAUAACAAAUAUUGAACUGUGUAAAGUAAAAGGAAAUAUUAUUCAUUUCACGUACCUGUCUAGUCGUCAUUUAGGGGAAUUUGACUGGUACAAAAUUGUCGAGUAUGCCCUAUGGCUUUGCACCGGCCACACCUACGCGGUCGAGGAAACUCUCCGGUAGAUGGUAUUCUAGAUGUACUUGGACGUCCAGGACCACGCGGUUCAACUGCUGGUGGUAACAAAUUAUGAAAUGGGAGAAUGUGCUCGGGAACUUCCCACUCGGCUUCAUUCGGCAGAGGAAAUAUAGUCUCGGCAUAUGCUUUUCUCCAAGACUCAGUCGUAUAAUACAAAGAGCACAACGUUCUCGCAGCAAAGCCUCGAUACAUGGCCACCGUAACUGCAUGCUCACAUGGAAAACUCUCUAACUGAAAUCUCGUAGAAGUGCAUGUAUUAUCAGUCAAGUCCACCAUAUAUGCCGUAUUACGUGCACAUUGCACGAAGAAGCGAAACUCAUCUAGUGCUUCCACAUUCAACUUCUUCGCAACCUCUGCCGCCUUAAACAGUUUCUCCUCUUGAGCUGGGGCCAACACGCUAGUGUAACUCUUUGAUGCCGCACGUCGGUCAUGAAACCACUGUUGUAGCUUGUUACGAAUGUUCUCAAUCAUUACGAGAAUUGGUAACUCUCGAUCCUUCUUAAACAAUGCAUUGAGAGACUCCGCGUUAUUCGACGUCAUCAUGUUGUAUCGACGUCCUGGAAAGUAUGACCGCGUCCAAUGUUCGAUCCCCAUCUUCGUCAGAUACUCCAACGCCGGUAAUGAUUUACUUCCUAUCUCGAGCAUAAACUUAUUACACUCUUCAGCACUGUAAGCUUCGGCUGCUCUCCUGAACAAUGAAACGAUGCCUGUGCCCCGAUACCUAGUCUUCAAAUUACCUUGUAUAUGGUACAUGCAAUACCCGUGAUGUGCCUCGGGAAAAACUUCAGCGAUACCGUUUAUUAUAGACUGUCCUCGAUCGGUUACAAAGGCAAGGUUUUCAACUUCCCCGAUCACUUCCCUCAGUUUAGAAAAGAACCAACGCAUGGACAGAUCAUUCUCGCUGUCGACUAUGCGGAAUGCAAUAGGGUAAAUUUGGAUGUUGGCAUCUUGACAUUUAGAAAUAAUUAAUUUGCCUUGAUAUUUAGCUUUCAGAGUCGUACCAUCAACUAGAAUUACGGGUCGCAUUGCAUUUCAAAAACCCCGAAUACAUUGUCCGAGAGCCAUGAAAAAAUACUUAAAACAAUUAUCACCCCCCGUCUCAAUAAAAAAUGUCGUGCCAGGAUUAGUUGUCCCUAUGUUAUGGCAAUACCUAGCCAAUUUAGCAUAGCUCUCUUUAGCCGAUCCCAUUAAAUCCUCCAACGCAUAUUCUUUGGCCUUCCAUGCUUUCUGAUAGCUCAUGACCACUCCGUACUCUCGACGGACGUCGUUAAUGAUGUUUGAAGGUCUGUAGAUCGUUCGUGGAUCCUGAUACUUGUACAUUAUCUGUCGACCAAUAAACCAUGCUCGAGCUUGCCUGUGAUCGUUUCAAAAAAUUCCCACUUCGCAAGUAUGUUCCCGUAAAUACUUGCGAAUUACGAAGCACUCAUUCGUGUCCAUCUUAGUUGCUCUCAAGCGCCAAUUGCAACUGUCUUCGACGCAAGCAACUGUCAACAAUGACUUGUUUGAUUUCUUUACCUUGAACUCAAAGUUAUAUUUUAAUGCCAGCCGGUGCACAGCUUCCUGCAAAUCUUUCUUGGUUUCAAACAGUUUCUCGACCUGCAAGUCCUCAUCAUUGGGAGCUACACGGGAAGAAUUCGAGGAUGGUCCACUUGUUCCAACCUGUGAGCUCCCACCAAGCUCGUGUCUCUGUCAGGAUAAAGCAAUCAAAUUCUCAUUUGUAAAGUCGUUUAUGUUCUCAUUGUCUUCAACUGUUGACGGAAUUCUGCGCGUAACAGCGACAUCACGAUCAGAAGCAACUGUCUCAGGAAUAUCCACAUCAUCCGCAGGAACUAUCUCCACUGUCUCCCAAAAACCUCGAUCACUGUUAUCCGCCCUAUCCGAAUCUUCGCGUUCACUUUCGAUAACAUCCUUCGUAAUUAAAGUCACACCAAGAACAGUCGGAGUCCGAUGCAUUUUAUUCAAUUCUAAUAGAUAAUUCAAUUCAGCAUCAUUAGUAACGAAUACCGAUGGCAUCGGAAUGGAUAAAUCCCCAUAAUCGUUGAAUAGAUAUCUCAAUUGCAUAUCGCAUUGAGAUUGAUCGACAUUCAGCUUAUUUUGCAAAUCGUGGUACAUUUCUAAGUAUGGUGUACUCUCUGUUACGGGAAUUGCAAUACAACCACGUAUGUCACUCGUCCAUCUCCAUUCCCACCGAUUAUUUUCAUUCAAUUCGAAAUCACCGAAAUAACACACGGGGAUUAUCGUAUCUGCAUGAGGAAAUGGUUUUAAUCAACUUCAAAUAUUAAUUAUAAGAAAGAAAAAGGCAAAAAAUCAGCUGCAGCCAAGGCUGUUUAACAGCCGGCUAUUAGGCUGUUUAACAGCCAACAGCCGGACUGUUUCAGACUGUUUUCACUGUUUGUUAAGUUAAACCAGUUUGCCGUAGGAGAAUACCGUUCUAAAAACGAAAUUAAGCAUGCGUAAUUUAAACGUAAAUUAUACAUCCGUUUAAUUUUUUUUUGAUAGGUUCUGUUAAAAACAAUCUAUGUCGACAUAAAAUUUCUCUAUUUAAACGUAUACUAAUUUACUUAAAACGAAAUUAAAUAUGCGUAAAUGUACUUACCGAUUUGAAAUAAUUGAUGUGAAAAAAAUUUCCAGCUUCAACGUUCCAAAGUUCUUCUAGAUUUUGAGGUUCAAGCAGAUGAAAAGAUGAGAGUUUUUUCUGUGUUGGAAGCUCGUUUUGAAGUUUUUAUAAGUGGAGAAAUGUUUGGUUUUCAAUUAUUAAGUAAAAGUGUAGUAUAGUCCUUUCAAUAAUAUAUUGUUUUGUAAUUGUACAAAAUAUUUAAGGACAUCUUUGUCUUUUACCAUACAAGAGGCCAAUGUCAUAAUAUUCAUGAUUUUGGAAAUCAAACUGAAAUUUUGCUCUUUUGCCUGGGUCAAAAUUAAAAGUACCCCGUCCAAUGCAAUACAAACCAAAAACACGCGUCACUGAAUGAGAAUUCAUUAGAGGUUCAAACAUAUUUAAUUUAUGAAAACUUAUCUCUUGUCCACAGUGGUAGGACAUCAAAUGCCUUGCUAUCGGACAAUAACAAAACAGCACAAUCAUGGCUGCAAAUCAUUGGUUGCACGAGCAAUAGAGACAAAAUGUCUCCUAGUGCCAGGUUACCACCCCAAGAUACAAGUCAACAUUUAUAGUAAUCCAAAUAAAAAUUUCACAAAAUCAUCAUCAUACUCUUUUCAUUUACAUAGCAUACCAAAAAAAUGAUUUGCACAGCAAUGUUCAAAUUAGAAUUUCAUGAAAUCAUCACCACAUCAUGUUUAUUUUCCACUAGCAGAUUAAAAAAAAAAUGACUUGCACAGCCAUGAUUUAGUCCCCCGCCCAUCCCUUUUCCCUUUCAUCCAUUUCUCCCAAUCACUGACUUUGGAAAACACGCCUUUUUAAAAUUUGUUUACUUUUCUUGUAUAAAUUUUGAAAAAAUCAUGGCAGUAGCCCUUACCUAUCCCCACCCAGUACAACAUCAUCAACCCAACACUAUUAACCAAAAAUUUUAAAGAUCCAUAUCUUAAAUCUUAGAAAAACCACAGCAAAAUCAUAUGAUACAAUAAUGACCAAUAGAUACAUAUGGUGAAAAACAUUAAAAUAGUAAAUAUUGUUAGUGAUAGAGAGUUUGGCGACAGCAACAAUGAUGAUGGAUACAGGGUUAAAGGAAAAUAGGAAGGGGAGAGGGAAAAGGUUCUAUGGAAGCUCGCUCCAAGAUUUUCGAAACGAUGAUUUUCGUGCUUAGUUUCACAUUACCUUUCUUUACCAGAUAAUCAAUCCAAAAUUUUUUGACCCACUGUUAAUUACUUGUGGGCUGCCUCACAUGAUUCUUGGCUUCGUGGGCCUCUGCUAUUGGCCAAAUGCUCCACCAGGUUGCUGUGGCUAUUUCAAGUUUGAUAAAAUCGUGUUUUGAUAAAAACACCUCUUCAAGAAUUAAUAUUAGCCGUAUCGUGGCUAAAUCUCUGCCCUCUGAUUGUUUGGAUUAAUACGGAUACUUACACUGGGUCUUGGCCUUUUCAUUUGCUAUUCUAGAGAAUUCUUUUGGGGAAUCUCUUCGUCUUACUCUCUGUCGUUCUCUUUGUCCUUCGUUUUCUGAGUGAAAAUAAGGGUUUGGCCAUGUUAGAUGAAAUCGAUCUUUGUGAUUGAUAAUAUUCUGUUCUUUGUGUAGAGAAAUGGUUAUUUUGUGCAAUCUGUGAAAGUGAUAGCAGUGUUGUGUUGUUGUGUCAAGAGGCAAGAUAAACUCGAAGAAAUUUCCAAUUUCUUCGUACAUUUAUACACUGUUCUUGUUCGUUAUUAGUGGAUCUAGAGCUUAAUCUCGUGAGAAAUGCUCAACGGGUGAUUAGGUUGCAAAAUCGAACAUCCAGGCCCUUUUAAAAGGGCAAAACAUAUCUUGUUUUAAUUUUCUUUAAUUUCUGCAGUUCUUUAAUGGUUUUCUAAAGAUCGAUCCCAAUGUUUUAAGUUUUAAAAUAUAACACCCACAACUAAUAAAUUUACCUCGGUUGCUUCUCAAUCUUACCUACAAAUGAUAAGAUAAUGGUGUUGAAGUUUGCAAGCCACAAAGGCACAAGAAAAAAUGAUGGAAAAAAAAAAGCACAAGAUAGAGGUCAAAGCCACAUAUAUAGUAAUCGAUUUUUCUCUCAAGCAAGUUGUCCGAUUUUUCACAACAAGAGGGCAACCACGGUUUUUUCUCUUCACAUGCAAAUUAUACACUCCACAACGGCUAAGUUAAGCAACAUAUAUAUAGGAAUAGGUUAUUCUUUAGCUGGAACAAUAAAUGGGUUAAAUGGGUCAAGAUCAAGAGUCGUCUAAUAGGUAAAUAUAUGGAUUAUGAGCAACAUUAAUUUCUUAAGCUACUUGCAACGGUCCAUAUUGUUUUCGUGUCUAGCCUUUAAACUUGAUUGUUGGUAAUCAAUUCACCAUAAGUCCAGGCCCGUGAAAAUAUAUUCCGACAUUUUACAUCAUCACUCGGGAUUUAUUGGGUAUCAAAACCCAACAAAAGGGGUUGGGGAGAGAAAAAUGGACGAUUUAGUAAUAUUACUGUGUGCAAUGCAGAUUUCGAUGACGACGAGGGCGAAGGCGAAGUCUAACGAUGGAGGAAGCCCAAAAUGAUCAGAGAGAAUGAAUGAAAGGAAAAAUGUAGCUAGAAAAUAAUGGGAAGGGUGGGUGAGUGGGUUUUUGGGAAGGGUGGGUGAGUGGGUUUUUGUACCAUUGAUGUGGCAACUAAUAUCUUGCACGCUAAGGGAAAGGAUUAGUUCCGUUAUUUUAAAUACAAAGAAAGAAAAAAAAUGGAGGGAGAUGUAGUUUGUUAACGUUCUUUCAAAUUUUCAACAUGGAGAACAAUUCUAAUGGUAUAAAUGUCCCUUUGUAAACAUAUAAGGGACACUUUUAGCCUCUGCUGUCUUCAUUUGAAAUAAAACCUUUUAAUUUUCAUAUUCAUUUUCUACCACACAUUUACAGAAUAAAAUAUUUUUCACGAAAAUCCAAAAAUUGUCUCUAUUUUAUAACCAAACAUUCUUUAAAAAAAUUACUAUUCAAAAUAUCAUUUUUUUCCCUACCAUCAAACAUGGACUUAAAAUAUAAGGGUAUUUCUGAUUUUUUAACAUAUAAUGGGCCUUAAGAACUUAUUUUGAGUAAGCUACACUCCUAAUCACAUUUGAUAGUUUGACAACAUUUUCUAGAAAAUAGCCACAUCAGUUCUAUUUUAUCUGUUCAACAAGUUUGUGGAUGGAAUUUCUGAAGAAGAGUUAGAAUGGAAUUUUCUGGGAGGCUAGUAGUCCUUAUAUAGCACACAUGGAUUACUUACUGUCCUGUUUCGCCAUUUAAUUGGGGACUUCAACGUAAUACGUUGUGUUGGAAAAAUAAUAGAGUGAAGACUUUAAAAACCAAAAACAAACUUACCGACCUUACCAAAAUUGGACAAAAUAUUAGCAAGGAAACAAGGAAAUAAUAACGUCAAAUGAAAUGGAUGUAAAAUCGAGACAAGAGUUGAACUCUUCGUCCUUAAGUCAACUUUGCCCCAUAACGGUGCCUACGAGAUGGCAAUCGAUUCCCAAGAUACAAUAACUAUCCUAUUAUGUUAGAAGCACUCUAAAACACAAGAUCAUUGAACCAAAACCGAAUUUUGUACACCUUUUGAAUGAACAAAAGAAAACCAGAAUUUAUAUAGAAUUUUGGUAAAAAAAAGAAGAAGAGGAAAUAGUGUUAUGCUAUGAUUGCAUAUCAUUAGGAUGAAGAAAUGGAUGUCCCAAGGGUUCUAUUUAUUGAGGGAGAGAGGUUGCGAGUGAAGAGACACGAUCCAAACUCAGCAACCUUUGCCAAGAGUCAUAGCUUUUUCUGUCGCUUGUUUUUCGCUUUUGCCUCACUCAAGUGUCAAAAAUAGUGGGCCCAUUGCUCGCCUGCCAUUGGCCUAUCGCUCGAGCGAUAGCCUCACCGCUUGAGCACCAAGCGAGUGGCAAAGUUGGUCGAACUCCAACCAUUUUUCCUCUCUUUUUUCACUUUGGACUGCAAUUUUUCAUUCAUUCGGAACUGAUUUCGACAUUCCAAAUAUACAACAACAAUCUACUUGAUGAGUAGAACAAGAUAUUCUAUUUGUAUUAGUAAUUUAACUAUCGAAUCAAGUCCGAAUAUUUGGUGGAAAUUGACACGAAAGUCACUUUUUCCAUUUUUAUACUUAACCAAUUUCAACAACUUCCCACAUGAACGAAAAUUCACAAUAUUCAAUGCACAAUGCAAAUGAUAUGCAUACUCUAACAAAAGGAGUACAUAUGACAAGUUAUUACAUCAACAUAGGUGGCUUAUGGCUUGAACCUUCCUUAGUUGUGCAUAAUUGAAUUUACUAAGCUAAUUGUUGAAUUUGACAUCUUGAACCAUUUAGCUAUUCGUGUAAAUCAAAAUAACUGUACCAAUACCAUAACUUAUCUUACCAGUUCAAUUCUCAUGGUUGUGUUUAUUUUCGCCCUAAACAACUCUUGUUUCAUAAGUGUUUUAGGAGAAUUUAAGCCUUAAAUUAGUUAGAAGCAGUCCCACUUCACACUUAUAUAGGUGAUCUUCUACCUUUCUGCCAAGGUAUAGGAAUCAUUAAUGUAUACACUUAUCCUUAUACAAAGUUUUACUCUAGCACAUAAGGUUUGUAGGAAUGGGAGUAAGUACUUUACUCUGAAUCUUUUAUAAUUUAGUUGUCCCAUUGAACCAAGAUCUUGAGAUCACCAAUGGAAUUUCGUUAUGGUGAUUCUAUUUGAUAGGCUAUAGGUUCAUACCUCCUCGAAAGAUGGUAUACUUGAUCUCUUGUAAGUCCUUUUGUCAAAGGAUCCACUACGUUGUCUUUUGGUUCAACAUAAUGGAUCGAGAUUAUACCAUUUGAUAUCAACUAUUUAAUGGUGUUAUAUCUCCAACAUAUAUGUCAAGAUUUACUAUUAUACAUACUAUUUUAUACCCUUGCAAUUGCCAAUUGAUUAUCACAAUGGAUAUUAAUCGCAGGUACGAACUUAUCCCAACAUGGAAUAUCUUUGAGAAAAUUAUGAGGUCAUUCCGCUUCUUCUCCUGUUUUAUCCAAAGCAAUAAACUCAUUUUCUAUUGUGGAUCGACCUAUAAAAGUUUUGCUUAGAUGAUUUUCAGGACACAUCUCCACCUCCAAAAUAGACUUUGGAAUCUUUUGCGUCAAAUAUCUAAUUUGCAUCGGUAUAUCCUUUUAGUACAACAGGAUAUCUUGAGUAGUGUAAUCCAUACCCAACCGUGUGUCUUAAGUAUUUAAGUACUCGGGUCAAUAGCUUCCAAUGAUCAAUACUUGGAUUACUUGUAAACAUACUUAACUUGUUGACUACAUAUGCUAUAUCUGGACGUGUGCAGUUGGUAAUGUACAUCAAAUUGCCUAUAACACACGAAUAUUCCAAUUGAGAUACGGGAUCACUCGUGUGUUUUGGCUUAAGUGUAAACUAAAGUCUACCAGUGUCUUAACCGGUUUAUCAUCAUACGCCUUAAAUUUCUUAAAUAUAGCCUCAAUAUAGUGUGAUUGAGACAAUGAUAAACCAUCAAGUGUCUUAGAGAUCUUAAUCCCUAAUAUUAUGUCUACAGUUCCCAUAUCUUUCACGUCAAAAUGUUUUAUCAACAUUUUUUUAGUUUAGAAAAUAUUGUUCGCGCUAUUUCCCAUGAUUAACAUAUCAUCAACAGGCAUACAAUCACGUAUUUGUUAGGUGUGUUUUUGAUGUAGACACACUUGUCUCAUUCAUUGAUUUUGAAGCCAUUUGGUAACAUAAUUUUGUCAAACUUUUCAUCCCAUUGCUUCGAUGCUUGUUUUAAACUAUAUGACGAUUUCACAAGCUUAAACACCUUCUUCUCAUUUUUCGAAGCAACAAAUCCUUCAGAUUGUCCAUAUAUAUUUCUUUUUUUAAUUCACCAUUUAGGCAUGUAAUUUUAACAUCCAUUUGAUGUAUUUCAAGAUUAUGCAAUGCCACGAUUGCAACCAAUACACAUAUAGAAGUGAUCUUAGUAACAGGUGAAUAGGUAACGAAGAAAUCUAGUCAUUCCUUUUGUCUAUACCUUUUAGCUGCUAAUCUAGAUUUAUAUUUGUCUAUUGAUCCAUACGAUUUCAAUUUUCUUCUGAAGAUCCACUUGCAACCUAAAGCUUUGCUUUCCGGAGGGAGUUCAACCAAUUCCCAAGUAUGUUUAUUCAUGAUGGAUUCAAUUUCAUUAUUAACCGCUUCUUUCCAAAAAAGAGCUUUAGGAGAGGAAAUUGUUUCAUCAAAUGUCAUUGGAUCAUUUUGUAGCAGAUGUGUUAGAAAUUUUGGACCAAAUGUCUUAUGAAUCAUUUGUCGUUUACUGGGCCUUGGUUCUUCAUCUUCUUGAUUAUUAUCACCUUCUAGAUGGUUUCUGCUUGUACCAUUAUAAAUUCAUUUGUGUGAAUUUAUUUCUUUUCCUUACACGAAAAAAUAUCUUCAAAGAAAGCAAUAUUCCUUGAUUCAAUGAUCGUUCCUUCAUGUACAUCAAGUAUUUUCGAUCUAUGAACCAAAAAUCAAUAUGUAUUACUAUUAUUUGCAUAUUCACUAAAGAUACAAUCUAUUUUCUUUGAUCCAAUCUUUACUUGUUUAUGUUUAUGUAUUUGUACCUUUGCUAAAUUUUCCCACACUUUAAGUAGUUGUAGGAAGGUUUUCGACCUUUCCAUAACUUAUAAGUUAAUUCAAUCUUACUUUUGUAUGAUAGUUUAUUAAGGAUAUAAUUUGUAGAAAGAAUUGCCUCUCCCUCAUAAGUUUUAAGGUAAGCUUGAACUAAUGAACAAUGCAUUCAUCAUUUCCUUAAUGGUUCAUCUUUUGUGUUCAGUAACCCCAUUUAACUGAGGUGAGUAUGGUGUUAUAGUUUGAUGAAUAAUUCCAAAUUCUAAACAAAAUUCUUCAAAUGGAGUGGUAUAUUCUCCAUCUCGAUCAAUACAAAUAAUUUUUAUUCGUUUUCCAAGUUGAUUUUUAACUUCAAUUUUAUAGUGCUUAAACAUUUCUAAAGCUUCAUCUUUACUUUUCAACAAAUAUACAUAGCAGUAUCUUGUACAAUCAUUUAUGAAUGUGAUGAGACCUUUUACCACCUCUCGUUUGUACAAACUUUAAAUCACAUAUAUCAAUGUAAAUAAGUUCUAAAGGUGUUGUGCUUCGUUAACUGAGUAAAACGGUGUUUUGGCUAACUUAAGCUCUACACAUAUUUCGCUUUUCCCAUUAUUAAAAUGUAUACUAGGUAAUAAACUUAAAUUCGUUAACUUGCGUAUAAAAUUGAAGUUUACAUGUCCUAAUCUAUGAUGCUAUAAAUUAGACAACUCAAGAAUAUAGGCAAAAGAAGAUAUUUUAUUCCUUGGGUUAUUUAGUAUAAUAGUAAGGGCAUUCAUCUUGAAUAGUCCAUCUUUUACAUAGCCUUUGCCUACACACAUAUUAUUUUUUGUAAAUAUACUUAUCAUAUACAAAGACCAGCUUAAAGCCAUUCUUGCUUAAUAGAGAACUUGAUACUGAAUUCUUGCGAAUAUCCGGCACAUGAAGAACAUUGUUGAGGUUAAAUUCCUUGACUGAUGUCAUCUUUAAGAUUACUUUGCCUUGUCCUUCUACUUUUGAACUUGAUGGAUUUUUCUUUGACAACUUCUCACCCUCGGCUGGAGUAUAGAAAGAGAACAUUCAUUUAUCGGCACAUAUGUGAUGGGUAGCUCCCUAUCCACCCACUACUCCAUGGGAUUUUUAACAUUGUUGCAUUAUGAAAUAAUGGCUGACAAAUUAUAUUUGAUAUACCAUCAGAUAUAGCAUCAGAUUCAGUGAUAUUUUUCUUGGUUCGCUUCUUAGGUUUGCAACAAUCGAUAGAGCGAGUUCGGCCUUUCCAUAGUUAUAGCAACUGUCCUUGAAUUUCUUUGCAUUCUUUUCAGAAGUUUCUAUGGAAUGUUUUCUUUCCUUGCUCUUGUUAUUUGACUCCACCCCAUUGGCCUUAGGCAUAUGGCAUCCAACACAUUUGUUCGGAGUUCUAUUAUCUUCUUCAAUUCUCAAUUGAAUGAUGAGAUCUCAUUUAUUCAUCUCAUUGCGCUUGUGUUUGAGAUAAUUCUUGAGGUCCUUUCAUAUGGAUAAAAGUUUCUUGAUAAUUAUAGUCACUUGAAAUUAUUUAUUUAGAGACAUAUUCUCUACGUGAAUGUUUUUGAGAAUCCCAAGUAAUUCUUGUACUUGACUGAUGACCGUCUUUGAAUCUACCAUUUUGUAGUCCAAAAAUUUAUCCAUGUUGAACUUUUCGCUUCAACGUCUUCAGUUUUGUAUUUCUUUUCUAAAGAUUUCCAUAGUUCUUUGGCAGAUUUCUUGGAGCUGUAUGUGUUAUAUAGCGCAUUAUCCAACCCAUUCAAUAUGUAGCUCUCACAUAAGAAAUUUGAAUGUUUUCAAGCAUCCAAUGCUAUUAGUGUGCCCUGUUAUUUUCCCUUCUUGCACAACGGGAUCAUCUUCAUUUUAGAAUAUUGCCAGGUUUAAGUCGUGAGAUAGAACAACAGUUUCUGCUGCCAUCACUUAAACUCAACUCCAAUAAAUUUAUCCGAUUUCUCUCCAUGUGGAAUGGAGUUUGUAUGAAUGGUGGGAGGGGCAACCGCAACACAAGGGAUCGUACCGGUAGGAACAAUUCCUUUUGAAGUUCCCAUAUUCAAUGUAUCAUUGGAAGUAGAAUUGGUAUUGAAAACCGUAUUCAUUUUUGUUUAAAUAAAGUAGAAGAUUAACCACAAAUCAAAUCCUAGAUGGAUAGAAUAUCUUAAAUCGAAGUGAAAUCAGCUUAACCGAGUAGGAUAAAGUAAUCACUCUAAAAAUUGACUAAAGAUGUUUGGAAAAAUAAUAGAGAGAUGACUUCAAAAACUGAAAACAAACUUACUUACCUUACCAAAAUUGAAUAGAAUACUGGCAAGGGAAGAAGGAAAAAAUAACGCCAGAUGAAAUAGAUGUAAAGUCGAGGCAAAAGUUGAACUCUUUAUCCUUAAGUCAAUUUUGUCCCACAAUUGUGCCUAGGAUGAUGGAAAUCAGCUCUCAAGAUACAACGACUAUCCUCUUGUGUUAGUAGCACUCCAAAACACAAGAUCAACGAACCAAAAUCGGAUUUUGUACUCCUUUUUGAAUGAAUAAAAGAAAACCAGAAUUUAUGCUGAAUUUUGGUAGAGAAAGAGGAAAUUAAUGUUAUGCUAUGAUUGCAUAUCGUCAGGAUGAAGAAAUGGACGUCCCUAAGGUCCUGCUUAUAAAGGGGAGAGGUUGUAAGUGAAGAGACUCAACCCAAACUCAGCAACCUUUGCUAUGAGUUGCGGCUUUUGCUGUCGCUCGCUAAUUACCUUUGCCUAUCUCGAGCGUUAAAAAUAGUGAGGAGGUCGUUUGCCUGUUGCUAGCUUGUCACUCUAGCGAUAGCCUCACAGUCACUGCUCGAGCGCCAAGCUAUCACUAGGCGAGCGGUGGAGUUGGUUGAAUUCUAGCCAAUUGUUUCUCUCUUUCUUUCCAACUUUGGAUUGGAAUUUCUCAUUCAUCCCAAAUUGGUUUUGAGAUUUCAAAUAUACCAUGACGAUUUACUCUACAAGUAGAAUAAGUUAGUCUAUUUACAUUAAUAAUUUGACUAUCCGAUCAAGUCUAAAUAUCUGGCCGAAAUUGACACGAAAGUCACUUUUUCAUGUUUAUACUUAACCAAUUCCAAAACAAUGGUCAUUGGUUUCAUUUCACAUCCAAGUUUCCAACAUAAACUGAAAUUCUGUCAAGUUAAUUGCGUUACACUCUUCACUAUGUAUCAGAAAUCACAGCUAACUUGAUUGUCAAAGUGAAACAUUUUUUCAACUUGUGACACAAACUAAUGCUUGCAGCUUGCAUUUGAGAAAAUGUUUCUUAGCCAUAUUAUUGCUUCCAUCAAAAAAAAUAUUAGUUUGUUUGGUGUGACUCCAAAUGAAACUCAUAUCUAAUGGAUUGAAAAGAGAAGAAUGCUAUAACUUAGCAAGAUAGCAUAAAAAAGAUUAGCUAACAGAAGAUGCUAUUUAUGAAGCAUAACUCAGUGAAGGCUAAGGCAGAAAUAUAAAAAAGAAGCAAGCUAUACUAGAUAAUUUGCACUAGACUUCUACGAUAUUUGGAGCUUCGGGAUAUGGGAAAUAUGAUCCAAUAUUGGUCUUCAGUUUCCUUCUUGUAUUUCUGCUGCAUGAUUGGACAAUUCUGGAUACCCAACUUCCUUAUUGGUGUCAUUUUAAAGAGAGGAUCCGGUAGUGCCUUCAGAUUGCUGCAAUUGUAAAGUUUCAAAAAGUGGAGUUUAGGCAUGACCUUGAUGUCUGCAGUUCUGAUCAUGUUCCAUUCUUCCCAACUUCCCAUGUCUGAAAUUUUCAGUUUCUUCAACUUUGGGAAUGCAAUAUAUUCUUCUGAUGAUAAUGCCAAUGAUCUGUCUUUGCUGUCUGCUGUGAUUUGAUCGUUCACAUUGUCUGUUGCACCCAAAAAUUCGAGCCCAGGAGAUUUAAUGCAGACCAUCUAUGUGGAGAGUUACCAGGGACGGAAGCCUUGCAAGAGGAGACAAAAUUGUGCAAUUUUGGCACUCUUGAAGCGAAAGAUCUUUCAGAUUGGUUAAACUUACCAUCCAAUUUGGGAAUCGAGUGCCUUCAUAUGAACUUACUACUAAAGAUUGCAACCCGGGAUGCAACUGAAGAGCUUAAAUCACUUCGUCUUGGUUGCUUGCUUGAGCCUUAGAGUUGAAGUCGAGGUGCAAGUCAGAAAUAUGUUUCUUUUCACUCAACUCUGCUAUCCGGGCCUCAUUAGCAUUUGUCACGCAACUCAAUCCUUCAAUUUUAAGACAUCCUCGGAGAUUCUUCAUUAUUUCAAAUCCUCUAGUCCACAUGUCGCUGCUUCACCACCAAUACCACGAACACUGACCAAUUUGCUCAAAGUCUGAAGUGAGCUCAAGUUGCCAAUCCCUUUUGGUAAUGUCUUAAGACUAUCAGUGCAAUUUAUCUAAAGGUACCUCAAAUUUACUAAUUUUCCCAUUUCUUGAGGCAACUUUCUGAGAUUGUCACAGGCAGAAAGGUUCAAGGUUUGUAAUUUUGGAAGUUCACGCAACCUGUUACGACUUAAAUCUAACGCCUUGAGACAUGCCAAGCGAUUGCAUAAAUCUGGCUCAAUCUUGUCCAAUUCACUUAUAAUUGGAGGCGUAUCAAAGAAAGAUUGAACCCAAAACUGUUGGGCGCGAAAGCUCCAAUAACACACGUUGAUUCCAAACUGGAUUGUAGAGAACGAAAUUUUAAAGACAAUAUUGAAGUAAACAAGAUCACACGACGAAACAAGGUUUAAAUUGUAAAGAAGAACAAAUGAAUUAACACAGAGGAACGAUGUUUAUUGAAUCAAUAAUAUGGAGAAUACAAAGCAUUCUUGCGAUUGGCUUCUAUCUGUUACCUCUAAUAAAACUGACAAAGAAGCCUUGUAUUUAUAGGUCAACCCUAAAAGAGUCCUAAAAGAAAGAAAAUAUAUUACAAUUAGGAGGCCCAAUUUCUAAAGGAUUUUGUUUCCUUUUGUUGGAUGCCAUUAGAUUCUCUUUCCAAGCAAAAGUCUAACACGCAUCUUCAAAAGACUCCUAACCAAUUUUCAGGAUUUCACUUAAUCAAAUUCUAAAUCAACAAUAAUCCUAACACAUUUGAGUUACCAAACCUAACAAAAACGAAUGUAGUUUUCCUGCAUUAGCAAUGGAAGUAGGAAAGCGGACGUCUUUUGCACGUACCAGGGUCAAAUGACGAGUCGUUUUAUAAGACGAUCCCAAAUUUACUGCAAACUCCCCAUCAACCUCCACCACAGAACAUUCUCUCUUCGUAAGAUAUUGCGCAAAAUCAUGAACCAUGCCGUGCAUCUUAAAUUUUAGAAUCCUUUUACAGUCCUUGUCCUUUUCUAUGUCUUGGAAGAAAGACCCCAUAGCCAAAUUUUGCAAGUAUUCCUCACCUAAUACUUCCAUUUCUACAUUUUUCACAGGGCAGAGAUAGCCUUGCGCCAUCCAGAGUUUGAUCAAAUUGUUUGCAUUGAUGACGUGAUCUCUUGGAAAAAAAGCACAAAAAGAAAAGCACCUUUUCAAAAGCACAAAAAGAAAAGCACCUUUUCAUUGUCUAGGGAAAAUCGAAGUCGCUCAACAUCGAAGGACGAAAGAGAACUUUCUCUGCUCCUUCAAAUUCCCAGAAUUCACUAUUCAGAACAUUCUGCCAAUCUUGUAAAGAAUUCUUGAACCGCAUAUGAGUGCCAAUAGUCUUUACAUUAAGAGGUAUGCCCCGGCACUUGUCAGCUAUUUUCCUACCAAUUCCUUCCAAUCCUUCGCAAUCCUCUUUACUUCUUUCGAAAAACGCUGUUUGACUGAAUAGCAACCAACUGUCCUCGUCUGUCAACUGCUCCAAAUGAAGCACGUGGCUACUUCUCAACAUUUUUGCGAUUCUCUCAUUUCUCGUCGUCACUAGAAUUUUACUUCCAGCUGCACCAAAUUUGAGAGAGUUGAACAAUUGUUCCCAUUUCCUGUAGUCAUAUGUCCACACAUCAUCCAGCACAAGCAGGAACUUCUUUCCUGAAAUAGCAUUCCUAAGACGGCGCAAUAGAGUUUCAAGUUCACAUAAAUGCGGAGCAUUACCUUCAAGGUCUUCAACAAUUGCCUUUGCAACUCGAACUUCAUCAAAAGGCUCAGAAACACAUACCCACAUUCUUAUCUCAAAAUCUUGCUCUACAGAAGCACAAUUGUAGACCAUUUGUGCUAUAGUUGUUUUACCAAUUCCUUCCAUGCCGAUUACAGAAACAACAUGGAAUCCAUGACUUUGGCUACUCUCAGACAACAACUUGCUUACAAGAGUGUUCUUAUCCACAUCUCGACCUCGUACUUCAGAUACAUCAAUGUAAGAGUUAGUUUUUAGCCUCCCAGUAUCACCACUCUCCAUUGACGUAUUAAAACUGUACCUAUCUUUCUCGGUGGCAAUAAUAUCGAGUCUUUCAUUAAUGUCCUUAAUCUUGAGGGCUAUGUCACGACGUAGGACAACUCGUCUAUAUCCAAGGCAAGGUAAAGAGAUAAAAGAACAUACCUUUUUCUUGGAAAGGGAUGAAUCUUCAACACCUUCAGUUUUCAACUUGCGGAUUGCAGUUAGCCAUUCAGACAACACACCGUUGAUGUCAUAUGCUAUGUCUUUGAGCCUUUCUAACCACAAUUUGACUGAUUCAUCCUUCACUUUUCUCUUUUCAGCAUCAACAAGCACAGAUCGGAUGGAUUCCAAUACGCUGGUGAGUUUUUCGAUAUCCUUUGUGACCCCCACAACUAAUCUCACCUUCUGUCGGAUCUUUUCUCUCGUGAUUUCAGCCAAUUGUGUUAAGAUUACAGUUAUAAUUGCUUCAGCCAUGGUUGAAGAUGACAACAGAUUGAAUAAAAAGCAAGUGAAAUUGACUCGGGAGACUAGACAAACAGGUAUGGAUUUCUUUUCACUUAAAUGAAAACUGAGACAUGAGAGAUUUGUUUUUUGGUGCUAAAAAUUCAACCAUUGAUUUUCCAGGUAAGAGAUUGGAAAUUUCCAUGUGCGUGCCAAAGGAAGACUAAGAAGUAGGAAGACUCCCAUUAUCGCGUUUUGUUUGGUUGCUUCAAGUGAUUGAUGUAUAAUUUACAAGAUUUGAGCUUUUCCGGUACUUUUAGCCCCUGUUUGAUUCCCAUUACUUGGUAAUGAAAAUGAGCAGAAUAGUAUUUUUUUGAAAAAUAAGUGGUUGAAAAAGAGAGAAAUUUUUUUGAUUUACGUGUAAUAUUAUUUUAUGGAAGAUUGUAUGGUUGAAAAUAGGAGAGAGAAAAAUAGAAUGUAAUGUAAUGUAAUGUAAUGGGGGCCAAACGGGGGCAAAUUGUCAUAUUCAAACGUGUUACUGCACAACCAAACCUUGAAGUAUAAUGUGAAAUCAUAGAUAGACGAGUAAAAAGUUUCAACAAUCACUGAACUUAGUAUAAUAAUGUCACGUUGUGGUCACUGAACUUCCGUUUGCUGCUCAACGGUCACUGAACUUACAAACACACCACUCCAUCCAUCACUCACCUCAAAGCCAUUUGAAAUUGUGUGAUCUGGCCCUGACGGAAUUCCAUGUGGCAUUCAACGGCGUCAAAAGUGAUACACGAUGGACAUGUUUAAGAUUACACGACCCUAACCCAUUCAAAAUUGAAAACCAAUUUCCCUAAUUCACUCUCCCAUGAACCCUAAUUCAAUCUCCCCCAAUUCAAAAUCCUGGAUCGAACAUAGAGUCACUUGCCAGAAGUUCUUCGCCUUCCAAUGUACACCAUCCCCAGCUGCAGAUGAUUAUCAACCAAUAAAAUCUGAACCCACGUCCCGUUACCUAAAUGUUGAAAACUCGAAGAAGGAAACCAGAGGAGCCCAACCAACUGCGAACGGUGAAGGUAAUCUCUUAAAUUCUUAUUUACUGGUAUGAAGAAUAUGUAAUUGACACUGUUGAAUGACCGAAUUUUUGUUCAAAUUUGCUGACUGCACAAAAUCAAAGAGAGUUGUAAGAUUUUCCUUCGUUCAAAUUGUUUCAAUAAUUUCUCAUUGAAAGCACUUUGAAUUUUCAAUUUUGAACUUGGGUUCAUCACUUUGAAUUUUCAAUUUUAAACCUGGGUUCAUCCUGUGAGCAUUUUUGAAAUUGGACAUUGUUUAAUUUUGUUUCAGGAGGCAUCCCGUAAGCAUUAAUUCUUGUUACAGAAUGCUCAAAAUGAUAUGGUGGUCAUUGUUUAAUUUUGUUGGAGGAGGCUGAAAAUGAACUGAUGGUCGUAGUUGUGAUAGGAAAUUAUUGAAUUAGCGUUGCGGAUGAUAUUAGUUUGAUGAUUAUCAGCAUUAUUAGUAAAAGUAUUAUGGUUACAAAAUUAAAAUGUCUUGUUAAAUUGUGUUCUUGAAUGGUGAGAAAUUUUUAUGCAGAUUAGGAUAUUAUGUGGUGUCGAACAUGAUGAUUCGAAGAGGCUGGUUUUUGUAUCAAAAUCAAUAAAAGAUGUGGUAAGAUUUUGUAGUCCUAAAGAUUUUGAUUUUAAUCAUUUUUUCUUCCCCCUCCCCCUCGCCCUCCCCUUGGGGAUUUACUUGAGUAUAAAUAUUAAUUUGGAUUCUUUUUUUAAUAGACUCUGAUUGCAAAGCAGUGGCAAUUUGCAUAGAGGAAAACUAUUGGGUUCCAGAAUGUGGAGGAUUUGGGUGAGUUCAAUGACAUUGAGGCAUGGACGAAGCAACAAAGAGUUUCCAAACUUAGCUUAUAAAAGAAAUCUACCAAGUGAUCACAUUACGUUGUAUUAAGCUUCAUGUUGCAUUUCAAUUCCAAGUAAUCAGGCAAAAACAAGGGAUAUGGAAUCAAGGAAGCUUAUGAAAGAUAUAUGCAGGCACUGUGGGGAGAAGUUGUUGGGGUCUCGUAUUGAGGCACGAACAAUAUACUGUCCAAUGUGUGGUGCUACUACAAUACUUCAAAUACCACAGCAGCUGGUCACUCUUCCCGCACAUGGACGGGCGUUACCUACAAGGGACAUCGAUACUGAUGAAGAUCGUGAAAAAGGGUGUUAAUGUUUUUGUGGAUAAGGGUGUUGAUAACUUUGUAGUGUCAAAGUAAUGUAAAUGUAUUUUUUAUGGUGUUUUCAGAUGUCAAACAACUGAAGUUUUUCGGCGAACACUCACUUUGAAUGCUGAUUUGUUUUUUCCAUUGACUAAGUUCCUUUUUUGUGGCUUCUGUUUUGAUUUUGUUGUGCUUGCAAAGACUUGUUUGAUUUGAGAUUGAACAUAAUUAUGUGAAGUUGUGCAUGAACGUCUCCUUGAUGAAAUCUUAAUUGAAGUUGAACGAGUUUCUGUUGUAUUUGUAUAGCAAAGAAAUCUCAUUCCAUAACAUCCAUUAAUAAUAAUAAAAUGUUGUGCUGGAGUCCUGCACCGUCUUUAACUUGUAAUCUCUUAUUGUCCUGCCAUAUCAGGCUCAAGAAAAAGCAACUGAAAGAGUUAGGGCUGGCCUCAUUACAAAAAAUUAAGAUAACUAAAGGCGAAAGAAGUGUAGACGAAAACACAAGAAGAACAAGAAUUGGAGGAAAUUCAUCUUCUCGAAAACACAAAAAUAAAUAUAUAACAUCAUUAGAAACAAUUCCACUAUGUGCACAAAUGGACGACACAAUCUUUCCUUUCAAAGACACCAUAAGAUCAUUAGAAACAUUUCAACAUAUAUAAAAGCUUCAUUACAAGCAAAGUGGACUAAAACAAAUGGCAAUCAACAUACAACAAGCUUGCAUGCUUGAUCUAUUUCUAGCGUCUCGAGCUGCUAGUCUUCCGUUAGAUCCACACUUACACCUUCACCUUCGGCAGUUAGAGUAAAAGCUUUGAUGUUAUCCAUGUUGUUAGUCAAUAGUUGUCUACCGUAACUUCCAUAUUCCAACACCAACUCCCUAUCCGAAGGAUCCAUCUGAAAAAAAAACAGAACAUGAGUUUUCAAGUACGUUAAUCAAUCUGUAUACCAAGUAUCUUACAGCUAACAAUAGUAUUAUGGAGGAAUUUUCAUGAUAGCCUAUAAUGUACACAAUUAACCCACAUAGCUUUCUUCCACCUCAGAAUUGAAGUUGAGCUAAGAAAAGAUACCCACUUCUCAUUAGUCAUUACACAGCACAAAUGCAAACACAUUUCUCAACUUUAAUUGUAUAAAAUACAUCAACUUCGUCUUUCUUAUUUGAUAUCUUGAAAAUAUCAUCAAAUUUUGUAAUAACAUGUUCAUAAUCCCCAUCAACUUUAACACCCCCAUCAUUUCAAUCAAAUUAAAUUCCAAUACUAAAUGCAGAAUUAUGGGGAAAAAAAUUAUUGACAGCCACGAUUACAUUAGUACUAAACAAAUAUGAUAGUUAACCUAGCUAGAAUUAUGAAUUUUUCAAUGCAGUAAAUUACAUUCAAAACAUGGGUUGGAGGUUGCCCUAAAUCUCAUUCAAAAGUUAAUGUAUUACACAAAGCUGUUACUGGAUUUCGUUGCUUGAGCAGCAAAAAAAAAAAAUUUCAUGCUGCUUUUGGAUUUUUGUACAUUUCUGAAAUGUAAAGGAAGAUCGAAAAACAAUAAAUACAUUAGGGCUACAAACUAAGAAAUUGUUCAUUCUCAAACCAGGUAUGAAACCAUUAUUACCUUUUGAAAACCUUCACCUACCGUCAGUUUGGUGUUGCUAUGAGGGUGAAGAUGAAGAAACGACCUGCGCCGGUGUUGCUGUGAAGGCAAAAAAGAUCUGCCAAUUUUGCCAGAUGUUAAAGAAUCGAUUUGGGGGAGGAUUUAGAAGAAAAUCAAUCUAGGGCUGGGUGUUCAAAUUAGGGAUGAGAGAUCGUGGAUUGGGAAAUGGUGAAGGAUCAUGUUUUGGUUGUGAAAUUGUGUCCACCGUGGUCGAGUUUGACGCUGUCGACAGCCACUUCACCUGCCGUCAAGCCACGUGAGAUGGGUUCAAAUGGCUGGGGCAGUGGGUGAUGGAUGGAGUGGUGUGUUUGUAAGUUCAGUGACCAUUGAGCAGCAAACGGAAGUUCAGUGACCACAACAUGACAUUAUACUAAGUUUAGUGAUUGUUGAAACUUUUUACUCUAGAUAGACAGAGAUAGUAAAAGAAUAAUGCUACUUUGCCAUAAAAUAAGUGACAAAUAUAAUGACAUAAUAGGUGUUAACAUCUAUCUAAUUAUUCAUUUAUACGAUCUAUUUGAAAUUCAAGUCUAGGAAGUGCAAACGAUCAUCCUGAUCCACAAAAACAGGUUGCUACACCUAUACUCGACCAAUUUUACCUCCUAUUUCUAUGGACCAAUUUUACCUCCUAAUUAUCUAGGACUUCCUCUGUUCAACAAAUUUUACCUCCUAUUUCUAUGGACCAAUUUUACCUCCUAAUUAUCUAGGACUUCCUCUGUUCAACAAAUUUUACCUCCUAUUUCUAUGGACCAAUUUUACCUCCUAAUUAUCUAGGACUUCCUCUGUUCAACAAAUUUUACCUCCUAUUUCUAUGGACCAACCUAUGGACCCUUUACCACAAGCUAUUUUGAAUAGCAAGAUAAAUAAGGGAGGUGAAGAAAUCUUGGUUCACUGGCAAAAUCUUUCUCCAGCAGAUGCUAUGUAGGAAGACGUGGAAUUUUCUAAGCCUCGAUCUCCUUAUUUCAUCCUUGAUGACAAGGAUGUUUUUAUGGAGGAUGGAGUUGUUAGAAGCAAAAUUGGCAAGACAGCACAUUCAUAGGGAUUGCAACAUGGACGUAUGGCAAGGUACCAAGUAUACAAGGAUUGCAAGGCUGAGGUGGAUUGCAAUCCUGGUUUCCAGUUAAGGCUUAUCAAAUAAAGAUUUAAAUAAUAAUGGAAGAACUUAUUUUGCGCAUCAAUUAUGUAAUUCCUUCCUUUAAUAAUUGUAAACCAUACGGCUAUUUAAAGUCAAGACUAUUAUCAAUAAAAUCAUCAAAAGAAGUAUUUUCAUCUCAACCUUGUGUUGAAUUAAGGAGGACCAAGGCACCUUGAAUUGCCUAAACAAGGAGGAUAGGAUCCCUCGAAGUAUCCAAGAUAUUUCAUAUUACUAUUCAAGAUUAGGAAGUUUGCGGAGAACUGAUUCGGGAUCCUUUCCAGUCAACAAGUAUCAAAUUAAAUAUGUUAUUAAGCGACAGAACAUUUAACAACUAUCUGAUUAUUCAUAUAUACAAUCUAUUUGAAAUUCAAGUUUAGGAAGUCUAGACGAUCAUCCUGCUCUGUAGAACAUAGCACCAUAAGAUCAGACGUACCUGCAACUUGCACCAUGAGAUCAGAUGCACCCGCUUUUCGUCCGACAUUCAGUGCACCACCCUCCGAACAGUACUUUUCACCAAAGCAGGCUCCUUCACGCAGGCGAGACCCCUCUCCAACGAGCGAGCCAGACAUCGCAGACUACUAUGAUCCGGAAGUGUUUCAGACCAGACGCAUGACCCGAUCGAUGUCUAUGUACUACCACCCGAAAAUUUACCCUCGGGAAUACCCUUGAGUACAUUUCAUUAGUUUUUGUUCGUGUCUUGUUUAUUGUGAUUGCAUUUUAUCUUCAGAUAUUUGUUACAAUUUACAUUUGCUGGAGGUCAGGUCUAUACCCCCCUCCUAUAUUUGUUUUCCCGCUUUUCAUUAUAUAAAAUAAACCACACUAGUGGUAUUUGCUUAAAAAAAAAAAAUCCUGCUCCGUAAGAAAAGGUUGCUAUACAUGCACUCAACAACAGAGAAAGUCUAGGACUUCAAGCUUGCCAAUACCUUCUCUUAAACAAUAAUUUCAUUAUUUGAAAACAGAUUCUUUGAGACCAAGGCCUCGAGAUCCUCGAUUGAAUGCUUUAUAUUUAUUUUUUGAAAGUAUUUCUUGUGUAUUUCCCUAUGCUUCUGAACAUUUCUUGUAUGCUGGAAUCAACUUGUCAACCAUGGACGCACGAAGUUUAUUCAGGAGCUCUAAAUCAUGUACUAUCCAAUUUUGUGUGAAGUGUAUGAAUCUCUUCAAACAUGGAAUUAAUGGCCUUCAAUCUUUUUCUCAAUGCACGUUUUGACACCUGAGUAGAAAAGCACCAAGUAAAUAAAGUCCCUCUUCUCGACAACAAGACAAGAACUUGUCACAAGUUGAAACCUGAUAGCUGGUCAUUGCUUGCUUAACAUUCCUAUUCAGUUUCUCCAUAUAAUCAUCACCAAUAAUCUCGCGUAGCUCCUUAGAUUCUUCGAUCUUUUCUAAAAUGUAAUGAGCAUUGUUCAUCAUGAACAAAUGCCUUAAAGGGACAUGAUUGAGCUUCUUCGACUUCCCCUUCAAAUUCACUUGAACAACACAAUGAUCAAAAUCAAAUGAAGAGCCAAAUGACUUCUGCCUUUAAGAUCCCCCAAUUCUCCUUCUGGAAUCAGUUGAUCCCCAAAUUUCAAUGGUGGCACUAAUAUAAUCAAGCUGGUGAGGAGCUACUUCUUGCAUACAAUGAGAGAGAUAUAAUUCAUCACACAGUUCGUCAAAGGAUGAAUGGCACCCCUAUCAUCUUGUAUCGUUGAAAGCUCAUGAAAAACAGCUUUCUCAAAAUCCAAUAACAUCCUUCUUAUAUUAUUCUCAGGUUGAGACACUUUCACCUUCACGCCUUUUCGAACACCCUUUGCUGUGUCGAAGUCAAACAUGGUAUCAAUGUAUUGUAAAAGAAUCAGCAGUGUAUCAUAUAGGCCUAAAAUUGUUCCCAUCCUCUCUAAGGACUGAUUACUGCAACUCACUAUUUCUAUAAAAACAAGUAAAUUAUUUGUAGAUUCUCCAACUAUUUCCCAAAAACAUUCUUCAUGAUUAUACCCAGAGUGCAAUGCGGCAGUUGUAGUAUAGCUUCGGAGUAUCGUAUCCACUAGGAUACAGGAAAAUAGUCCAAAGGUUUAAAAGCUAGGAUUUUGUUGUGAUUUAUUAUAAAUGUAACGUGUCAAUUGAAAUAGAAUUUAAAUAAAAAUGUAUAAGUUAAGGACAUUUAUAUAAAUGUGUGAAGCAGUGAAGCGUCGAGAUUUUCUCGAUUAGAUUGGAUCAAUCAACAUUAAUUUUGCAUGAAGAUACUCAAUUAAAGGUUUUUUCAUCAUAACACUGUAACUGGAAGAUUUACACAUUCAAACCCUUAUUUAAUUCUUUAAAAGUCAAGACUUCCAAAUCUAGAUUUCUUGCACAAUAUAAUUCCAUAAUUGUUUAUUGAAAUUAUAUCCAAAAUCGAUCAUAUACCUCAAGUAUAUGAUAGUAAAAGAUCACCACCAACAAACGGUUUGAAAUUGAAAAUCAAUAUAUACUUCAAUCAUUCGAUGAAAAAAACUUGAUUGAACUCAUGAAAAUAUAAUAUGAAUUAAUCCAAUCUCAAACAUGCCCAACAAACAUAAGAAAUCUAAUUCCAAAAUUUUUAACAAUGAAAAAACAAAUUACAUGCAAGAAAGAACGUUGAAAAAAAUCAAAUCUAAUCGAGUUCCUUCGUGGCUUCACCAAUUAAUUUAGUUUUCCAUGGAUUUCUUGAGCCAAAUUUGAGAGAAAAUUGUUGUGAAGGUGAAGAAGAGGUGUGUUCUCUCCAGUCUAGAGCUUAAAACCAUAGCCAAGUUGUUUCCAAAAGAGAUUGAACCGAAUAAAAAAACUAAACUUUCGACUAGAAUAUUCUGUGCAACUACUUUCAGUAUUUUGACUAUAACUUUCUCUUCUGAUGUCCAAUUAAGGCAAUUCAAAGUGCAUUGGAAAGCUAACACAAAGAGCUACAAUAUUACUAGCAAUAUCCUUUUCCAAAUUUUGACGUUUACUAGGUCAAAAGUGGACUUCAUUCUCCAGCUGAAAAUUUGAAAGAUCUUUAUGCGGUUGGAAUUUGAUUUGUGAAUAUGUUAUGAUCAUAUUUAACUUCUUUUGACUUCUAAUUGCACCCAGUGGACUCCUAGGUUUCUUGAAUCAUCAUUCUAUUGUUCGUUUCAUCUUUAAAUUAUUUGCAACUUGAUCCCUAAACUUUCACUUUCUUCCAUUUUUGUCAUUUUUCGCUCUUUUCUUCUAAAUUUCACAUUUUCUACCAAAAUGUAACCUGAAUUAAAGUAUAAAUAUAAUGAGUGCAUUUUGGCAUCAAAUAAUCACACUAAUGCAAUAAUUAAGAGAAGAAAAUAUUAUAUUUUACACUCUUAUCACACCCCCAACUUACUUAUUGCUAGUCUCUAGCUAUUCAAUGCAGAACAAGUAAGCGAAUGAUUAGACUAUGAUACAAGUGAAAUUAUUAAGUAUCAAUUUAACCACAUAUCAUGUCCCUUUCAAACUCAACACCAUAAGAAAUUAACAACGUUAUGAUCAUCAAGAUAUUGAAAACACAUUCCAAAUGUAUGAGUGUGUGUCAAGCCAUAACUAUCUUACCGCCAACCCUAACACAUGCAACAAUAAGUAUGCCUCAAGCUGAAAGUUCAUCCCCAUAACUCACGGGUAUCAAAGUGUUUAGUGCGGGUUUUUCUCUAUAGAGCUGAGAAAGGGUAUACAUACAUAACUUGGAGGCUUAAAUAUUUAUGAAUAAGCAACAAACAAACAUUGAUCUUGUGAUAGGCAUACUUCCAAAUGAGAAUUCAUCCACUUCUUACCACAACCAUACUUGGGAUCAAAUCAGUCAAUGUAAAGGGUUGUAAUGCAGUUUGAGUUAAGUUAUAUGAAAGGAUGGAUAUAAUGAUUCAAAAACUUCCAAAUACAUAGGCAAGUGUAGCAUGAAGCUUCUCAAUGGAUCACAUCAACACAUUCUUUAUUACUUUCAACCCCCAAAAUCAAUUAAAAAAAAAUUUCUUUUUUUUUCUUUUUUGUUUUUGUUUUUGUUUUUGUUUUUGUUUUUUUUUUUUUUUUUUUUUUUUUUUUUUUUUUUUUUUUGUUUUUUGUUUUUAACUCAUUCAACCACUAACAUUAACUAAUGCCAUCAGCCGUUCCAUUUAUGAAAAUAAUGUCCAAUUCGACUUAGGACUUACAAAUGUUAGAUUAGAAAUGAAAAAUAUGGAUUAAGGAAAAUUUACAAAAUUGUAGUGGACUUUAGUUAUUAUCUUUCAUUGUGAUCAUUUGUUUAAGGAAAAAGCAACUUCAUAAUAACAUUUUACAUGCAUUUCUAUUUUUAAUCCAGUUCAGCAGCCAUACAUGAACACCUGUUUCUUUCAUAUAGAGUAAGAGUCUGUUUGAUAGUGAUUUUAAGAAUUGAUUUUUUGACCGUUAGGAGAAAAGUGGGGUCCACCUGUGAGAGAGGAAGUCAAAUAUAACUGUUGAAAUAGUGAAAUAACGAUCAAAAAAUCAAUUUUUUGGAUGAAAAAAUGGCUCCCAAACAGGCCCUAAAAUUUAGUGAUUAAAUAAGUCAAAAAAAAAAAAAAAACUUAAGGAUUAAUGUAAAAUUCUGCUCAAACAUUGAUGACCAUAUGCGAAAUUAGCUCUAAAACCAAAUAGUAAAAAGACAAUGAUACAUGUACUUACACAUUUUUAUCAAUAUAUCCUAGUAAAAAAGAGGACUUAAAUUUCAUGUCAUGCGCAGCUUAAAGAACACUGACGUAUGACUCUUCCCAUCCAUUAGACUCUUAAAAAACCUCGAGGAAAUGAAAAGGCCCGAUCCCAGCUACCCAUUUAGAAUCCAAGUUUGAAAAUUCCAAAAUCGAUGAAGGUCAAAUUUAAGUACAUUGUAUUUAGAUUUAAAGGAGAUCAUAAAAUUGAAAUACUAACUCUUUUCCUUUUUUUUUAACGCACGUGUACAAGUAUUAAAAAAAUAAAAAAUGAAGAAAUAGAAUUUAAAAUUGUACCUUCAAGUCUAAAUACGAUAUUAGAAUGUUAACAUAUAUACAUGUGACGGUGACGGUUCUUAUUUCUAUUUUGUCUAGUUCAGAAAAGUAAUUAGGUAACAGCAUUCCGAUUCUCUCUUCCAAAUUCAAUAUUAUGCUACCUGUUCAAAAACUCGUAGAAAUUUCUAUAUCCGGUGCUCCUCCCCGCCCCCGGUGAAAGUGACAAAAACUCCCACUUAAAACACAAUAAUCAAAUUCAAAUCCUGUUAAUUCUUUAUUUAGAAAUGGAUUUUUCUUCUUCGUUUAAAAAUUCAUUGAAAUCCCAUGGUUCAUGUAAGCAUACGCGAAGAAUUUCUGUAGGUAAUGCCAAAGAAGACAUGAACGCCGAGCAACAGCCUAUUCUUUCCGAUCAUCGACGGGAUUCAUCCUCCGCCGCCGCCGUAGACAGCCACCAUCUGUCUCGAUCGUCUCUCGAUUUGGCCGACCGCCGGGAAGUCAUAGUGAAAAUCGAUGGCGGAGAUCGAAACGCCAGCGUCACCCCUACCCUCACCCCAAAUAGGCGGGAAUCAAGCUUGGAUUUUUCGACAAGUAAAUAUCAUAUGGCAUGAUGUUCACACUAGCCCCUAAAUCAAGAAGGGCUUGUGAAAUCUCUUGGUUCCCGAUGAUGCAGGAGACAGUAAGAUAACCAGGGUCUUUAUACUUUGGUGGGAUCUUUUGUUCAAUCACAGCACUCACAUGUUCGGUCAAGAAAGCAGUUUUCUUGACAUGGUACUUUCUCUUCACAGUGCACAAGUCUUUUAGGACUUUAGCAUAUGUGGAAACCUGGGAGAUCAUAUGUAGGAGAGGUAGAUUGAUUUUUACUUGUUUUAGAUGCUCUAGGAUUUAAUUAUGUUAGCCGACAGAUUUUAAGGUAGACUUGAGAGCUUGAGGGAAAGGCAUUCUAGAUGGAUUUUCACUACCUCCUUACUAGGGGUGCUCUCUUUUGAAUUGAUAGGGACUUUUUAAUUUUCCUUAGGUUUGAGAAUUGGUUCUAUGACCUGACCAGACCGAGUGGUUAAGGCAUUUACUUCUCUAAGAUUGUUUUCUUCUAAUCCUGAAGUUUGUGCCAUGUGUUGUUCCCUAGGGUUCAGUUGAGCUUGCGUUGGGAAUUUUUCCCGUUCUCCUACAGCUAAGGCAUUAGUUAGUUUAGACAUAUGAGAUUUUAUUUCCUUGUUUUCUUCAACAAUUUGGGUAAUCAUAGUCUCAAACUUUUGGUUAGUCUUACUAUGUACCUUUAUAAAUGCAUGUAGAGUGUCUUCUAAAGAGUUCCUAGAGGACGUGGGCUGAUAUAGAGGUACAGUGUGAGGUUUAUUUGGCUGUCCUUCAGAUUUCCAAUUGAGAUUGGGGUGAUUCCGCCAUCCCAGAUUGUAUGUUUCAGAAAAGGGAGAAUAAGGCUUUUGGUAUAUGCCUAAGGCAUUGCAUGUUCCUCAUAAACUUCUCUCAUCUCAGCAUAGGUAGCGCACCCUUGAGCUGGAUGAUCAGUUCCACCACAAACAAAACACGGUCCUAAAGAUUCAACAUGGGAUGCAUUCUGUGUAGGCUUUGAGUCCCUAGCACGUAAGAUUUUGAAUUCUUUAGUGAGGGCAUCUACGUUGGCUCUAAAGUCAUCCUCCUCUCUAAGAUAAUAAAUGCAUGUGCUAGUGGUGUUUCUAGUAGGUCAUGACCUAUUAGUACUCUCAGGGCACUAGGUCUAGUCCAGAUAUGGGCUUUCUCGGCUAAGUUAUCUAAGUACUCUAUAGCCUCAUUUGGAUCUUUUUCUAGGAAUUCACCGUUACACAUCAUUUCCACAAACUGGCGUUUCCUAGGUAAUAAUCCCUUAUAAAAGCAACUCACAAUGCAUCAACUUUCAUAACCGUGGUAGGGGCAGAGGGCUUGCAAUUCUUUGUACCUUUCCGACGUUUGAUAUAAAGUUUCACUCUCUUUUUGAGUAAAAGACGAGAUUUGCUUUUUCAAUACAGUUGUUUUGUGGUGGGAAAAAUACUUGCCAAAAAAUGCUUGAGUCAUUUCAACCCAAGUCCCAAUCGAACGUGGUCGCAAUGAAUACAGCCAACUUUUUGCUCGUUCCUUGAGUGAAAAUGGGAAAAAUUUUAGCCUUGACUGCAUCCAAAGUUCCAUGUUGAUUGUGGAAGGUUGCCACCACCUCCUCAAACUCCCUAAUAUGCAUGUAUGGAUUUUCGUUUUCAAAACCAUGAAAAUUGGGAAGAAGUUGAAUCAUUCCCGAUUUUAGUUCCAUAUGUGGCAUGUUUGGUGGAAACAUGAUGCAUGACGGUGUAGAUGUGAGUGUGGGGUGAAGGGCAUCAACUUUCAUAACCGUGGUAGGGGCAGAGGGCUUGCAAUUCUUUGUACCUUUCCGACGUUUGAUAUAAAGUUUCACUCUCUUUUUGAGUAAAAGACGAGAUUUGCUUUUUCAAUACAGUUGUUUUGUGGUGGGAAAAAUACUUGCCAAAAAAUGCUUGAGUCAUUUCAACCCAAGUCCCAAUCGAACGUGGUCGCAAUGAAUACAGCCAACUUUUUGCUCGUUCCUUGAGUGAAAAUGGGAAAAAUUUUAGCCUUGACUGCAUCCAAAGUUCCAUGUUGAUUGUGGAAGGUUGCCACCACCUCCUCAAACUCCCUAAUAUGCAUGUAUGGAUUUUCGUUUUCAAAACCAUGAAAAUUGGGAAGAAGUUGAAUCAUUCCCGAUUUUAGUUCCAUAUGUGGCAUGUUUGGUGGAAACAUGAUGCAUGACGGUGUAGAUGUGAGUGUGGGGUGAAGGAAAUCAUGUAAGGUCCUAUAAAAUGCAUCACCAUGCUCACUAUCAAACAUUGUUUUAUUUGAUAUAGUGUUCGUGGCAAUAGAUUCAGUAUCAAAGAGAGGGUUAAGAAAAGAUUCAAACAUUCGCUCAUCUCGAAGCCUGUUCAUAAAACAAAAAAAAUGAAAUUAAAUGAGAAAUAACAAAAUAAUUAAGANAGAUUCAAACAUUCGCUCAUCUCGAAGCCUGUUCAUAAAACAAAAAAAAUGAAAUUAAAUGAGAAAUAACAAAAUAAUUAAGAAAAUAAACUAAACUAACUAAAAGAAUGUAAAAAGGGACGAAAUCACCCUUUUGCUCGAGAAUCCUUCAAGUAUUUGUACUUUCUCUCGGGAAACGGAGCCAAAAUUUGAUUACGCCCAAAGUGCAACGCGAUAGUUGUAGUAUAGCUUCGGGGUGUUGCAUCCACAGGGAGAUGGGAAAAUAGUCCAAAGGUUCAAAAGCUAGGGUUUUGUUGUGAUUUUAUGUAAAUGUAACGUGUCAAUUGAAAUAGAAUUCAAAUAACAAUGUAUAAGUUAAGGAAAUUUAUAUCAAUGUGUGAAGCAGUGAAACGCCGGAAUUCCCUAGAUUAGAUUGAAUCAAUCAACGUCAAUUUUGCAUGAAGAUGCUCAAUUAAAGGUUUUUUUUAUCCUAACAUUUUAAUUGGAAGAUUUACACAUUCAAACCCUUAUUUAAUUCCUUAAGAGUUAAGAGUUUCAAAUCUAGAUUUCUUGCACAACAUAAUUUCACAAUUGUUUAUUGAAAUUAGAUCAAAAUCGAUCAUAUACCUCAAGCAUAUGAUAGUAAAAGAUCACACCAACAAACGGUUUGAAAUUGAAAAUCAAUAAAUACUUCGAUCAUUCGAUAAAAAAAAUUGAUUGAAUUCAUGAAAAUCUAAUAUGAACUAAUCCAAUCUCAAACAUACCCAACAAACAUAAUAAAUAUAAUUCCGGAAUUUUUAACAAUGAAAAAGCAAAUUACAUGCAAGAAAGAACGUUGAAAAAACCAAAUCUAACCGAGUUCCUUCGUGACUUCACCAAUUAAUUUAGUUUUUUAUGGAUUUCUUGAGCCAAACUUAAGAAAAAAUUGUUAUGAAGGUGAAGAAGAGGCGUGUUCUCUCCAGUCUAGGGCUUAAAACCACAUGCCAAGUUGUUUUCAAAGAGGUUGAACCGAAUAAGGAAUUAAAUUUUCGGCUAUAAUAUUCUAUGCGACUACUUUCAGUAUUUUGACCAUAACUUUCUCUCCCAAUGUCUAAUUAAGGAAAUUAAAAGUGUGUUGGAAAUGUAACACAAAGGAUAACAAUUCUGCUGGAAAUAGCUUUUUCCAAAUUCUAACGUUUACUGGGUCAAAAGUGGACUUCAAUCUCUAGCUGAAAAUUUGGAAAAUCUUUAUGCAGUUUGAAUUUGAUUUGAGAAUAUGUUAUGGUCAUAUUUAACUUCUAAUUGCACCUAAUGGUCUCCUAGCUUUCUCGAAUCAUCAUUCCAUUGCCUGUCUCAUCUUUAAAUUAUUUGUAACUUGGUCCCUGAACUUUCACGUUCAUCAAUUUUUGUCUUUUUUUCACUCUUUUCUUCUAAAUUUCACAUUUUCACAUGAAUCAAAGCAUAAGUAUAAUAAGUGCAUUGUGGUAUCAAAUAAUCACACCAAUACAAUAAUUAAGAGGAGAAAAUAUUAUAUUUUACACUCUUAUCACUUCACUAGCACCAUUUUCAAAACUAGAGAAUAAUUUCUCACUAAAUUGUUUCUCGUCAAACAAGAUACAAAAACACAUCCAAACCACUCGAAUCCAGAGUUCAAUUUUCACCUUCAACUCUUUCCAUAAAAAUCUCCUUUUCUUGAAGGCACUUAGAAACCUCUUUGCAUCCCCACCUAUAUACAAUUCCAAACGAAGUGGUUUUAUCAUAGUGUGGAAAAAGGAUUUCCUCACACUCUUGUAAACUUUGAUGCAAUCUCCAAGGUGUUCGCUAGAAUUUAAUCUUUCCGCGACAUGCCUAUGAUAAAAAAUCACCCCAUCACUCCGUAAAUUGUAUACUGAUAAAUAAUCUUCAAGUGCAAAACUGGUUAAUGAACUCCAAUCUGAGGUAGUUGAAUCAUCAGUGCCAAACAGAUCAGAUUGUCUUGUGAGUACUGUCAAAAACUCAUGCUUGAGCCAAGCCAUGGCUAUGGAGUUCAGGUCACCAUAUUCUAUUAUGUUCGUAGGGGACUGUUAGAUUCUGUCGACAGCUUCUAGAUAUCAAGUUAUUUCACUUUCACCACAGUCGAAAAUUAGUUGUUCAACUUGUUUAUGUUGCCAAUGAUAGAUUGUAUCAACUGCUAAUUGAUAUGAUAUUGUUGAAGUCAUUGGAUCUAUGGACAUUCUGUUGAACUAUUACAGAUGGGAGAAAAUUUUCUGGUUCAAUAUUCCAACUUGUAAAUUUGUGUGAUACUGAAAAUGGUUGUAUCUUGACUCUUGUGUUCAUAAGGAAGUAUGGUGGCGAAUUUUCCAGGUGGUCCCUAAAUCUAAACAAAAGACGGAAGACUUGAAUUUCCGCGUUUAAGAGGAAACUUCAUAUGUAAUUAUGGGAAAAUAUCUAGUCAAUAAAAAAUAAAAUUAGAGAAACUUCAAGAUAUGUUUCCUCUUUCCCCACAAAUGUGUUACCAUUGCACAAUGGCAGCUCUGAUUAUAUGAUGAUUAGGCGAUUGUCUAAGGCCUCACUUUGAUGACAGCUCCAAAGUAUGUAAAAUUAAUUGGUUGAUUGAAGAAAAACAAAAAUUAUAUGUAUGAAAUUCUUUAAAAUAAAACAAUCAUAUGGAAAAUACAAAAUUUUAAAAAUUUUUAUAAAUGACAUAAGACUUAUUACUUACAUUUAUUUAUUAAAAAAAUAUAUUACAAACAUUACUUUCUCUUUCUAUAACUAUUUGACCAUUUAUAGUCCAAAUGAUAAGUGCGGGUUUUUGUUCUAUUUCGGGCCAUUAAACUUAGAUAUUUGUGAGUUUCAUUAGCGAUUUAUUACUCGACUUUGAACGAUGAUUUGAAGGUAUUUAUGCAAGAAAUGACAAAAAAGAUAAACGAAAAUAAAGAGGAAGCAUGAACACGUUGAAAGAGGAUGUUUCUAAAAAAAAAAAAAAUCAGCGAGCUGGGCGCCCAACCAAAAAAGAAAACAGAAACUGUGGCGCCCAGGCCCCACUGUUCCGGUGCCAAGGCGCCACCUGUGCCGUUUUUAAUUGUUUUCAAAAUCCCAGGAACCAAUACUGCAAUUUUCUUUAGGUUUUAGUUUAAAACAUUCAACCAAACACAAGACUUGAUUAUUCUUGGAAUUUUGGAGGAACCAACUGGUUCUUCUUCUUGUUGUCUCUUGUUUUCUUUCUUUUUUCUUUUCCUUUCACCUAUAUUUUCUUAGACAUUUUGGGGAAAAAUGGAACAUGGAGAUGGUGCAUUAGUUUGGAGAAGAUGACCCAUUGAUAAUGAAGAAUUUUCUACCAUUUCUCUCUUUAUCAACAAUUUUUUCUUUUCACUUUUUCCAUCAAUAUUUUGUAAGAAAUUGUUAGUUAUUUGUGAAUAUUUCAUGGGUUAUGAUUUUCGAUUAAUUUGUGCUUUAUAAUUCUCUUGAUUAAUGUGUUUAAUCCAUUGUGUUAAAUGUUUAUUUUGUUCUUCUUGAUUGUUUAGGUAUACAACUAAACGAUUAAGUUGUUUCGAUGAAUGUUAUUUUGAGAUUAGUAAUACGUAAUAGCUAUUGAUUCUAAAACCUAGUAGCAAUUACAUUUCGAAAGAUUAUGAAGAAUUUUCAAUUGAAUGUAUGUGGAUUAACACUUAAGUUAGUAAACCGAGCUUGCAAGUUUACCCUUAAUUUAAUUCAUCUCUUUUGUCGUAAUGCGUUUGUUAAAUUAAAUUUAGAGAGCUUGUUCUAGUUGUUUAAUGAAUAUGGUUGAGUAAAGAGCUUGUUUUAUUCGACUAACAUGUAAGAAGAGAUUGAGAUAAUUGAGCUUGUAAUUAUUCUAGAAUUGUUGUUAAUCUUGAGAAUGAAAAUCUAUUGUGGUAAUUGACAUGAAAAUCAUUCUUGUGGUGACGAAAUAUCCCCAAAUCACAUUUUCUCGCAUUCAAUCAAGAACCAAUUUAUUUAUUUCAAAUUUCAAGUCUUUUAUUCAAGUCUUUUCUAAUUUUAAUUCUAGUAGAGAAGCGGCACCGGUUAAACAAGCAAGUGAGGUAGGAGCAACCUCUCAAAUUGAANNNNNNNNNNNNNNNNNNNNNNNNNNNNNNNNNNNNNNNNNNNNNNNNNNNNNNNNNNNNNNNNNNNNNNNNNNNNNNNNNNNNNNNNNNNNNNNNNNNNNNNNNNNNNNNNNNNNNNNNNNNNNNNNNNNNNNNNNNNNNNNNNNNNNNNNNNNNNNNNNNNNNNNNNNNNNNNNNNNNNNNNNNNNNNNNNNNNNNNNNNNNNNNNNNNNNNNNNNNNNNNNNNNNNNNNNNNNNNNNNNNNNNNNNNNNNNNNNNNNNNNNNNNNNNNNNNNNNNNNNNNNNNNNNNNNNNNNNNNNNNNNNNNNNNNNNNNNNNNNNNNNNNNNNNNNNNNNNNNNNNNNNNNNNNNNNNNNNNNNNNNNNNNNNNNNNNNNNNNNNNNNNNNNNNNNNNNNNNNNNNNNNNNNNNNNNNNNNNNNNNNNNNNNNNNNNNNNNNNNNNNNNNNNNNNNNNNNNNNNNNNNNNNNNNNNNNNNNNNNNNNNNNNNNNNNNNNNNNNNNNNNNNNNNNNNNNNNNNNNNNNNNNNNNNNNNNNNNNNNNNNNNNNNNNNNNNNNNNNNNNNNNNNNNNNNNNNNNNNNNNNNNNNNNNNNNNNNNNNNNNNNNNNNNNNNNNNNNNNNNNNNNNNNNNNNNNNNNNNNNNNNNNNNNNNNNNNNNNNNNNNNNNNNNNNNNNNNNNNNNNNNNNNNNNNNNNNNNNNNNNNNNNNNNNNNNNNNNNNNNNNNNNNNNNNNNNNNNNNNNNNNNNNNNNNNNNNNNNNNNNNNNNNNNNNNNNNNNNNNNNNNNNNNNNNNNNNNNNNNNNNNNNNNNNNNNNNNNNNNNNNNNNNNNNNNNNNNNNNNNNNNNNNNNNNNNNNNNNNNNNNNNNNNNNNNNNNNNNNNNNNNNNNNNNNNNNNNNNNNNNNNNNNNNNNNNNNNNNNNNNNNNNNNNNNNNNNNNNNNNNNNNNNNNNNNNNNNNNNNNNNNNNNNNNNNNNNNNNNNNNNNNNNNNNNNNNNNNNNNNNNNNNNNNNNNNNNNNNNNNNNNNNNNNNNNNNNNNNNNNNNNNNNNNNNNNNNNNNNNNNNNNNNNNNNNNNNNNNNNNNNNNNNNNNNNNNNNNNNNNNNNNNNNNNNNNNNNNNNNNNNNNNNNNNNNNNNNNNNNNNNNNNNNUGACAAUGGAGUUUGAUGGUGAGAUUAUUCACUUCAAUAUUUUUGAAACAAUGAGGUAUCCUAGUGAUGUUCAUGCUUGUUUUUCAAUAGAUAUAAUGGAUUCAUUAGUGCAAAAAAAAAAAAUUCAAAUUAUCAAAUGAAAAUGCAUUGGACACCACUUUGAUUAAAAACAUUGAUGUUGAUAAUCUCACCGGGUUGAGCAAGAAUCUACAACUGUGUGAGGUAUUGUUGAAACCAUGGCAUCACUUGAGUCACUACAAAGUAUUCCACCAAGGUAUAAUAUCUACUAUAUUAUUCUUCCGAUAUCUAAAGAGAAACUUUUACCUUUGGUGAUGCAGGCCCCCACUUUGGAACUCAAACCUUUUCCUGAGCAUUUGAAGUAUGUUUGGAAGAGGGGGAAACAAUACUGAUGAUCAUAAUAAAGAACCUCACACCAUUUUUUUUUUUUUGAAUUUUUGUCGCUAAUGGUCCCCAACCAUCAUCACAAUCAUCACUGUCAUCACCACUAGGGAAGUAUUUGAUCCUCCUGCAUUUUUUAUUUCUUUUUACCUUUACAUUGAGGACAAUGUGCAAUUUAAGUUUGGGGGUGAGGUGAUAUGUGCUAAAUUUUUUGUGGAAUUUUGUGGUUUGUGCUAAUUUUGUUCUCGCUAAAAACUUAAAAAUUCGUGUUAAACACUUGUUUUUAUGCUUGUUUGUGUUGUUUGAUAGUUUUGCCAAUUGCAUUUUGAGUAUUGCAUUGCAUUGAUUUAUGAAUUGGGAACAUGAAUGCUAAGUGUUGUUUAUUUUCAUCCACUUAUUCCAUGAUUGACUCUUUAUUGAGCAUUUAGGUCAUGGGAUUCAUCACAUGCACUUGUUGGUUGCACUUGUAGGUUGUUAACGAACUUAAAUGACCAUGCUAUUAGAAAUUCUUCAAUUACUCUACCAAUGAAAGGAUAAGUUUAGGGAUGGUUGAACCAGUGAAAGAAAUUAUUUAGAAUUGUAUUAAUUUCCGACUCAGUGAUUGAUUUUGUGAAAUGUUCUUGGACUUCAAAUGAAAGUUAGAUGUUGUUUUCCAUUUAUUGAUAUUUCAUAAUAAAAAAAAUAUCUACAGGAAAAAGUUGCCUACCCUAAGGAGUAUGAGUCAUAUUGAGUAAUCUGGCCCUAUGCAUCACCAAUGUGUAGGAGACGAUCUACGAAUGUAGAAGGCUACCCUUAGGGACCAAAGCGAGAACCACCUACAUUGGAAAAAUGAAGAAAAAGAAAAGGGAUGCUAUAAGCAUCUAGGGGUAAUUUUGUUGAAGAAUUGAUGGAUUGUGAGUAAUUUGCCUAACAUAAGUUUGUGGUCUAAGCACUUAGAAUUUUUGGCUAAUUAGAUUAGAUGAUCUAUUUUAUCUAUUCAACCCAACCAAAUUUGAGAGAGAAAGAUUGAAUGAUUUGAUGACAACCUUAAGUUUUUGACACCUUGGGCUAGAGUGAAAAUAUCAAGUUUGGGGGAGUGUGCAUCCCAUGAGUGAGAAAGGAAUAUUUGACCAUUGAGGGUCGGGAAAAUCACCAACUUAUGUAUUGUGAUGAAUUGGAAUGACCAAACACACACAAGUCAAGCAUGGUGUAAGUUAAGGAGUGUUUGUUGUAGCAUUUUUGUAAACAUUUUAUAAGUUAGUUGCAUAAUGUAAGGCUUGAAGCAAAGUGGUAAACUAUCUAACAUUUGGAGUAUUUGUUAUUAUAGUAUUAUCGUUUGGUCUAUAGCUUUGUUCGAGGACUAAAAAAUAUUUAAUUUUGGGGGUGUGAUAAGUGCGGGUUUUUGCACUAUUCCAGGCCAUUAAACUUAGAUAUUUGUGAGUUUCAUUACCAAUUUAUUACUUAAUUUAGUUAUUUUUAUUGUGUAGAUGAAAACCCGACUUUGAGCGAUGAUUUGAAGGUAUUUAUGCGAGAAAAUCCGAAGAAAGAUAAGAAAACAGAAACUGUGGCGCCCAAGCGCCAUUGUUCCGACGCCUAGGCACCACUUAGGUUGUUUUUAAUUGUUUUCAAAAUCCUAGGGACCAAUACUACAAUUUUCUUUAGGUUUUAGUUUAAAACAUUCAACCAAGCACAAGACUUGAUUAUUCUUGGAAUUUUGGAGGGAGCGGCUAGUUCUUCUUCCUCUUUUUCUUCUUGCCUCUUGUUUUCUUUCUUUUUUCUUUUCCUUUCACCUAUAUUUUUUUAGACAUUUUGAGGACGAUUGGAACAUGGAGAUGGUGCAUUAGCUUGGAGAAGAUGACCCAUUGAUAUUGAAGGAUUUUCUACCAUUUCUCUCUUUAUCAAUAAGUUUUUCUUUUCACUUUUUCCAUCAAUGUUUUAUAAGAAAUUGUUACUUAUUUGUGAAUAUUUCAUGGGUAACUAAUUAUAUUUGUGAUUGAGGAUUAUUUCAAACCCGAGUUAUGAUUUUCGAUUAAUUUGUGUAUUAUAAUUUCUUGAUUAAUAUGUUUAAUCCACUGUGUUAAAUGUUUCUUUUGUUCUUCUUGAUUGUUUAGGUGUACAACUAAACGAUUAAGUCGUUUCGAUGAAUGCUAUUUUGGGAUUAGUAGUACGUAAUAGCUAUUGAUUCUAAAAUCUAGUAGCAAUUACAUUUCAAUAGAUUAUGAAGAAUUUUCAAUUGAAUGUAUGUGGAUUAACACUUGAGUUAGUAAACCAAGCUUGCGAGUUUACCCUUAAUUCAAUUCAUCUCUUUUGUCGUAAUGCGUUUGUUAAAUUAAAUCUAGAGAGUUUGUUCUAGGUUGUUUAAUGAAUAGGGUUGAGUAAAAAGCUUGUUUUUUUCGACUAGCAUGUAAGAAGAGAUUGAGGUAAUUGAACUUGUAAUUAUUCUCGAAUUGUUGUUAAUCUUGAGAACAAAAAUCUAUUGUGGUAAUUGACAUGAAAAUCAUUCUCGUGAUGAAGUAAUAUCCCCCAAUCAUAUUUUCUAGCAUUCAAUCAAGAACCAAUUUGUUUAUUUCAAAUUUCAAGUAUUUUCUAGUUUAAAUUUAUUGAUUUCCUUAGUUCAACAAACCAACCCCCCCCCCCUUUAAUCUAUUUCGUAUAUUAUUAUUAAUUUACUUUUUAGUGCGCAAUUGACAUAAUUGAAUCAAUCCUCUACGGGAAAUGACCCUUACUUGCCAUAAUACUAUUUAAGACAACACAUUUAAGUUAAGUAAGGAAAAGUAAUUGGAACGCGAUUUGCAACGUAUCACCAAACAUUCAUUUCUUUCUCAUCAAAACAAAAUGUCUCAUUGUCUCUUCAAAUUUUACAUCCAACAGUAACCCACCAUAAUUUUUUCAAACCAACAAGAAAUAAAUUAUCUCUCUUUGAACCAAAAUUUUGAAGAUUCAAUUUACUAGAUUGAUUUGGUCUUACGGCCAUUGUUACAGCCUUACAGGUUUCUUUCUUUCGCCCCUUAUCUUCAAAACAUAUACUACAUAGUACAAGGCUGUUGUUAUUAUUUUUUUGGUUUAAUCUCAUGAUAAUAGUCUUUUUAGAUGUUUGUUAAAGAUACUUUUGAAUUUAAUAAUUCUUUGUUUGUCUUCACACUUCUUAUUUGUAAGUCAAUUUCUUAUUAAUUAAUAUAAAAUUAAAAGCUCAUUUGUAUUUGAUCGUCACUUUCAUUAUUUUGUUACGCUAUCUCUUGAGGUCAACAUUCUCUAAUUUUGUACAUUAAUAACUCAAAUGCAUAUUCAAUUUUGUUUGAAAUAGUUGUAGUGAAAACAUGAUCAAAGAAAUGAACAAACCUGUUUGCCAUUGCAUUAUAUUUCUGUUUGCCAAACUUCACUUAUAAUUUGUAUUGCAUGUUGAAAUUUCACAUUUUAUUAUUUUCCUCCACAAAUUUUCAGACUUAGUUGUCUCUGUUAAAUUCUGUAUAAUUAUAUUAAAUCUUUCGGUAAGGAUGCUCAAAAUAUAGGGGCCCCAUUUUUUUAAAUUGGCAUAAAGUCCCCAAAUUAUCAAUGUCGGCCCUGUCAUUGCAAGUAUAUUACACAUAAAAUUGGAUAAACAAAGUAACUAGCCAAGUUGACGAGCCAACGAUUUAGUGAGGACGUCCACAACUUCAUAGGUGACGUGAAAAUGGGAGACGAAAUAGACCAUCACAUUGUUCAAACAGAUUAAACUCUAAUUUCUUGCAUCAAGUUGCUAUUUCUAUCCAUUUUUUCAUAGACUAGUUUAUAAAUUUGAAAAUGUGACUUCAUUUAGCUAACAAGGCUAGCAAAUUUGAUUAUGUGAGUUAAAUUUCAUUAUAUGAAAACAAAUGCUUUGAGAUCAAAGCCUCGGGAUCCUCAACUGAAUGCUUUACAUUUAUUUUCUGAAAGCGUUUCGUUUGUGUUUCACUGAACUGCUCAAUCUCAAUAUAUGUCCUGAACUUGUGUAGGAUUCCCUUGUAUGCUGGAAUCAGCUUGUCAACGAUGGACACACGAAGCUUUUCACGGAGCUCCGAAUCGUGUACCAUCCAGUUUGAGUGAAAUUUAUGAAUCUCUUCAAACUAGGAAUUAAAGGCCUUAAAUCGUUUCCUUAGUGCACGUUUCGACACUUGAGAACAAAAGCACCAACUAACAUAAAGCUCGUCCUCUUGAAAACAAGACAAGAACUUGUUACAAGUCGAGACUUGAUAGCUAGUCUUAGCUUGCUCAACAUUCCAGUUCAGUUUCGCCAUAUAAUCAUCGCCAAUCAUCUCGCGCAACUCAUGAGAUCCUUGGAUCUUUUGUACGAUGUAAAAAACAUUGCUCAUCAUGAACAAAUGCCAACAUGCUCGUAUUGCUCCAAUUUGCCCUUCAAAUUUAGUUGUAAAACCACAAUGAUCAAAAUCAAAUGAAGUUCAAAAUGACUUCAUCCAUUAAGAACCCCCAUCUCCCCUUCCGGAAUCAUUUGAUCCCCAAAUUUCAAUGGUGGCAUCGAAUUGAUCAAGUUUGUGAGGAGCUUUUUGUGGUUUAAAGUGAGAUUGAUAUAAUUGAUCACCUUUUCUGUCAAUGGAUGAAUGGCUCCUCUAUCCUCCGGUAUCGGAGAAAGCUCGUGAAAAACAGAUUUCUCAAAAUCUCGAAAUCUGAUAACAUCCUUCUCACAUCGUCCUCGAGUUGAAAAACUAUUCCCUUUACUCCAGUUCGAAUAGCUUCUGCUGAUUUGUAGUCAAAAAAGGCAUCAAUUUUUGGUAAAAGAGAAGCCAAAGUAUCAUAUAGGCCUAAAAUUGUUCCAAUCCUCUCGGAGUGCUCUUUACUGAGACUCACUGCUUCUACAAAAAUAAGGAGAUUAUUUGCAGAAUAUUUAACUAUUUCCACAAAAAAUUCUUCAAAAGAUUCAACACCGAAUCCUUCGAAUCUUUGCCCACAAAUUUGUUUCUCCGUAUCCAAAAGUUUAUAAAAAUACACCUUAGCCACUUGAAUCCACAGUUCAAUCUUCAUCUUCAAAUCAUCCAACAGAAACCUCUUUGCGUCACGACGUAUGCUCAAUUCCUUCUGACGAAGCAGUUUCAGCAUAGUAUGAAGAAAGUAUUUCCUCUCACUCUUGUAAACCCUGAAGCAAUCUCCAAGUUUGCCCCCAGAAUUCAUCCUCUUGGCGACAUUUCUGAGAUAUUCAAUCACCUCUUUAUUCUGCGAAUCGUAUACCGUACAAUCCUCAUGCCGUACGACAAUUUGCAGUGCUAUCGGUUAUCGAACUCCACUCGGAUGUGGAAUUUAGGCCAAUUGGAUUAUCACUUUGUCUUACCAGUACGGUCUGAAACCCGUGCUUGAGCCGAGCCAUGGCCUUGGAUUCCAGGAUUUUGUCGACUACUUCCAGGUAUCGACUUAUUUCGGUUGGCCCGUGAUCAAAGAUUAGCUUCUGUUCAGUUUGGUUUGAAUGCCAAUGGAAGAUUUUAUCCACGCUGAUUGGUGUGAUAUUGACGAUCCCAUUGUAAUGAUGGACCUUCUGUCAAACUAUUACAGCAUCAAAUCAAUUUGGCAGAAGAAUUUCGGGUUCAAAUUGAACAAACUAGGUCAAAUUUCUGGUGUCUAAUUGAAUAAAUUAAUCAAACUGCCUAACUUAAAUUAAAAUAGUUAUAUUUAAUUCAUCAAUUUUUUUAUCUCCAUUUUAUAUUCUUAUUGGUAAAAUAAAGCAUAGAUAUCUUGCUUUCUAAAAUUAUAAUUAUGUGUGAAUUGCCAAAUAGAUCACAAUCGACAAACGAGUCACACUUAUUCUUUGAAUCAUUUGACUGCUUGCAAUUCUAAAACCAUUCCAAACACUUGAGAAUCUCAAUAACGUCUUAUUAAUCAAUGCAGUGAAAACCAUCAAACUUUUAAUCUUCUAUAAAUUAGUGUGAUUGUAUAUUAUUUCAACUUUGUUUUACAAAACAUAUAAAUUUUUCUUACUAGUUCCUUGUCGAGAAAGGUACAAGCUAAGGACACGUUGGUACAACCACAAAAGAAAGACGUAUAAACCCUUUUUUCAUGUAAAUAAAUAUGAUAAAGAACCAUUUCAUUUUAUUUUUUGCAAUUAGAAGGGGUAAACUAUUUUAUAAUAUUAUUUAUAUAAAUUGAAUAAAUGAAAGCCAACUGGUAUGGUCCACGUAUAGGACAAAUGCGUCAAGGUCCUUCAAUUAUUUAUACACUUGGUUUUCAAUCUGUAGAGAAUCUCAUAAUUCUUGCUAGCACAAGAGGAGAAAAUCUUGGCAGCUGCAAUCUAUUCUUUGUGUGGAAUUCAUUAGAGACUGAGCAAUUGGACAGCUGUGGGAGGCAGAUCCAAAUUGCUGGAAUAAAGAUAACGCAAAAGAGUUUGCAAAUCUUGUAAAAUGUACAUCUUUAUCACAGUUUUUAUCCAAACAUAGAGGGAUCCUUGGUGGGAAUCGAAAAUUUGUUUUAAUUUUCUGCUGCUCAUAUUAAGUAGAUUCCCAACAUGGUCCACGUAUAGGACAACUGCGUCAAGGUCCUUCACUUAUUUAUACACUUGGUUAUGCAUCUUUUUGUGAUGUAAAAUGUUUUCUUUUUGUUAGUCCAUUGUUGAGACAUGUCCAAAAAUACAGUGCCACGACCACAAAUGAACAGACAUAGUCACAUAAAUUAUUUCAUUAGUUAGCUUCAUAGGAAAUAAAUAGAGUUUCUUAUACGUACCUCAACUGUAAAAUGUCACAAUCCAAACCAUUUUUCUAUUUAUUUUAUAAUUAAUGAUGUAAAAUAUCAUGGUUUUCAAAAAUUAUUUAAUAAGGUUUAUGUAUAUAAAGACACAAAAAUAUUAAAUCAAGAAACACUUUAUUUUUAUUUUUUAUUUUUUAAUAGCUCAUGAACUUGCAAAAUGUUAAAUUUCAUAUAAGUAAUAUAGUUAACUCAGAACAAUACUUUUAAGUAUUUUCAGCUAUCAUGCAUGCAGACUAAAAAGAAAAAACAAAAAAAAGAUAUAUAUAUAUAUAUAUAUAUUUACUAGUAGAUAAAUUCAUAAAUCGAAGCAUUCCGUCUAUCACUUAGCACUCGCUAAAUGUUGUGAAUCACAAUAUGAUGAAAAACUGUCCAGUGAGCAGAAUAUUUGCGUACAUUGCACGUUCAAGUAUACAUUGCACAUUCAAGAAUGUACCUCGAGCUCAGAUUUUUCAGGUAUGCGUGAUAAGUCCAUACACCUACAGUUCUCAAAUUGCACCAUGACCGCUCAAUAACCACCAAUGGUUAACAAGUAAUCUGAUAUCACAAGUGCUUUGUACAAAAAAGAUAAAUGGCAAUAACAAGUAAUCGUCGAUCCCAAGCCUAGAUUUAUCCUUAGCAAGACUUCACAAUGUAAUCGAGCCAUUAUCCGUUCUAUCACCCACCUUGAAAUCAUAAGACCACUUUCAAUAUAGAAUAAUAAUAAUAAUAACAUGAGGGAGGUCCAAUGAAUAACACAAUCUUUUAUACAUAUGAGCUCAUGAAAUAUGAUAACCAUAAUACUUUCAUUAACAUGUCAAUGAGUCUGGUCAUCAAGUAAUAUUUAACACGUCUCAAUCCCACAUUGUUGGAAAAAUAUUAUAUAUUUUUACAUAUUAUUUUUCAUUGGCUUACUUAAUAUAGAUUGAAUUUUAAAUAUCAAGAACAUGUGCCAAAAACGAUUAAUAGGAUGCAGUACAAGAAGGCAAUCAAUUUUAACUGACUGGAUGGUGCGGGUUUCAAUAGAAUUUUGUAGCCGCGGAUUUUAGGGUUUCAGUACCUAAACAUGACGCAAUCUUCAGUUUCCAUACUACAGCUAACUUAGAUUUAUUUUCCAAUCAUUCUAGAUAUUAUUUGAUAGGUUAAAUAAUUAAAGCUAAGGAAAUAUUGAUUUAAAUUUUAAACUUUUCUCAAGGUUAUUGCCUCAUCAAAUGUAUAUUGAUUGAUUCUAUUAUAUACUUUCGUGUCUUGAAAAUUACUUUACAUAAGCAAGAAAUCAGGUGACGGAUUUACUUUGAGAAAACAUAUUUUGAUCAUGAACCUGCAGAACGCUCUGCCAGAAUUCAGUGAGUUCACCCGACAACAUACAUUAUUGAAUAAUCUUGUAACAAAAUCGUGUUCUUCAACCGUACUUAAAGAAAACACACCAAAGCAUGAAUGAUCAAUCCAGUUCAAAGAUUAAGCUACUUAGCGUGAGUUAAGAAUUGAGAUUCUUAAGCUAAAUGGUGGUUGCGAUCAAGUACAACAGUGAAGUGACCAUAAAGUUAAAAUCGAGAGGUUUGAUUCCACUUUUACAACAAGUCAAAAGAAGAAGAAAAUGAGUAAGUUGUUCUUAGAUUUUUUUUAUUGUUAUUUGUUAAUUUUGAGAAAUUUAAAAAUUGAGACAACUGUAUUUUUUAUUUUUUUAUUUAGUGGAUUGUUUUAUCUGUGACAUGGGGCUUGUGGAUGCUUCCCUUUGGGGUUUAUCACAUUACAUCUGUUGUUCAUGUGUUAAUAUGCUAGUUAAUUUCCGCAAUUCAUUAUAACCACUUAGAACACUAGAUUCUAUUUAUACACUUAGUCAGAACUGCUUAGAAACUAGUUAUAGGAUAUUCUAAUUGCCUAACGUGUACUAUUUGAAUUGGAUAAUCAAUACAGAUUUUUAAGAUUUACUAGUUAUUAGGAUUUACACUUGGUAUCAGAGCGGGUACACGUUUAGAAAAUGAGAUCCACGUAUAAUCUAGUUAUGGACCGAGCACCAUUAAUAGCUCAUGUCUUAGAUGGGAUGAACUAUUCCUACUGAAAGAUUCUAUGUCCAAUACUUAGAUGGAAAAAUUUGGCAUUCUAUCAUGUAUGGAUAUAAAACACCUACUAUAACUGAAAAUAGGAGGGAGAGAGAGAGAGAGAGAGAGAGGGUUGAUGAGUGGGGUACUACAGACUUUAGUAAUGCCUGAUGGAAUUCAAAAGCUUGAAAUGCAAUUUUCCUUUUUGUUGAUUCUAGCCAAUUUCACUUGAUUUCUAAAUGCAAGGUAGCAAGGAAGCAGGGCCGGUUUUGGGCCGAGGCAAGUGAGGCCCUUGCCUCAGGCCCAAAAAUUUAGGAGGCCUCAUUUUUUUUUUGGCCCAAAAAUUUAGGGGGCCUCAUAUUUUCUGUUUCUUUUUUUUUUUUAAUAUAUACCUAAUCCCUAAUUUUUCCCUUCCAUUUGCCCGAUUGCGAGAGGUGAGAAGAGGCGAGAAAGAAACAACCAGAGAACGGCAACCCACGUUACCCACGCCACUGACUAGUGCCCGCCUGCCUAGUUGUAUGUAUUUCUUCUUAUUUUUUUUGCCUUGAAUUCAUUGAAUAGGGUAAUUAGAAUUUAGAUGGAGCGAAAAACCCACAGUCUCUUCAACUGAAACUUCAUCUUUAUUUUUCUUCUUUUAUAUUACAUUUAUUUUUUUAUUUCUAUUUAAUUUAAUCAUUAAUUAUUCUUAUAUUAAUGUUAANNNNNNNNNNNNNNNNNNNNNNNNNNNNNNNNNNNNNNNNNNNNNNNNNNNNNNNNNNNNNNNNNNNNNNNNNNNNNNNNNNNNNNNNNNNNNNNNNNNNNNNNNNNNNNNNNNNNNNNNNNNNNNNNNNNNNNNNNNNNNNNNNNNNNNNNNNNNNNNNNNNNNNNNNNNNNNNNNNNNNNNNNNNNNNNNNNNNNNNNNNNNNNNNNNNNNNNNNNNNNNNNNNNNNNNNNNNNNNNNNNNNNNNNNNNNNNNNNNNNNNNNNNNNNNNNNNNNNNNNNNNNNNNNNNNNNNNNNNNNNNNNNNNNNNNNNNNNNNNNNNNNNNNNNNNNNNNNNNNNNNNNNNNNNNNNNNNNNNNNNNNNNNNNNNNNNNNNNNNNNNNNNNNNNNNNNNNNNNNNNNNNNNNNNNNNNNNNNNNNNNNNNNNNNNNNNNNNNNNNNNNNNNNNNNNNNNNNNNNNNNNNNNNNNNNNNNNNNNNNNNNNNNNNNNNNNNNNNNNNNNNNNNNNNNNNNNNNNNNNNNNNNNNNNNNNNNNNNNNNNNNNNNNNNNNNNNNNNNNNNNNNNNNNNNNNNNNNNNNNNNNNNNNNNNNNNNNNNNNNNNNNNNNNNNNNNNNNNNNNNNNNNNNNNNNNNNNNNNNNNNNNNNNNNNNNNNNNNNNNNNNNNNNNNNNNNNNNNNNNNNNNNNNNNNNNNNNNNNNNNNNNNNNNNNNNNNNNNNNNNNNNNNNNNNNNNNNNNNNNNNNNNNNNNNNNNNNNNNNNNNNNNNNNNNNNNNNNNNNNNNNNNNNNNNNNNNNNNNNNNNNNNNNNNNNNNNNNNNNNNNNNNNNNNNNNNNNNNNNNNNNNNNNNNNNNNNNNNNNNNNNNNNNNNNNNNNNNNNNNNNNNNNNNNNNNNNNNNNNNNNNNNNNNNNNNNNNNNNNNNNNNNNNNNNNNNNNNNNNNNNNNNNNNNNNNNNNNNNNNNNNNNNNNNNNNNNNNNNNNNNNNNNNNNNNNNNNNNNNNNNNNNNNNNNNNNNNNNNNNNNNNNNNNNNNNNNNNNNNNNNNNNNNNNNNNNNNNNNNNNNNNNNNNNNNNNNNNNNNNNNNNNNNNNNNNNNNNNNNNNNNNNNNNNNNNNNNNNNNNNNNNNNNNNNNNNNNNNNNNNNNNNNNNNNNNNNNNNNNNNNNNNNNNNNNNNNNNNNNNNNNNNNNNNNNNNNNNNNNNNNNNNNNNNNNNNNNNNNNNNNNNNNNNNNNNNNNNNNNNNNNNNNNNNNNNNNNNNNNNNNNNNNNNNNNNNNNNNNNNNNNNNNNNNNNNNNNNNNNNNNNNNNNNNNNNNNNNNNNNNNNNNNNNNNNNNNNNNNNNNNNNNNNNNNNNNNNNNNNNNNNNNNNNNNNNNNNNNNNNNNNNNNNNNNNNNNNNNNNNNNNNNNNNNNNNNNNNNNNNNNNNNNNNNNNNNNNNNNNNNNNNNNNNNNNNNNNNNNNNNNNNNNNNNNNNNNNNNNNNNNNNNNNNNNNNNNNNNNNNNNNNNNNNNNNNNNNNNNNNNNNNNNNNNNNNNNNNNNNNNNNNNNNNNNNNNNNNNNNNNNNNNNNNNNNNNNNNNNNNNNNNNNNNNNNNNNNNNNNNNNNNNNNNNNNNNNNNNNNNNNNNNNNNNNNNNNNNNNNNNNNNNNNNNNNNNNNNNNNNNNNNNNNNNNNNNNNNNNNNNNNNNNNNNNNNNNNNNNNNNNNNNNNNNNNNNNNNNNNNNNNNNNNNNNNNNNNNNNNNNNNNNNNNNNNNNNNNNNNNNNNNNNNNNNNNNNNNNNNNNNNNNNNNNNNNNNNNNNNNNNNNNNNNNNNNNNNNNNNNNNNNNNNNNNNNNNNNNNNNNNNNNNNNNNNNNNNNNNNNNNNNNNNNNNNNNNNNNNNNNNNNNNNNNNNNNNNNNNNNNNNNNNNNNNNNNNNNNNNNNNNNNNNNNNNNNNNNNNNNNNNNNNNNNNNNNNNNNNNNNNNNNNNNNNNNNNNNNNNNNNNNNNNNNNNNNNNNNNNNNNNNNNNNNNNNNNNNNNNNNNNNNNNNNNNNNNNNNNNNNNNNNNNNNNNNNNNNNNNNNNNNNNNNNNNNNNNNNNNNNNNNNNNNNNNNNNNNNNNNNNNNNNUACAGAUAGAAGAUAGCUUCCUACUUGGAUUCAAAAGGCACAUUAUCUGCACAAUAUGCUCUCUGAUUGAGGAGACGAAAUGAUGACCAGAUCGAGACUUGUCACAAAACUCGAGAAUGUAUGCUACCUGUCAUAUAUUGAACCAAAAAAUGUGAUUGAAGUACUUAGUGAUGAAUCGUGGGUGUUAGCUAUGCGAAGAAUUAGUUCAAUUUGAGCGAAAUAAUGUAUGGGAACUAGUACCAUGGCCAACAGAUACAAAUAUAAUUGGAACUUAAUGGAUCUUCAAAAACAAAUCAAAUGAGCACAACAACAUUGUCAGAAACAAAGCACAAGCUGGUUGCACAGGGUUACACCCAAGUUGAAGGAGUGGAUUUUGAAGAGACUUUCAUUCCUAUAGCCCGACUUCAAUCUAUUAGACUUCUAUUGUGUACUACAUGUCAAUUGAGAUUCGAACCUUUUAGAUGGAUGUUAAGAGUGCCUUUCUUAUUGGAAUUUUAAAUGAAAAAGCCUAUGUUGAGCAAUCAAAAGGUUUCAUUGAUCCAUAUCUUCUUGACCACAUGUUCAAGCUUAAAAAGACAUUAUAUAAGUUGAAACAAGCUCCCCAAUCUUAGUAUGAAAGGCAUACUAUAAUCUUGCUGGAGAAGUGAUACAAGUGAGGAAGAGCUGAUAAAAAUUGUUCAUCGGACAUCUUAAGACUAGAUUAAUCGUUGGUCAAAUAUAUAUGAAUGACAUAGUAUUGGAUCCACAUCUAAAACAAAAUCCAGAAAGUUUGUUAAUCUUAUUCAAGAUGAGUUUGAAAUGAGUAUAGUUGAGAAAUUGUUGAUUUUCUUGGGUCUACUGGUUAAGCAGGUUGAUGUAGAGAUCUUUAUCUUACAGACUAAGUAUGUAAAGAAUCUAGUAAAGAAAUUUAGCUUGAAAAAUAUUAAGGCGGUCAGGACUUUCAUGGCUAUGUCUGUAAAGAUCUACAGAGAUAAUCAGGGCAAGGAUGUUGACCCUAGCCUAUAAAGAUUAAGGCAGUCAGAAUUUUCAUGGCUGUGUCUGUAAAGAUCUACAGAGAUAAUCAGGGCAAGGAUGUUGACCCUAGCCUAUAAAGAUGCAUGAGUGGUAGCUUGCUAUAUUACUCCAAGUUAUCCUGAUAUAGUCUUCAGCGUUUAACUAUGUACAAGAUAUCAACUAAAACUAAAUGACACCUGCUUGGUAGCUAUUAAACGAGUCAUUAGAUAUGUUAAUAGCACUUCUGGCUUUGGUUUUAUGGUACACUACAUAUUCUCAUUCUCAUCUUGCAUGAUACAGCGAUGCUAAUUUGGCAACGAACAUGGAUGACUGAAAAACACAUUUGGAGGCUAUUUCUACAUGGGUAAUGAUCUUAUCUAUUGGCUAAAUAAGAAACAAAACUCUAUUUCCUUUUCCACUGUAGAAGCUGAGUACAUCACUGAUAGUGAUGUACAAGACUACUCUGGAUGAAGCAGAUGUUUAGUGAGUAUGGUAUUGAACAAGAUUCUCUACCAUGUUUAGUGAUAACAUUAGUACUAUAUACAUCUAAGAAUCUAGUCCAACAUUCUAUGAUUAAGCAUAUUGAUAUUCAUCAUUUCUUUAGAGACUUAGUUGAAGAAUAUAAUUGUCCUAGAAUACAUUCACAUUGAAGGACAACUAGUUGAUUUACUCACUAAGCUUUAGAUAUUAUCUGAUUUGAAACUUUGUGGAAAACCGUGGGCAUAUGUAUGAUUAAUUGAGAACCCUUUCGAUGUAUAUAUAUUUUUACUUUAUUUUGUGUUCGCCUUGUUUGCAUGUAAUUUGCAUUUAUAUAAAAACAAAAACAAAAAAUUGGGGCUUUUAUUGCAAAUGUCACAAGAGGAUUUCUGAUUAAUUUGUAGUUUUAAAAUGAAAUUGAAAUCUCCAAUUAGUGUGAUGUUCUCAACUUAAAUUAUUGUCAAAUAAGUACACUAUUAGAACAUUGUGACUACUUUUAUUGUAAACAUUUACUGAUUAGGUUGUCAUUUUAAUGUGGCAUGUGUUUGAGUGUAGACAUAUGAUCUGUAUCUAUGCCUCUCUACACUGCAACAUGAUGUUGUAUAAUUAAACAAGUUCAUUGGAAGAGAGGGCUACNUAUUAUACACUCACACUUUAAUUUGAUAAAUUAAUUAAAUUAACUGUGAACAAACAUCUAAUUGAAUUUUUUAUGAUUAUCGUGAUGAUUUUAAGCUGAUUGUGAAACUAUGGAUAUUUUCUUAAAAAUAUUACAAUUGAUUGAAUUUUGGUAAAUUUCAUUUUUAGUGUGUGAUUAACAUUUCUGGGCUCUUUUGCAAAUUUUUAAACCUAUUGUCUAAAUUUGACAGUUAAAUUUUAGAAUUUCCAAAUUUUGAAAAUUAUAUUGGGUGGAAUAUAUGUAAGUUUUUGGCAUCUACAAUAGCAAAUCAUUGUUAAUAGAUAAUAUUUUGUAUGGAGAUAGAACUUGUGUUUGUCUUUCAAACUUUAACCGACAAUAUUUUGUUUGAGGGUUGAGACUGCCGUUUUCAUUAAAUGAAGCUUAUUAUUUUUUUAUUUUAUUUUGGGGUACGUAAUAUUAACUUAUGGAGAUAGAACUUUAACCUCCGUUUGGCCCACAUUUUCUGGUAAUGAAAAUGGGUGGAAUAGUGUUUCUUUUUUAAAUGAGUGGUUGAAAAAGAAAGAAAAAAUUUCCAAUUUACGUGUAAUAUCAUUUUAUAACAGAUUGUGUGGUUGAAAAUAGGAAAAAGGAAAAUGAAAUGUAAUGGAAUAAAAAUUAAUGGGGGCUAAACGGGAGCUUAAUUUCAUGUAUAAUUUGAAAAGUUAGGUCAUGGAACCAAAAUUAAACAAAACUAAAUCACAAUCAAAUGUUUGUUUUCGGUUCGUUCGGUUCCAUUAUUAUAAAUGAAAUCAAUAGUUUCAUUACAAAAAAAUCAUUGUUUUGCAAUUCGAUUCAAUUCCGUUGGAACUAGUUUUCAUAUCAAUUUUUCUUAAUCAUCCCUAACAAAGUCACCAAAAUUAAUAUAGCAGUAUAUAUAGUGGAAUCCAUGUUUACAAUUCAAUAAAAAAAACAAAAAACUUGUAAAAUGUUAGCUCAAUAAUCUCAUAUUUGUAUAGGGAAAAAAAGGUCAUAACUUGAAAGAUCGCAUUGUCAAGUCCAUAAUACGAAUUCUUGAAGUCAAUCAAAUCAUUUAAGUCUGUUAAACAUACUGUGAUCGUUUUAAUAGACCGCAAUAAUGGCCUUAUGGGAUUUUAAUUCUCAGCUGUUCAACACUCUUUUAUUUUUCAAUUAUGCUACAUAUACACCGGCGUACACGCUCCUCACACAAAGAGGGCCCACUCUUUUCUUAUUUGGCAUGAGCCCCUUCCAUGUAUGUACAAAUAGCAAAAUUCUUUAUUUUUUGACUUCUUCCCCCCAAAACCUACCAUGUCCCUUAAUUGCCUCACUACCCCAAUUAUUUUAUUAUCACCAGUUCACCCUUUUAUUAGCACCCACGCAACUACCCAUUUCAUUCCCUAUNNNNNNNNNNNNNNNNNNNNNNNNNNNNNNNNNNNNNNNNNNNNNNNNNNNNNNNNNNNNNNNNNNNNNNNNNNNNNNNNNNNNNNNNNNNNNNNNNNNNNNNNNNNNNNNNNNNNNNNNNNNNNNNNNNNNNNNNNNNNNNNNNNNNNNNNNNNNNNNNNNNNNNNNNNNNNNNNNNNNNNNNNNNNNNNNNNNNNNNNNNNNNNNNNNNNNNNNNNNNNNNNNNNNNNNNNNNNNNNNNNNNNNNNNNNNNNNNNNNNNNNNNNNNNNNNNNNNNNNNNNNNNNNNNNNNNNNNNNNNNNNNNNNNNNNNNNNNNNNNNNNNNNNNNNNNNNNNNNNNNNNNNNNNNNNNNNNNNNNNNNNNNNNNNNNNNNNNNNNNNNNNNNNNNNNNNNNNNNNNNNNNNNNNNNNNNNNNNNNNNNNNNNNNNNNNNNNNNNNNNNNNNNNNNNNNNNNNNNNNNNNNNNNNNNNNNNNNNNNNNNNNNNNNNNNNNNNNNNNNNNNNNNNNNNNNNNNNNNNNNNNNNNNNNNNNNNNNNNNNNNNNNNNNNNNNNNNNNNNNNNNNNNNNNNNNNNNNNNNNNNNNNNNNNNNNNNNNNNNNNNNNNNNNNNNNNNNNNNNNNNNNNNNNNNNNNNNNNNNNNNNNNNNNNNNNNNNNNNNNNNNNNNNNNNNNNNNNNNNNNNNNNNNNNNNNNNNNNNNNNNNNNNNNNNNNNNNNNNNNNNNNNNNNNNNNNNNNNNNNNNNNNNNNNNNNNNNNNNNNNNNNNNNNNNNNNNNNNNNNNNNNNNNNNNNNNNNNNNNNNNNNNNNNNNNNNNNNNNNNNNNNNNNNNNNNNNNNNNNNNNNNNNNNNNNNNNNNNNNNNNNNNNNNNNNNNNNNNNNNNNNNNNNNNNNNNNNNNNNNNNNNNNNNNNNNNNNNNNNNNNNNNNNNNNNNNNNNNNNNNNNNNNNNNNNNNNNNNNNNNNNNNNNNNNNNNNNNNNNNNNNNNNNNNNNNNNNNNNNNNNNNNNNNNNNNNNNNNNNNNNNNNNNNNNNNNNNNNNNNNNNNNNNNNNNNNNNNNNNNNNNNNNNNNNNNNNNNNNNNNNNNNUUUGAAAAAAAUCUGGUGAACCAAUAUCCUAUUCAUAUUUUGUUGCAAAAUUGAAAAAUCUCAUUUUAUUUUAAAAAUUCCAACUUCAAAAUGUGAAGACAUUUUGAAAAAAUAGAACAACCAAAGUGAGCAAAUAAAUCACACAAAGUGAUCAUAAAGUUACGGUAUAAAACAUUCUAUAUUCCCAGGAUACGUGAGAUUAGAGAUCUCAGAAUCAAGGGAAUGUUCAAACGAAUCAAGUUCAGGUGCUCUAACUAAAUAAUCGAUGCAAUGUGAAAAUAAGUCCAAAAAAUUGAAUGUAAUCUCACACAGUGACUUACGGCAAUUAAAUACAAAAGCAAUUUUCAACUUGCAAUUAAAUUAUCACUUCAAAUAGAACAAAUAAUUACUAAAUUUCUAGCAUAAACAACGGUUACUUCACACCAUAACCUCAAUCCUAAUGUCGCCUCACAUGAUGACUUGCUAAUGCUUAAAUUUAAAUGGGAUAAGUCAAUAUACCAGAAUGGACCAAUCUGCAGUUCCUAAAUAAUGAAAGAUGUGGAUUUACUACUUUAGGGCCGUCAUUAUUCGCCUUAAACUUUUCAACAACUAUAGCAACCAAUCAAACACAAUUGAAUCCCAAACACGCAAAGGACUAAAUUGUCUAGGUUUCACUGUAUAACCUGAAAUUAAAAACUAACAACACCAAAAUAUUAGAAAUAAUGUAAGGAACAAACUUCCCGAAGACAGUGUUUCCAUAAAUUGUCGUACACACCAGUACACCCUUGGAGUCUGCCAUCAGAAUCACUCACUCGUCGACCACCCUGAUACGCCUCUACCUGCACAUCACGUUGGUGAUCUCCAUUUCAUUAAACUCCUUCUGAUUUGGCCAAAAUGACAUGCCCUAUCCCGUGUAACACUACUAGACCCAGAACGUGACAUGCGCCGAUGAUAUACCAACUAAAGGUCGGAUCCACCAUCAAGGCUACUACAACUACGAUAUGCAACUUUUUAUAAAUAAUUUUUAACAAAAUUUCGAUAUUAUCUUCCCUAUAAAUAGGACUAACCAACCUGUAGUCCACUAUACAUGAAACCCAAAUUAUAACACAAUAUAAUAACGAUAAGCCGAAAUCUCAUCUUUUACCAAGAAAAUAACAUAAAAUGUACAUAUGGAAGCAAAAUACAUAGUGACCCCAAUAACUAUUUACAAGUGAUGGAAAAUCACAUCUAGACAUGGAAAUGCGUCCCAAAAUACUGACUACAUUUUCUAUGAAGUGGGUCAUACUAACAAAUUCUGUCUUGUGGCUUUGACUCCAAAAUCAAAGCUCAACUCCAAAAGAUGUCCAGAUACUCAACUGCUGCCUGAUAAGAAAAACGUAGGAAAAUAUAUGAGUUGAUAGCUCAGUGAGUGGAGAAUUUCGAAAAUAAAUAUACUUUUUCCACUUUACAUUUUUAUUGAAACUCGAAUUCAUAUAAUUGAAUAAUUCACAAGAUAACAUCAUGUAAUUAUAGCCAAAACGUAAGACAUUUGUAUAACGCCAUUAAAUAUCCUCUUAAAAUCAAGCUAUAAACAUCAACUGAUAAUCAUACUAUAAUCUCAUCAUAUCAAAUAUACUGAAAAAUUCACCAAAAAUGUACCAUCUUACUGAAAUAUGUAAUCCGUCUCUCGGGCUAAGAAUUUUCGCCACGAGCCUUUGGCCCCCUCCUUGAGCUAAAGCGGAUCUCAAGACCACUAGUAAUCAAUUUUAGAACACAGCCAAGGCUUUUCUGUGAACUAUAAGUACACGGUCAAGGCCAAUGUCUGGUCAAGAUCACUCUGUGUAGGAUANNNNNNNNNNNNNNNNNNNNNNNNNNNNNNNNNNNNNNNNNNNNNNNNNNNNNNNNNNNNNNNNNNNNNNNNNNNNNNNNNNNNNNNNNNNNNNNNNNNNNNNNNNNNNNNNNNNNNNNNNNNNNNNNNNNNNNNNNNNNNNNNNNNNNNNNNNNNNNNNNNNNNNNNNNNNNNNNNNNNNNNNNNNNNNNNNNNNNNNNNNNNNNNNNNNNNNNNNNNNNNNNNNNNNNNNNNNNNNNNNNNNNNNNNNNNNNNNNNNNNNNNNNNNNNNNNNNNNNNNNNNNNNNNNNNNNNNNNNNNNNNNNNNNNNNNNNNNNNNNNNNNNNNNNNNNNNNNNNNNNNNNNNNNNNNNNNNNNNNNNNNNNNNNNNNNNNNNNNNNNNNNNNNNNNNNNNNNNNNNNNNNNNNNNNNNNNNNNNNNNNNNNNNNNNNNNNNNNNNNNNNNNNNNNNNNNNNNNNNNNNNNNNNNNNNNNNNNNNNNNNNNNNNNNNNNNNNNNNNNNNNNNNNNNNNNNNNNNNNNNNNNNNNNNNNNNNNNNNNNNNNNNNNNNNNNNNNNNNNNNNNNNNNNNNNNNNNNNNNNNNNNNNNNNNNNNNNNNNNNNNNNNNNNNNNNNNNNNNNNNNNNNNNNNNNNNNNNNNNNNNNNNNNNNNNNNNNNNNNNNNNNNNNNNNNNNNNNNNNNNNNNNNNNNNNNNNNNNNNNNNNNNNNNNNNNNNNNNNNNNNNNNNNNNNNNNNNNNNNNNNNNNNNNNNNNNNNNNNNNNNNNNNNNNNNNNNNNNNNNNNNNNNNNNNNNNNNNNNNNNNNNNNNNNNNNNNNNNNNNNNNNNNNNNNNNNNNNNNNNNNNNNNNNNNNNNNNNNNNNNNNNNNNNNNNNNNNNNNNNNNNNNNNNNNNNNNNNNNNNNNNNNNNNNNNNNNNNNNNNNNNNNNNNNNNNNNNNNNNNNNNNNNNNNNNNNNNNNNNNNNNNNNNNNNNNNNNNNNNNNNNNNNNNNNNNNNNNNNNNNNNNNNNNNNNNNNNNNNNNNNNNNNNNNNNNNNNNNNNNNNNNNNNNNNNNNNNNNNNNNNNNNNNNNNNNNNNNNNNNNNNNNNNNNNNNNNNNNNNNNNNNNNNNNNNNNNNNNNNNNNNNNNNNNNNNNNNNNNNNNNNNNNNNNNNNNNNNNNNNNNNNNNNNNNNNNNNNNNNNNNNNNNNNNNNNNNNNNNNNNNNNNNNNNNNNNNNNNNNNNNNNNNNNNNNNNNNNNNNNNNNNNNNNNNNNNNNNNNNNNNNNNNNNNNNNNNNNNNNNNNNNNNNNNNNNNNNNNNNNNNNNNNNNNNNNNNNNNNNNNNNNNNNNNNNNNNNNNNNNNNNNNNNNNNNNNNNNNNNNNNNNNNNNNNNNNNNNNNNNNNNNNNNNNNNNNNNNNNNNNNNNNNNNNNNNNNNNNNNNNNNNNNNNNNNNNNNNNNNNNNNNNNNNNNNNNNNNNNNNNNNNNNNNNNNNNNNNNNNNNNNNNNNNNNNNNNNNNNNNNNNNNNNNNNNNNNNNNNNNNNNNNNNNNNNNNNNNNNNNNNNNNNNNNNNNNNNNNNNNNNNNNNNNNNNNNNNNNNNNNNNNNNNNNNNNNNNNNNNNNNNNNNNNNNNNNNNNNNNNNNNNNNNNNNNNNNNNNNNNNNNNNNNNNNNNNNNNNNNNNNNNNNNNNNNNNNNNNNNNNNNNNNNNNNNNNNNNNNNNNNNNNNNNNNNNNNNNNNNNNNNNNNNNNNNNNNNNNNNNNNNNNNNNNNNNNNNNNNNNNNNNNNNNNNNNNNNNNNNNNNNNNNNNNNNNNNNNNNNNNNNNNNNNNNNNNNNNNNNNNNNNNNNNNNNNNNNNNNNNNNNNNNNNNNNNNNNNNNNNNNNNNNNNNNNNNNNNNNNNNNNNNNNNNNNNNNNNNNNNNNNNNNNNNNNNNNNNNNNNNNNNNNNNNNNNNNNNNNNNNNNNNNNNNNNNNNNNNNNNNNNNNNNNNNNNNNNNNNNNNNNNNNNNNNNNNNNNNNNNNNNNNNNNNNNNNNNNNNNNNNNNNNNNNNNNNNNNNNNNNNNNNNNNNNNNNNNNNNNNNNNNNNNNNNNNNNNNNNNNNNNNNNNNNNNNNNNNNNNNNNNNNNNNNNNNNNNNNNNNNNNNNNNNNNNNNNNNNNNNNNNNNNNNNNNNNNNNNNNNNNNNNNNNNNNNNNNNNNNNNNNNNNNNNNNNNNNNNNNNNNNNNNNNNNNNNNNNNNNNNNNNNNNNNNNNNNNNNNNNNNNNNNNNNNNNNNNNNNNNNNNNNNNNNNNNNNNNNNNNNNNNNNNNNNNNNNNNNNNNNNNNNNNNNNNNNNNNNNNNNNNNNNNNNNNNNNNNNNNNNNNNNNNNNNNNNNNNNNNNNNNNNNNNNNNNNNNNNNNNNNNNNNNNNNNNNNNNNNNNNNNNNNNNNNNNNNNNNNNNNNNNNNNNNNNNNNNNNNNNNNNNNNNNNNNNNNNNNNNNNNNNNNNNNNNNNNNNNNNNNNNNNNNNNNNNNNNNNNNNNNNNNNNNNNNNNNNNNNNNNNNNNNNNNNNNNNNNNNNNNNNNNNNNNNNNNNNNNNNNNNNNNNNNNNNNNNNNNNNNNNNNNNNNNNNNNNNNNNNNNNNNNNNNNNNNNNNNNNNNNNNNNNNNNNNNNNNNNNNNNNNNNNNNNNNNNNNNNNNNNNNNNNNNNNNNNNNNNNNNNNNNNNNGAACUCAAAUCUAAUGGAUUGAAAAGAGAAAGUCAAGAAUGCAAUAACUUAGCAAAAUAGCAUAAAAAGAUUAGCUAACAGAAGACACUGUUUAUGAAGCAUAACUCAGCGAAGGCUAAGGCAAAGGCAGAAAGAUAAACAACAAGCAAGCUAUACUAGACAAUUUGCACAAGACUUCUACGAUAUUUUGAGCUUUGGGAUAUGGGAAAUACUAUUCCAAUAUUGGUCUCCAGUUUCCUUCUUGUAUUUCUGCAGUAUGAGCGGACAAUUCUGGAUACGCAACUUCCUUAUUGGUGCCACCUUGAAGAGAGGAUGCGGCAGUGCCUUCAGAUUGCUGCAGUUGUAAAGUUUCAAAAAGCGGAGUCUAGGCAAGAUCUUGAUGUGUUCAUCUGCAGCUCUGAUCAUGUUCCAUUCUUCCCAACUUCCCAUGUUUGAAAAUUUCAGCUUCUUCAACUUUGGGAAUGCAAUAUUUUCAGCUGAUGAUAAUGCCAAUGAUCUGUCUUUGCUAUCUGUUGUGAUUUGAUCAUUCACAUUGUCUGUUGCACCCAAAAAUUCGAGCCCAAGAUAUUUCAGAUUAUGCAGACUAUCUAUGUGGAGAGUUGCCAGGGACGGAAGCCUUCCAAGAGGAGGCAAAAUUGUGCAAUUUUGGCACCCUUGAAGUGAAAGAUCUUUCAGGUUGGUUAAACUUACCAUCCAAUUGGGGAAUCGAGUGCCUCCAUAUGAACUUAUUACUAAAGAUUGCAACCCAGAGUGCAACUGAAGAGCUUCAAUCACUUCGUCUUGAUUGCCUGUUUGAGCCUUAGAGUUGAAGUCGAGGUGCAAGUCCGAAAUAUGUCUCUUUUCACUCAACUCUGCUAUCCGGGCCUCGUCCGCAUUUUUCACGCAACCCAAUCCUUCGAUUUUAAGACAUCCUCGGAGCUUCUUCAAGUUUUUCAAAUCCUCUAGCCCGCAUGUCGCUGUUUCACCAUCACUACCA